UUUUUUUUUUUUUUUUUUUUGCUUUUCUGAUAAAAGACUGGGCUGUUAAAAUUGUUUUCACUCCCACCAUCAAAUAGUCCAUCCUCUUAAAAAAAAAAACUAAAAUUAAAAGACUCCGGGCCCAACAAUGUUGAGUACGGGUUAAUUACCUUUACCUCCUUGAAGUAUAGCUAAUCUACAAGUGAUGUUUGGCUGGUAACCAAAAAUUAAUUGUUUUUUUUUUCAAAUGAUAAAAUAUUUUAUAUAUAUUGAACUUGAAAAUACAAGAUAUUAGUUACAAAAGAGGACAACUUGUCCUAUUAUCCUCCUGUAUACUUUCUUGAAGUCACAGGGGAAAACUUUGCUUCCAUGUAAUGUUGGAAACAAGUUUGUUGCAAAUUGUGCCAUUUUAUGUGCACAUCUAUUUCUAGCUCUAUACACAAAAGAAAAAGUAUAGUAUUGGAACAUGCCACUCAGCUGUCCUAUAUCUUCCAUUAUGGUUGCUAUUGGUGAUUCCUCUUUGCAUCCCUUUUGGAUUCUUUCAAUGACAGCUUUGCAAUCAGACUGCACCUCAAUUCUUUGCCACCCUGCUUCUUUGGCCAUUUCCAGUCCCUACCGGAUUGCAUCUGCUUCCUAUAAUUCUGCUCCACAUUUACUUUUUUUUCUGAUACCUCUAACUUCAAUGAGGUUUCCAUUAUUGUCUCUUGCAAUCAAUCCUAAUGAUAGGGUAUAAUUUGUUAGUAAUUUUAUUAUUAAUUUCCCCUUUUAUCCCUGAUAAAUAUUGUGUUAAUUGCUGAUAUCUACUCAUAUUUGGUACCUGGACUUAAUUUCAGGAAUGAAACAGAAAACUACCAAAAAGGAGGGAUUUUAUGAAGAAUAUGGAGACUUCUAAGGGCUUCAAUCCUUGGGCCCUUGGAUUGGUGGGGACCACAAAGCUAUAAGUCAUUUGGGCUUUUCAAAGAAGGCUACAUAAAAGAGACUUGGAACAAGAAGUACUUUGGAGGCUUUGUCCACAUGUGUGGGGACCACCUAGAUAGCUUUAGUCUAUCUUUCUUUUGUUUCUUAAAUAGGGAUAACGUAGGGAAAGAAGACAUCUCUAGUUUUAGUUUUUCUUUUAGUUUUAGUUUUUAGCCUAAUCUUUAGUUUUUUUCCUUUCCUUCUCCUGACUGGCCUCUGACACACGCCAGGUGUUCGACAAUAUUCCCCAACGGGAAAAACACCUUUUAUUCCUUACUUCCUAAUAGAAAACGCAAUGCCUUUGCAAUUUAUUAAUUCGUGUGGUGAUUUCAUUAUGCGGCGUGGCUAAGCCUUCCAUCUAGUCAAGGGUCAACUCGACGGCGCAGUCCCGAAAAUCUGUGAGAUCUAAUUAGUUUUCACGUGUUCCUUAAUUUAUUAAUAUUUGCACGUUGUCUGCUUGAAUUUUCAUGGGAUUAUUUUAUUAAUUGGAUGUCAAGGGCCAGAUGUUCAAUGUGAUUUAUUAAUCUCGUGCCAAUUUAGUCAAUUAAAUCCGUAAUUAUUUGAUUGAUUAAUAUUAGUGGCAACUGGUGUGUUUACACAUUAGGGGAACGUGCGAUCUAAUUUAAAUAACCCUCGUAGCGUGUUAUUGAUUAGGGCUAGGUUUUUCUAGUUAUUAAUGCAAUUGGAAAAUUACUUCCUAUGGUCGUACCUAGGAGCAUUUGCUGAUUAGGGGUAAUCAACGGUCGUACCUUGGUUAUCAAUAAUUUAAGGAAAAAUUGGUCGUCAGACUAUAACUAGCCUAUUAAUACAUUAAGUGAACAUCUCUUGCAUCAAUGAUCGGAUGAUUGGACUGUGCCAGAGUAGUUGCGUCCUUGGCUAGAAUUUAUUUAUUCUUGAUUUAAUUCCUGCUAGAUUUGUGCUAGUUAAUUAUUUAUUUUUAGUUGGAUUGUUUAAUUAUUUUUAGUUGCCUAUCCGUGAAAUCCCCCUCUUACCAAUUGGAUUUUAAAAGAGACAAAUAUCUCCAGUCCCUGAGGAGACGACCCUAUUUGCCACUGUCUAUUAUUUAGUAAAUUUCGUCAAUUACUCAAUUCUGGUAUAUCGGAUUCAGCAAACUCUUCGAGAACAGGGUGAAUCAAGUAACCCAUUGCACACCUAGAGUCCCUGCUCCAGUACCUAGGAUUAAUUAUUGACUGCUUUUAGUGGUAGCUAGGUUCUAUAUUUAUUAUUAUUAUUGCACAGGCUGACGACCUGUCACCUAAGCCUGCUCCGGCCAGUGCAGCAGGUACUGCCGCAUCAGUGUUGAUCAUCACCACACCUGCAUCUGGUGGUCUCCACUAGUGGUUUUGCAUCUGGUGACCUGUUCCUGUUCUGUGCUUUCCAUCAUUGCCAAAUUGCUUUUCUUGAAACUCCAGCCACUCUUUCUUUGCAUGAUCUAAGAUUGACAUGUGAUCCUUGCAUUUUCCAUUGAACUGGCAUGCAUUUCUGGCCUUCCAAAUUUGCCAGAUUAUGUUUGCUGUUAAUGUAAUAUGGUCUUCUCCUUGCAGUCUUUUCCUAGCAUUUAAUAUACCUUGCCACCAUCUCCAGAAGUUUAAUCUCCAUUGUAAUAAUCCAUCCCAUUGUAUUGGGGCCAACUUCCAUAUAAUGUCUGUAUUUCUGCAAAAAAAAAAAAAAAAAAAUCAUAUGUUCCACUGUUUCUUCCACUUCACUACAACACUUGCAUAAUGGAGACCCUUUUCCUAUUCUUUUGUGUAUUAGUUCAUUCACAGGAAUGCUGGUGUGUAAGCAUCUCCAUAUGAAGUGCUUGAUCUUUUCCUUCAACUUCAGUCACCACAAACUUUUCCAUACUUUUUCCUUGUGUUGGGAAUAGCUGGUUCCUUCAGUGCCUUGAUCUACCUGUCCUCUUUGUCUUACCUCCUUCUUUUCCACUGCAUGUCUAGAUUUCACUAUGUAUGCUCCUAAUUUGAGUAUUUCCAGAGACCAUAUCCUUCCUGGGAAACAUACUUAGAGGCAUUCUCAGUAUUUGUUUAGCUUCCACCCCUGAGAAAGUCCCCUCUGCCAGCUCCUUGUUCCAUGCCCCAUCUUUAAUCAAGUUUGCUAUUGUUUGCAACUGAUAGUCUUGGGGUUUUUGUGUUUCUAUUUUCCCUGUAGGUGUUCCCACAAGCCAUUUGUCCAUCCAGAUGUUUAUGUUGGUCCCAUCUCAUCUCCCACUCUCUUUCACAUACCCUUCUGAAGAACAGUUCUAGAACUAUAAAUACUUCUCCACACCCAAGAUGCAGGACUUCUCCCACCAGGUUUAUUGGUGAUAUUUUGUAUUUUGUUGUCAGCACUUUGCUCACCAAUAAGUCUGGUUGAAGUAAAAGUCUCCGCAGUUGCUUUGCUAAUAGAGCACUAUUAAAAUGUUUUAGAUCUCUAAAUCCCAAACCUCCCUUUCCAUUCACCUGUGUAAUUUUCUCCCUAACUUAUCCAUUGCAUCUUUUUGUCCUCUUCACCUUAACUCAAUUCAAUAAAUGUCGCGCAUUCACAGCCAUUGACAGCAAGGGAGACGUACAAUUGUUUAAGGCACUGUUUGGAUUGAAGGAAGGGGAAGGAGAAGAAAGGAAACUAGAGGGCUUCAAUGGAAAAAAAUCGAAAGAAAUAGAAGAAAGCAGAUUUUAUCUACCUUGUUUAAAUUCAGUACUAUAAAAAAGAAAGAAAAUAUAAAAAAUAUUGUUUGGAUUAGAUAAGGAAUGGCAAGAAAAUAAAACUAUUACAUAUUAGUUAUGUUUUUAUUCAUAAUUUAAAAUCGAAUUUGUAGACACCUUGAUUUGUUAGAAUAUUUUAAAAUGUUCAUUAAUCUUGGUUUCUUUUCCCUCCUUUUCCAUUCAUUUUUAGAUGGAAAGUAGGCUGAUAAAAAAGAAAUAGGCAUCAUUCCUCUAUUUUCCUCUCUAUCCUUGCCUUUCCCUCCUAAAAAACCAAUCCAAUCAUUAAAAACCUUAUCCCUUUCUUUUCUUUCUUUUCCUUUCCAUCCUUUUCCUUUAAAACAAACAGUGCCGUAGAACAAUUAACCUAAGCUAUCAGACUUGGAGAGUUACACAAAGCAUUAGCUGAUGCCGUAAAAGUGAACAAGCAUUCACAUGCAUACUGCCUUAAGGUAUUAAGAGCUCAGUGUGGGUGACAUAUAUCUAUAUCUGUAAAUUUAGGUAAAUUAGAUAUAGCGCCCUAUGAUUUUAUCCAUUGUCAUAUGAUCAUUGUAAUAUUUCAAAAUAUUCACUAUAACUCUCUGUGAUUUUAUAAAAGGUAAAAAUAAGUAAAAAUUAACCUUUGUAACAUCAUUUGUUUAAAUAUCUGGUAUCAUCCUUAUUUAAACCCUAACACUCUCUUGCAUAAUACCAUAGGAGGAUUAUAAGGAUAAAUGCAAAAACUAAGGGGAAUAAAAUGAAUAUCCAUGCAAAUCAUAGAGGUAGGGGAUAAAUAAAUAUUAUGAUCCCAUAACACGCCUUUUUGAAGAGUGCCCUAUUCUUUUUUCUUUUCUUUUUUUUUCCACAAACGUUAACCGUUAUAUAUAUAUGAUAAACCCUUGAUAAUACAAGAAUUAAUUACAAAAAGGGCUACUACCCUCAUUUGCUUCCUCACUAAAUCCAUCAGCCAAACUGGGAAGUCUUGUUCCCAUUCAAUAUCAUCCACUAGCUGUAUAGCAAACUUAGCUAGAGCAUGGCUGAUUUCAUUCUCUGUUCUAGGUAUAAACACAAAACUACACCUUUCAAAAUGUGUUGUCAAAUCCUGCACAUCUUCCAGAAUAGUUGCAAUGUUAACAUCAUACUCAUUGCCUCUAUCUAUCUGGUCUAAAACUGAUUUGCUAUCGGAAUGGAUUUUAAUUUUAGUCCAUCCUACCUGCUUAGCCAUCAGCAUUGCAUUUCUAAUUGCCAAAGCUUCUUCUUUCAUUGGUUCCCCCUUAUAUUGAUUGACUAUUACCUUUGCUUUCAUGAUCAUUCCGUUCCACUUUCUUGCAACAAUUCCUUGUCCCGUCCUCAUCAUCCUUGCUGAUAUCGCAGCAUCCGUGAACAGGCAAACGUCAUCGUCCCUUGCUGUUUGUCUUCGUGUUUGAUGCUCCCUGAUGUUGUCCGUAGCACUCUGCUCUAUUUCUUCCACCCUUGCUUGCUCAUAUUCCAACCAUUCCACUUGUGCCUUUGAGACAAUGUUCAGUGGGUUCUGGAAUUCAUUGUCAAAAACUCUUCUGUUGCGAGCUUUCCAGAUUUGCCAAAACAGGUUGAUGGUGAGGCUCACUCGCUCAGGUCCACAGUCCUUUGAAGUAGAUUUAGUGGCUUCCCCCCACCAUAACCACAGAUUGUGUUGUUUAUCCACUAAUCCAUCCCAUCUUACCGGUGCCAAUUUCCAAACAUCCUUCGCAUUCACACAAAAAAAGAGUAAAUGUUCUAUGGUUUCCAUGCCUUCACCACAACAGCUACAUCUCCCCUCUCCGCGUCCAAUCCUUUUGAAAAUUACUUCAUUUGUUGGUAAACAAGUUUGCAAGCAUUUCCACAUGAAAUGUUUCAGCUUGGCCUUUACCUUUUGAUGCCACAGAUUCUUUCACACCGUGCGUUUUCUAACUUCCCAACUUGUCUCAGCAUUGUGUGUUCGAUUUCCACUGAUCUGAUUUUCCUCCUGCCUUGCCAUUGCAUAUCCUGUUUUCACCGUAUAUGCUCCAGUCUUUGAAAAUUUCCAGAUCAGUUUGUCUUUUCUCCUUCCUAUGCUGGUGGGAAUAUGUUCAAUGAGCUCAGCCUCUUUGUUUCCAAACCAUGUCUGCAAAAUUUCUGUUUUCCAUCUCCCAUCUUCAAUCAACUCACUCACCCAAGUGAGGUUGCACCCCUCAGGUUUUGCAGUUUCCACCUUACCAUCUUCGGACCCUAUUAACCAUUUAUCAUUCCAGAUACUUACUGUUCUUCCAUCACCUAUCCUUUUCCAUAGUCCAACAAACAACAAUUUUUUUGCACUAUGUAUGCUUUUCCAGCUCCAUGAUGCGGAGCCAGGAGGACUUUUGUUCAUCCAAUUGGGAUCCAUCAUGUAUUUCGCCUUCAUCACCUUGCUUACUAACAAAUUUGGAGCAGUUAGAAAUCUCCAAAUUUGUUUUGCAAGCAAGGCAGUGUUAAAGGCUUCUAGGUCCCUGAAUCUAAUUCCUCCUCUUCCCUUUACUUCUGAAAGUUUCUUCCAGCUUGCCCAAUGAAUACUUGCCUCUCUUUCUCCUUUGCCCCACCAAAACUUUGCAAUUUUCCUAGUAAUAUCUCUACAUAAUCCCUUUGGGAGCCUGAAGCAUGCCAUUACAUAUGUUGGCAUGGCCAUUGUCACCGCCUUUAUCAGCACUUCCUUUCCCCCUUCACUUAAAAGCCUUUGUUUCCAUCCUUGUAGCUUGCUACUGAUUUUGUUCUUAACAAAGCCAAACACUUGUGCCUUUGAUCUUCCAAUGGCCAUUGGUAGACCCAAAUAUGUCCCAUUCACUGCUUCCUUCAUAUUAUCCAGGCCUUCGCUUAUUGCUUGCAUCAUCCUUUCUUUGGUGUUUUUACUGAAGAACAAGGCUGAUUUUUCAAAAUUCACAACCUGGCCAGAUGCAUUGCCAUACUUUGUCAAAAUGCUUUUCACCUUUAGAGCUUCUCGUUUGGUUGCUUUACAGCACAAAAGAGAGUCAUCUGCAAAAAAUAAGUGAGAAAUAACCGGACUGUCCCUACAAAUUUUCACUCCCGUUAGCUCCUUUUCUUGCACAGCUUUAUGAAUAAUACUAGAAAGACCUUCAACACAUAUGAUGAAAAUAUAGGGUGAUAAAUGGUCCCCUUGCCUAAUGCCUCUACUAGGUUUGACAUUUCCAACCUUCUGGCCAUUUAAAUUGAAGGAAUAAAUCACUGUGGAUAGACAAGCCAUAAUCCAUUAUAAGGUGGUAGUUUCCAUCUGUUUUCCACUGUAUUAUUAUAAGGGCUUAUAUGGCUAUUUUAAAUCCUUAAGAGGGCCAUGUGUAAUAUACAAAACUAUCUAGGAUUACAUGUAGGGAUGGCAACCUGCCUACAAACUCCUCCAACCCCCGCCCCGUCCCCGCUCCGCACCCGCGGAACUAAUAAAAAUUUGUUAUAUAAUUUUAUUAUGGUUAAAUUUUAGCAAAUAAUCAAGUACUAAAAUAUUAACAUAUCAUCAAAUUAUUAUUCAUUAUAAUUUUACAAUUGAAACUUAUAAAAACAAUCAAACAAAAAAUAUUUGAAUAUAAUCCAACAUGAUGAAAUAAAUAUAACUAAAGUAGUCAAAUUUUCACUUUUGGCACAAAUACAAUCACUAAUUCAUUAUUGUGCUUGUGCUUUUUUUAAGAAAAAAAUAUUAUUGUAUUAAGUGUAAUUAGGGAUUUAGUAUAAAUGUAUUAGUAAAUUUAGUAUAACCAAUUAAUAAUUUGUAUUAGUACACAUAUAUAAUUAUUAGUAUAAUUAAUAAUAUCAAUUAUAUUAUAUAUACUAAUAGACAUUAUAUAAUACAUAUAACUAAUAAUAUCAUUAUCAUAAGUUUGUAACUAAUUAAAUUAUAUAUUUUAUAUAUAAUUUUAUAUAUUUUUUAUAUAUUUAUUUUUUUAAAGCAGGUGGCGGGGCGGGGGUACACUCCCCCGCCCCCGGCCCCGUUUCUAAGCGGGGGGAAAUUCCCCCCGCCCCCGCCCUGCCCCAACCCCCUCCCCAUUAACCCCCGGCGGGGUGGGUGACCGCCAUCCCUAAUUACAUGUAAUUCACCUGUAAAUUUAUGUCUGAAUAGAGCCUUAGAGUUGAUAAAAACCAGAAGAUGGCUCAAAGCCUCAAGCCAAACUUAACGCAACAGUUCAACAUACAAAAUAUAUAUUCACACGCAGUCAUUCUCGGGAAGGGAAAUAAGGUGAACAAGUUCUCAAUUGUUUUAUAGAUAUUUGAUGGAACUUUAAUAUACUUUCUCCGAUGUCCAUGAACAAAAUGAAGACGAAAGGGAAACAAACCUCGCAGAAACCCAUAGACACCCAUCAAAAAGAAAAUUAAAAUAUUGCCAAACAUAUUCAGAGAACCAGUUUCUAGUUCUUAAGAAGAAAGAAAAGAGUUGUAUAGGUGAACUGUAAAGAACAUAAAGGGUUUCUAAGGCUUACUUUUUAUACCAAUUACUUCAGAAUAUAAAGCCUAUCAGAACUUUGGUCUAACAUUAUGGGUUCUUUCUACUACUCCUAUGAUACUACUAACCUUGAUACGUUUGUUUCAUUUUUAUUUUUUAUUUUUUUGGAUACAAUCGAGAGCCAAAGGCUCUAAAACAUUGGCAAUAGGCGCCUUUGACAUCAUUAUUUAAAGCAAUCCAUCAAAAGUACACCUAUAAAGCCAUCCACGACAUUAGAAACAAUCACCUAUCCAUUAUGUCAGUAAAGCCGUAGCAAAAAAAGAAGUCAUAGUAAAGCCUAGCGCCAUACUGAAGAUGAUAAAAGAGACGUGACUAUUGGGUUUGUAAUACCCUUCUCCAUAAUGAAACUAUGCAUCGAUUUUUCUUCCUCCGUAAUGCAACUAAGUAUUAAUCGAUUUUGGUUUUGGUAGCAAACAUGUUCCCACCAAUAAGAACAGAUAAAGUCUUGGUCAAGCCUUCUGAUGAGGUUUGACAACAAACCUAUAAGCUGUUGAUCACCCAGUAACACACUAGUUGAUUGGAGGACAUUAGAAUGUUCGGACUCCUUAUUGAGUUAACUCAACAAUUUCACAUAUGCGCCAACUCUCAAUCCCUCAAUAUCCAAGUCUUCUUGCCUUUUAUCCACUUUUUUGUGCAGCGCAACCUUAUAAUCCAUUACUUCCCUAAACAUGUGCUCCGAGUCUCGAGUAAUGGUCAGGAUAGGUAAGCAAAAAUUUGGGAAGAACCCACUGGUCUUGAAUUGUAUGUCUUUUUCUACCUAAUUAUUGGUUGAAUGGCCGAAAUUGGAUUUUUUUUUUCCAUUUACAUCCUCUGUAGUGGGAAUGGUUGGCUCCUCACUCAGCAGUUAUCCCAGCUCCAAUGCAGUAGAGUACUCUAGUGAAGUGCCAACGUUCUGCCAAAUCGAUUAAAGGGCAUAUCUUGAAGUUUAUCCAAAAAGUAGGUACAAUUUUCUUGAUAUAAUCUUGUAAAAAGACCCUUGGCCAACAAUGUUGUAGCAACAAAAGUGAAUGGGGUGCGAUGUAGUAUAUGUUUUAAUGGUCAAAUACAUUAAUGUUGAUAUAAAAGAUUUUUCAAAAAAUUUAAAUGUGUUUUUUACCACUCCAUUAUCUUACCUACACAUUUACUAAAAAUAGUAGUGUUAUACUGUAAUUUUUUUCGACAAAGAUUUCAAAGAUCAACCAUCUGAUGAAGCAGUUAUACUCAAAUAAUUUUUGCAGCAAUCACUAUCGAAGUGUUUUCUUUAUUACCUUUUUAAGAUCUGAAAAUUAUUUCAACAAACCAAAAUGUGACCUUAGUCAUGUGUCUUAGUACCAAAAUGGAGCGUUCUAUUUAAGUAUGGAACCUAAGUUGGGUCUUAGGUCCAAAAUGUAUUGAACUUAAGUUGGGUCUUCGGUCUUUUCAUGGUGUUUUUACACAAGUGAGAGACAAAUUUACAUCACUUGGAAGGUCUGUAUUUAAAAAGUAUCAAUGCAAAAUGUAAGUGAAUAUUAUAUUUGUAUGACUAUUAUUUGUUUGGAUUUAGUCAUAUGAUUAAAUUAAUGACAAUUAUUUUUAUUCCAUGGAAAUAACAAUCCUAAGGACAUAUAUUUAUACGUUAAGUAAUUUAUUAGCGGAAUUGACUGAGUUUUCCCAUCAAGAAGCAAAUAUACGCAUCCAAAUCACAUGCCUUUCUCUAUAUGUGGAGAUGAAAAGACAUCACUAGCAUCUCUAUCUUUUCUUCUAAAAAAAAAAAAAAAAAAAAACAAAAAGGUAUUGCAUACAGAGUGAUAAUGACACUUUUUUUUUGUCUCCGCAAUCAUUUCCAUUCUUGUUCCCUAGUAAGUCAUUCGGACAAAUCUAAGAAAUUAAUGAAUUGAAAAAUAAGUUUUCAUUGCUGAAAUUCCUUGUUUAACAGCCAAAAGAAUUUUUCAGGUGCUUUCAGACUAUUGAGUUUGACAUAUUCACUGUGUCAAAAGAGAAAUGAACAAAUGAAACUAUAUAUACUAAUGAAACCCGCCAAAAGCAGUCAAUCUAUGACUAUCCAAUGUUCUCUCUAUACAAUGCAAAGGUAUAACUCUAAUGACAUCACCCUAUCGAUGUUGACAUGUAUGCUGUUGUUUUUGUCAAAAUACAUCAUAGAAAUAAUUUUGCCAUUCGAAAUUUAUGCUCAAUUUCCUCUAGGUGUAUCCCAAUUUUGGGUCCAAAAGUUUUAGGCGCUGGAAGGGGCCCUCAUAUGCUUCUUGUACUUGUGGCCAAUUUUCCUCCAACAAAAGAUAAGUUUUCAAUCUAUUGCCAUUAGGAGGUGAUGAUCUUGUCGAUCCAAGUUUGAUGGGUUUUCAACCAAUUGAUGGGGUAGAACCCUGAUGUAGCGGAGGCUUUCAUUGUUCGAGAGAGUUGGGGGUUCCACGAGUAGAUCCUUUGGUCGGUACACAUCUCAAUAUUUUUUCCAUUUUUCCAAAUUUAAUUGUAUAUUCUUUCCUUUUCAGUUUAGAAUACUGGUAACCUAUAUUCUUUUCUUUCCUUUAUUUUACAAAUUUUGACAAUAUUAUUGAAAUUUUAACACUCUUGUCAUUGGGUUUAUACCUAUUCUUGAGUGCUGUCAAGUAGUUAGAAUCUCGUUGAUUCUUGUUGAGGUUCCUUUGAAUCUUGGUUUUCUUUAGAGUUGACCGUGAAUCACCGUGAUUCUUUAUUUUGAAUUAAUUAGUGUAACUAAUUCUGCCGAAUCAUUUCUGCUGCCAUAUCACCUGCAUUAACAUGUCUAUUUAAAGUAGACUCUUAAAGUGCAUCUUGAUUGGUCAAAUGAAUCUUUACUUAAAAGAUGUAUCUUCCUUGAUUCUACCCUUUGUUUGAUCGCUUCUUCUCUAUAAAUAAAAAUCCUCCUCAAAAGUUUUGUCCGGCGAGUUAAUUGUAUCUUAAAGGUAAUUUGUAAUAGAAACAAACAAUGCCUUGAGAAAAGUGAACCCACACCUUAAAUUUUAUCUAUACUAGUGCUCAAUGCACACCCAAUAUGUGUGCAAUCAAAAAUAUCUAAUAUUUAUGGUCAUAUAUUUUAAAUAAAAUUUUUAUUAUUGAACCAAACUUUAAUCUUUUAAAUAUUUUCUAUAAAACAAUUUUAUAUUAAUAGUUAUAAUAUUUAGGGGUAGUUAUGUUGAAAACAUAUAUUUAAAUAGUUAAUAGUAAAAAUAGAUGGGUAGUUAUAGGUAGUUAAAGUAACACAAAUAGUUUUUAUAAGGGUAAAUUCAUAAAAUGACAAUAAAUGUUAACCUCAAUGUUAACACCAAACCCCUUUUUCAAGCUUUAUAUAUAGUAUAGAUUUCUAUUUCUCUACAAAUUUUCUUCAACAAUCUGUAUACAUGUUACCCUCCUUACAAGUUGGUUAAAUCAAACGAUUCUCUCCAUAUUACAUUAUUGUUCUAAAGAGAAGUGGAGUGAUGUGCUUCUUUUUUCUUUAGAAGAAACCAUUACAAAAGUAAACGUGUAGUCAGAAAUAACCAAAAACAACGUUAAUUAAACUAAUAAAAUGUAAUUGGAGUCAUGCUUAAUAACACUAUCCUAAGAAACUAUUUCAUGAGGUUAAAAUGUUUCCCCAAGAUUAAACAAGGCUUCUUCUUGUUUAUAACAAGAAGGAUCAAAACUUUAGCAAGCGUUAGCUAAAUCCAGCAGAGAGGGAAAGAAGAGAAAAAACAAAAAGAAGUAUAGCAAGAAAACUGUCAGGAAGGUCUCUACUAUCAACUGUUGGUGUAUUUCUAAAGUGGGAGGGAAGGGGGAAGGAGAAUGUGUAGAGACCUACACCAACAGCUAGCUGACAGUAGAGACUUUUCUGACACCAUCUACACUGUCAGCUCUACACCAACAACUGACAGUAGAGACCGUCCUGACAGUUUUCCUGCUCUACUUCUUUUUCUUAUCCUUCUUUCCCUCUUUGCUGGAUUUAGCGGACGUUUGCUAAAGUUCUGAUCCUUCUUGUUAUAAACAAGAAGAAGCUUUGUUUAAUCCUAGGGAAACAUUUCAACCUCAUGAAACAAUUUCUUAGGACAGUGUCGCUUCUCCAUCAUCUUUCACACAUUCUCUAGUACAUUCUCCUUUGCCCUCCUCUUCCUCUCCAUCUAUUUCCCCAUCUUUUUCUUCCACAUUCUGCUUCGGUCUCCUCUUCCUCUCCAUCUAUUUCCCCCUCUUCCCUCUACUGUUUCUUCUCCAUCUACAAUCUUUUCUCUUCCUCCUAUAGAGCUCUUUUUCCCAUUGCUUCUCCUCCACUUUCUCCAUCUACAAUCUUUUCUCAACAAAGAUAUGCAACUAUUUCAAAACUUUUUUUGUCACCCUCUGUACAUCUCUUACCCUUAUUUUUUCUUGAGCAAUCUCAACAUGAUGUUCUAGAUAUUCAAGCUUCCUACCGGAUAGUGGCGACUGCUUUCUCUUUUUUUAAAUUUCUAAUCUUUUUUGUACAUUGUCUUUUGUUGUACUUUCACCAUACUCAUGCUUGAUAGCAUAUUGAAAACCAGCUCCUUUUUUUCUUAAAUUUCUAAUUUUUUUUUGUACAUUGUCCUUUGUUGUACUUUCACCAUACUCAUGCUUGAUAACAUAUUGAAAACCGGCUUCUUCUACUCUUUUCUUUGUUUCUGGAUAUCACUAUUCCAAAAGAUUAAAAAGCACUGCAAAGUGAGUAACAAACACAAACUACAGAUCGAACCACAAGAAAAGGCGAUAGCAUAUCAAUCGAAACCUAGAGUCAUCUUAUGAUAGUUUACAAUAUAAGUUGUACCACAUUAGGCUAUAUGAGAUUUGUAUCAGCAACAAUGUGAAGUACAGUUUCAUCAUACUAAUACAAUAAAUAGCCAAAGAAGGUACAUUCAAAAUAUGCAACACAGCUUGUAAAAGGAUAAUAGGUUAGAAGGAGCACAAACUAAAACAUGCUCAUUUUUCUCCUACUCGGUAAAACUUCUUCUCUAUUCUUUCCUCAAUUUCUGUUCUGUUCUACCUUCUUAGGAUAACAUUGGCUAAUCUACUAGCUUGAAAACAAGGUGGGACAGUUGAGGCACACGGUCAAUCAGAAUAUUCUUUUAUCCUUUUUCAUGUUUAGGAGACAACACACAGAUGAAACUGAAAUCAAAGAAAGAGCUGAAAUAGUUAACUACUGAACUAAAACAUAAUACCCCUUAAAACAACAAAGGCAUAAAAGACAAGCACAUGUAAAGACUAUGAAGAAAGAUCAGACCAAAUAUCCAAAAUCACAGCUAACUUGAUUCUUUCUAUCCAAACCUCAAACCAAAGCAUAUUGUUCACAGACCAAGAAACCAUCAAAGAUAAAUAAAAAAUAAAAAAUAAACUCAACAACAGAUUAAAGGCAUUUAUGAAGCAAUUUGACAAAUAUUUAAUGUGAUUAUAUAUGAAAAAUUUGACUAACAAACCUAACAACAAGCAAUAAAUUCUAAUAAAAACUCCCCUAGCAGUUGAAGAAGCUUCAAAAUGAAGAAAAAAUAGCAAAAUAAAAAAACAACUCAACUAAUAAAGGAUGAAUUAAUGAUGAUGAGUGCAAACUUUAUAAAGCAAGAAAAGAGAGAAAAAGGAAAUCACCCAAUGUCAUCCACGUAAAGCAAAGCAAACCCUUUUUUUAGUGUUUUUCUCUCAUAGAAGUGAAAUAAAAGGAAGCUCAAAAUUUAUAUAUAUAGGCCUAUCUAAAUUUGUUAAAAAACAGAGAAUAAAAACAAUGUUCUGAUGCAAUCUACUGGCUGGAAAUUCCACAGAAGCACAAAAUAAUUGAUCUAACAGUCAAAAUCAGUGAAGCAAAAUCCCUAAAUUCAAGAGGGAGGCAAUAUUUUUUAUGGAAAAUAAUACCCUUGAAAAAUCAUUCCUGUAUGCGAAAGAAUGCCAGAGGCAAGGAAACAUGCAAAAAAAUUAAUUUCACGGGUAAAAAAAAUCUAAUCGAAAAUGGGUUCUGUACAUUUUUCAUGGGGAAAAAGUACAACUGAUAUACUAUAAAAAGACCUAACCAUGAAUCUACCAAAAAAUCUCAGCAAGUAAACCGACAGAAAGAGAUAGAAGUAGUUCCACAUUCGUGUUUGCUGUUGUGUUUGUCAAACAUAGUUUUUUAGUUCAAAUUUUGUGUAGAUUGUGGGAGUUCUCACCAAUAUCUUCACAUGAAUGAAGAUGAUAUGGCUGACAAGCUAUGCAAGUUUUUGAGGAGAAAUAAGUAUCUCAUCAUUUUGGAUGAUGCUUGGGACAUUGACGGGUGAAAUUUGUUGAAGCACUCACUGCAAGAUGAUUGCAAUGGAAGCAUGAUACUUUUAACCAGUAAAUUUCAGAAAUUGUCAUCGCAAAUUAAACCUGAUAGUGAGGAUCACCAUCUUUGCCCAUUACUGAUAAAGAAAAAAGCUAUUUGACAAAAAAUAUUGUCCUCCAACAAUAAGUGAAGUUAUAUUGCGCGUAGUAAAAUACUGUAGGGGCCUAUCUCUCACAAUUGUCCCUAUUGCUGGAAUUCUUGCUACUACUAAGCAAGAUUGCUAGGCAGAAGUUGCAAAGACGUCUAAGUUCCAGCAUUUUUGUUGAAAAGAAAGAUGAUAGUGGUGUGGGCAAUUGGAUUGUAGUUCUUUAGGGAAGGCGUCUAAUUGUGGUUGAGAUAUUUAGCUCCCUAUUAAGCUUCGGACUCAGCCUCCUCAGUGUAUUGCUCCCAUGUCACCGAACUCACAUGCCUCUCAGAGUAGUUGGACUUGCAGCUUCUGAAACGCUGAAAUUGCUCUCCAAUUUCACAAACAGAAAACAAGACAAGAAGAAUUCAACCAAAAAUAAUUUACACGCCUGAUUAAAAAUCUCCUAAAAUAUGAUAUAACUUUUUUCUUUUUGCUCCAAAAUAUAAGUCAUAUCUCAAAAUGGUUAUUGAUCUUCAGCACUUACCCCAAGAGUUGGGUCAAAGAAGACACACUCCAUCUCAGCAAACCAAUCUAUAUUAUGGUUUUAAUUCCAUAAGAAUGUAGUUUGUAUGAUAGGACUCAAUCCAUGCACCAUCGUAAAUAAUCAACUGAAUCUUGCAAGACCCAAUUGAAACCUGUGAACGACACUAAAUACAGCCUUGAAAUAGAAUCUCUAAAUGGUGUCAGCAAUUGUGGCAUGACAUGGGUUAAGUUGCUCGACUCUCUCAAUGGUUGGCUAAGAAAGCCUCAGAAUAGGAGAUGACAAAGUCAUCUUCAGUGUCUGUAGAAGAAUAGUUGGAAAAUAAAAUUUAUUUCUUUUCAAUUUUUUUCAACAGUUUUUACUCGAAAAAAUUGGAGAUGAACAAUACACUAUGAAGAAAUCAUAAUUUACAAUGAGACUUCAAUGAGACAGAAGUCAUAUUUGAUUUAAUACUGUUUUUCUUUUCCCCUGUUGUGGCUGCUGAAUCCUUGAGAAACUAGGGAGUUUCAGAAGCCGCAAGUCAAAAAAAUAUUCAGAUGUCUGAGGCACAUGAAUUAAGAGACGUAGCAGCAAUACAGUGAUAAGGCCGACUAAGCGGAGUUAAUAAGGGGGCUGAUGAAGAAGUCAGUUCCUGACUCGAGCGUUUCUCAAGUUUUGACAGCGACACAGGCUGCUUUGCGGGAUUCGUUUCAUCAGUUGGUGUUGUCCGCCCCGUCACCUGUCUCUGUAAUUUCUCAAGCUGCUGCGAUACCUGUGUCGUCAUGGCUCGAGCAGAUGGUCUCGUUAUCGUCAGCGCAAUCUGAUUAUGCUAUUAUUUUGGCAUUAACGGACAGAUGGUUUGCCUCAGGUCUCGCAGGCCAGAGAGGGGCUUCGAUCCAUAUUAGAGUUUCCCAAUUUUCAGUCGUUUGAGGAUGCAGUUAAGCAUGUAAAUUAUCAAUUAAAUAGAUGCUCAACUGUUCAAGUUAGUCUUUUCAGCCAUUGCAAUUUGUAAGAGCUUCAGAGUUCCAUAGCCACAAUGGACGAUUCUAUUUUCAUGAAUGCCGCUGAUUAUAUACUUGGCUUUUGGUAAAUCAAUCUAUCACUCAACAGAUUAAAUUAACUCUUAAUUACUAUUUUCUGGGACUAAGUUUUGAUGGUAGCUCUUUAGCUUAGCAGAUAUUAUUUUAACGAAUUUUCUAUAGGGAAAAAUGUAAAACAGUUUAGGGCUUUGUUUGGUACUCACAAUUUUGAUGUUUAAGUUUUCAUUUUUCAAAAGUACAAAAUAAACAAAUAUUAUGUUAAGAAUUAACUCUUAAUAAUUACCACCUUUUCUUCCACAAUAUAUCUAUGAAGUCAUAUUAACUUAAGAGAUUCCUACUGCUUCGCACUUAUAUCAAUCAUCUCAUUCUUGGUCCCUUCUUCUUUAAUUGUACAAAUAUCUCGCAAUGAACAUAGAUCUUAAAUACUAUAUGCAUAACUAAUUUAAAAAAUUGUUGAAUAAGGAUAAUAGGACUUUUUUUUUUUUUCAUUCACAGUAGGUUCGGAAUCUUACAAAAUGGAAGGGAAAAGAGAAAAGUUUGAGAGUUGAAUCAGGAAUUUCUCAAUUACCUAACUAAUAAUGUUCCUACUCAUUAAAUUAGUUCUUAAAGACGAAUAUUAAGGCUUUGUAAUACAGUGAGUGGUAAGCUAAAUAAUUAAUUAUUUUGAUUAAUAAGAUCAUAAGUAUGAAGGAAAAUAACCGAAAGGUUGCAAAACUACUAUUAUGCGUAUAUAUUAGUUGUAGAAAGUGGUAAUUUAUUAGAGAAAUUAACUGACGUUUUCCCAUCAAGAAGCAAAUAUACACAUCCAAAUCACAUGCCUUUCUCUCUAAUGUGAAAAUGAAGCGACAUCACUAGCAACUCUGUCUUCUUGAAAAAAAGCAUUGCAUACAGAGUGAUAAUGACACUUUUUUUUGUCUCCACAAUCAUUUCCAUUCUUGUUCCCUAGUAAGUCAUUCGAACAGAUCUAAGAACUUAAUGAAUUGAAAAAUGCUCUGUUUGGAUCCCCUAUUUUUUGGGUGUUUUUCAAAAAUUAGUUUUUCAAAUACAAUAAAAAGUUUUAGAAAGUACUCUAAAAGAUAAUCUAAAAAUUAGUUUAAAUUUGUUUAAAAUUUUAGAAACUCUACUACUCUUAAAUAUCUCAAAAUAUUUUCUAAAAAUAUUCCAAAAUAUAUUCUAAAAACUCUGCUACCCCAAAAUAUUAUAGGUGCUUUCAGACCGUUGAGUUUGACAUAUUCACUAUGUCAAAAGAGAAAUGAAUACAUGAAACUGUAUGUAUAUACUAAUGAAACCCGCCAAAAAUUGUCAAUCCAUUAUCAAAUGUUCGCUCUAUACAAUGCAAAGGUAGAACUCCAAUUACAUCACCCUAUAAAUGUUGACAUGUAUACUGUUGUUUUUGUCAAAUACAUCAUAGAAACAAUUUUGUCAUUGGAAAUUUAUGCUCAAUUUCCUCUAGAUGUAUCCCAAUUUUGGGUCAUUGAGUCAGCAUUCAAAAGUUUUAGGCGCUGGAAGCGACCCUUUUGUACUGCUUAUACUUGUGGUCAAUUUUGGGGCUUCAGCCAUAGUCAAUUUCCAAGCCGCCAUAGUCUGCAGCAGCCCUAUAUAUUCUUCAACCCCCACAUAUAUAGGGGGAAAAAAAAAGCAUUUUGCACAAUUGUCUAAAAUUUCAAAACAUUAAUGUGCAAUGUUAUCAAAACAGUAAAAGAGAUCAUUUACACGUUUGCAAAGUGAUCAAGGUUAACUUUCAAGAAGCAAUUAUACUUACCAUUAUCAUUGUAUUACACAGAUGCAAGAAUUGUGUACACCCUCUAAUUCUCCAUCCUCUGACACACUACGACAAUCAACAUUCAGGAAAAAAAAAAAGCCAUAAGAAUCACGAAAACAUAGUCAAAUGCUGCCCAAAAUACUACCCAUUUUUUCCUCCAACAAAAGAUAAGUUUGCAAUCUAAUUAGCUUCAAAUAUUAGUAUUUUUAGAUAUAGAAAAGGUAAAAGUAGGCUUCAUUUAUAGCAACCAACCAGCAUUCUUGUUUUCGUCUUUACUUUUUCGUUAAUUCAAGAGCUCGAUAUGAUUGUUAAUGCAUUAGUUUAGGACAUUUUUGCUCCUCAAAACUCUAAUAUUUUUUCCUAGAUCACAUCAUGCAAAUUUUGAUAAUAUUAUAGAAUUUAUAGUGUUAAACACUUAUUUCACUCCAAAUUUUUUCAAAAAAAUAAGAACACCAUUGGGGCUUUCUUUCUCUUUUUUUUUGGUUGUUGGGCCGGGGGGGGGGGGGGGGGUGAGGACACUUGGAGAGAUGAAGGAACUUCUAUUAACGUACCUUGGCUCAAACUCUUGAACAUGAGCAAUAUCUUUGCCAUGGGCGUCCGGCCAGUUAACUUUCCUCGACCCUAUCCUUAGCUGCUGACUAAAUUCUAAAGGUUCAGUCGCUUUCUUCAGAUUACUCUUAAGAGGCAUGGGUUCAUUAAGCUCUUGAGAUGCAUCAGACCCACCAAUGUCACUCGCGAUGCCUCCACUGUUCUUGACUUCAACUUGUGAUUCCUCAUCAAAACAAAAUUCGUGAAAAAACCCAUAUUUCUUCUCUAAUGAUCUAUGCUUCCUGUGAUUGUUGCUGGUGCCACUUCUCCUAACACCUUCGUCGUCUUUGCUGUCGGAAUUCCUCGCUGCUACGUAGCAUGAGCACACUAAAGAUGUGCACCUGUUAUGCCCUGAGGCCGCCAGGAGUGCAGAAAAGAGAAAAAAAAAAAAGAAAAUGGUAUUUAAAAUCUUGAUAGUGUGAAAGAAAUUUUCAUUGACUUAGCUCAUAGGAUCAAAUGGAAAAUGAAGUGGCUAAGAAGAUUGAUGUAUAUGCGUAAUGCUUUGUCUUCACUUUCAGCAAAUUCCAAAAGGUUUGAUUAGGUUCAUAUUCUGCACGUAGAGAAGAUAGUGGGUUGAAAAUUUUGAAGCAUGCGGGUGCGGUUUUUGGUGGGAUUUUGUGAGCCUGGAAAAGAAGAAAGGAUACAGAACUAGGGAUAAUCAUUCUCUCAUGCUUCGCCUCCACUAUCACUUGUUCUCUUUUCGCUUUCAUACUCAUUACAGUAGUCCAGUGAAAUAGUGAAUCAAUGGGGGAAAAAAUAAGAAUAAUAUUAUUCUAUUAUCUAAUUAGGAAAACUUUUCAUGAGAUUCCAUGUUUAUUAUGGUGUCAUGCACUUACGCUAUUUUCAAAUAACCUAUUGAAUAAUAUAUCAUGUAUCACAAGAUGCAUUAAUAUCAAUUAUUCGUCAUCCAAUAAUAAUAAAAAGCAUCUGUUUCCUUAUUUGAUGAUAAACGAUUGAUAAUAGUUCAUCACAACGUAUUGUUAUACCAUAUACAUGGUGUAACCAAUUUUUUUUAUUUUACAUUUAGCCUUUGUACUUCUUUCAACAUUAAUUCAGAUAUAUGAUGCCAAGGUACAAAUUGUUUAUGCAUGAUUAAUGAUAAAAUAUGUGCAAUCGAACUGGUGACCGAGUAAGACUUGUCCAUUUCCUUCUGGUCCCCAGUCCCAAUAUAUUUUUUGUGUAUGAGUAUUCUCUGCGUGUCUCCUUUUGUCCCGCUUAUGUAUUAUAUAUAUGACUUGCCAUCAUAGACAGUUAAAAUCGCAAUUCUAAUUAGCCAAGUACACUUUGGCUUUCCUUAUUAAUUAUCUUUUUCUUCAUAUUGUUUGAGAGAAUCAUGCACCAUUUGUGGCUUUUUUUUUUUCUUUUUUAACCUUAGUCAUACUGUUCUGCACUUCAUGUGAAUCUCUAAUCCACCAUCAAGAAAUUCCAGUGAUGUGAAAAAUAUGAAUCACUGCAAAGUUAAUACAUGAUCACCACUUUUACUACCAUGGCACUUUAAAUCAUGAGAUGACACGAUAAAAACAAGAACUUUUUUUAAAAAAAAAAAAAAUUUGGUAACCAUGAUAUCAAGAACAUUAUUGUAUAGAGAAAAGGGAAGGAAGAGGAUUCCAUACAAGCAAUUGAUCCUUACGCAGUGUGAAAUUUUAGAGGUCAAUACUUAAAAAAAGAACCAGCUAUGUGUCUAUUGUUGAUUUUAGGGUGAAGAUGUUAAUCAUUUUCUUUCUUUGGUGCAAUAAGUCUAGUGCUUUUUCAUUAAAGUUGAUGAUAAAAAGCACCAUGCGCGUGUGGCAUUGAUAUAAAGCAUGAUUUUGUGCUCGUGAUAGUGUAACAUAAUUAUGAUGUCUUCUUCUUUUUUUUUUCCCAUGAACUGAAAGAUUAAUUAUACUGGUAUAAUUGUUUUGACAGCCAAAAUAUGUUUAGCUCUUCUCUGUUUAUGUUACACUCUACUACAAUUAAUUAACUGCAUACUUCUAAUCUCCAGCUCGAGGAGAUGAAAGCCUUUACAAGAACUUCAACUCGUGCAAGUUUUCUCCAGUUGGUCUUUUGCCCAUUCUCGAUUACAUUGCAAUUUUUUUUUUUUUUUUUUGCUUUUGUCUUAGCCUUUUGACUUCAAGCUGCAUGAAAGGAUUGAAAGUUCACACUUGUGAAUUUGAAAGUUCGAGAUUCAGUCCUAGUAGACUAAUAUUGAAACAAAUUACAUCACCAUAUAUACUUGUGUCAACAGAAAAGAAGGUUAAACUUCUUGCCUCUUUCUUGUUUUUCUCUUUUCUUUUCUAAUGAAAGUGAUUUUAGUCAUUAAUUUAAAUCAUGUUGGGUCUUAAUCAAAAGGGUAAGUUUCUUACCCACGCUUGUACACUUCAACGGAAUUUCUAAAGAAGGCCCAAUUAGAUGUCAUGGUUACAUAGAAAACACCACUUAUUCUUGGAAAUUAAAAUAUACAAAUUAGUCAGUAAAAAAAAUGAACAAAAAUAAAAUUCAGCAUUUCGAACUUUUUUUUAUGGUCUUAAGGAUCCAACAAGUUUGGGUGUAACCUUCGAGAAUACCUCAAGUAAUCAACAAAAAUUAUAGACUAAAACUGUUAUCCAAUCUAGAUUCCGAAUUUUUUUUGGGCAAAGGAGAAACUAAAAAACAAAAUCUCUUUAUUAUAAUCUUAAAUGGGCUAGUUGAUCAGUAUUCAUUAAGAAUUAAUUUAUACGGUUAAACUUUGCCGGAAAGAAUAUGCUCACCAAAAUGUGCCAAUGGGCAUACGAGUCAAAAAAAAAAAAAAAAAGGGAACUGUCUGGCAUUAAUUCCUUGUAUAUGUGUACAUGAACAUUCACUACAAACAAAUACUCCAAAUUCAAAACCCCUUCAAAGUUGCACACAGUAAUAUUCUCACAAUUUAUCGAACCCUCUAAUCGGCAAUUAACCUCCAAGAAAAAAGGAACAAGAGAGUCAACGAAAAUGUGAUGAAACUCAGUAACUUUUAGAAUAUAUAGAUGGAGUGCUGUUUGACCUAGCCUUGUGGUGAAGGAAUCGUUUUUCUCUGUGUUCUUUUUCUCUUGUCAUUAGCAUAACACUUAAAGAAUUGAUCAAAAUUAGGUGUGAUUACUUUUAUAUAUAUAGCACAUCAGUCUGACAAUUGCUUAGCAAGUUUUCUCCACCAAAAACACCCAUAAAAACGCAAAGAUAAGAGAGAAAUGUUUGGGAGACUGUAUGAAGAGAUUGAAAUUAAGGUGGCAGCAAAUGAAGCUUGGAAGAUUUUUGGAGCGCUUGAACUUGGCCAUCUUGCUUUUCAACAACUCAGUGAUAUAAUUCAUAAAAUGGAGGUAUUAGAAGGCGAUGGGGGUGCUGGUACAGUAAUCAAACUCAGCCUUCCUGGUAAUUAAUCCAGAAUGUACUCUACUUUUCUUGCUAAUCUUUGAGGAUUUAUGUUUUAUGCACUAUCAACACACACACACACCCAUGCAUACGUGACCCCUUAUAGUUUUUCAUAUUGCCACAUGACCCCAUUAGAGUUUUAAAAUAUUCACAUAACCUUCUUGUAAUUUUAUGUAAAGUGAAAAGCGGACGGGAAGUACUAAUGGUUACAACGAAUGAACCAAACAAGCUUCAUAAUACAUAUGAUGGAAUCAUAAUAUCCACUUAACCCCUUAUGAUUUGUGUUAAUAUCCAUUUCACCACUUAUGUUUUUUUAGCCACAUAAUUCUCUUGUGAUUUUAUGUAAGGUGAUCAGAUUGUUAUCUAAUUUAGUGUUUAAGUAAGGGUAAUACUGAUAUUUUAACUAAUGGCAUUGUAGAGGCUUUUUUCCAUCAAAUUUUCACUAUACAGAAAAGCAUAGAGGGCUUAUGUAGAUAUUUUGAAAUGCUAAGGAGUUAUGUGGCAAUCUGUGAAUUCACAAAGAAAUUAAGUGUAAUUUAUCCCCAAAAAAAAAAUUGUUAUACUUGCGGGUAUGAAUUCAUGACACAUAAUCUGACUUACAUUAAAAACUUUCUUUUACCACAUAUGACAUACAUGUAGAAAUUUCUCGAUUGUACAUUUUUUUUUAAUUUUCGGGUCAAGAAAUUCUCGUAGGUAUAACAAGUAUACAUGUAUUUUCACAAAACUUCUCUCGCAAUUCACAAUCUUUUUCUUUUUCUCUUAUUUUUUUUUCUAGCCCAUGUAAUCUCUCACGGUUGGCUUGUCCCUGUACGAAUUAUAAUUGACAAGCUGAUCAUGAAACUGAUUAGGUAAUACCUAUUGCAAAGAAAUAUUUAAGGUGGUCGACCAUAAGAAACGAAUGAAAAUAGCGGAGCUUAUUGAAGGCGGGUUUCUUGAUAUGGGAUUCACAUUUUAUCAAGUUCAGAUUGAAGUGAUUGAGAAUGCCAAGGACGAAAACUCAUGCACGGUCAAAUUCACAAUUGAAUAUGAGGUGAAGGAAGAUGCAGCUGCUAAUGCUUCACUUGUCAGCAUCCGGCCUUAUGUUACUAUGAUGAAUGUUGGUGUGGAUUAUCUUGCUAAGAAAAAGAACAAGUGACUUCCCAUUUUUCUGCAUUUUUAUCUUUCUAUUUACUUCAACUAAUCUCCUUUUUCCUUGUGAUUUGUGAUGAAAAAAUUGUUGUAAAAGGAAUUAUACUUCGGUUAUUUUGAAGCAGGAAUGAGGAAACUCUGAAAAAAUGGUCCAUUUCAUACCUAAUUAUUUUUUUUUUCCUAUCUUGUUACAUUCUUGAUAAUGCAUAAUCGUCCCUUACACAUUCAACUCAUUUUUCUUGUCUGGACCGUCCUAAUAUAUCCGAGGCAAAAAUAGAAAGGGGUUGAAUUAUCCUCAAAGGUGAUUAUUUCCCCAAAAAAAAUUAAAAAAGAAAAAGGUGACCUUUUUACAUUUUUUCAAAUCAACGAAAAUGCCAGCCACUUGUUGUAAAGUCUCAGGUUGGUUAUAAGCUAAAAUUGAUAAGUCGGUUCAAUCUUAGUGCUCCCUCCGUUGCAAUUAUUGUAUCAUUUCAGAAAUUCAACUUUUUAAAAAUAGUUAUUUGAUUGUGAUAUUUAUACUUUUCUUUCCAAUUUUACCCUCACAAAUUCAAAUUUUGAAUUUAAAUGGUAACAUACUUAUGAUUAAAAAAUGGACUAUAUUGGAAGGAGAGACUAAAAAGAGAACUGACUUUCUUAAUAUGACAAACAUUUUAGGACAUUUCAAAAUGAAAAGUAUGACGCAUUCAAUGAAACUGUUGGAGUAUUUGUUUCCUCGCAAGAUGAGUUAUACUGUUUAUCUCCUUGCAAUAUCUAACAUAGGUACCCAUCCUAGUAAAAUUUUAGGUUGGUUGUCAGUUGAAAUUGAUAAAUUGGGUUUAGUGUUAUGAUUUUUAUCCCGGCUUUAAUAUGUUAACAAUUACAACAGUUUGAUUUUUGUCUUGGGGUGGCAAAAAACAGGGAAUCUCUUUUUCUCUUCUUGUAUUUAUUUUCUUCAUUUCAAUUGGUAGCAUUUCACUUCAAGAGUUGGCACACCAAACUCGUCAUGUUAUUACUUUGUCAUAGGGUGGUAGAUAAUGAAGAAUCUUUUUCUUUUGUUCAAUUUCCCUGUUUGGGUAUCUAGCACAGCAACUUGUCCCCAUAUAUCUGGUCAACAAUUUAAAUUCUCAGCCAUUCAAAAACAGUACUAGUAUACGCAGGCCAAAAACAUCCGCAGCAUUUUGGAAAAAAAAUGUUUGGAAAACUAUCAGAAGAGAUGGACACAAAGGUGGCAGCAAAUGAAGCUUGGAAAGUGGGGAUGAACAAAGUUUUUUUUCCUUUUUUUUGGGAUGAACAAAGUUAUGCUUGCUAUUCUCGAUUAAUUGUACUCCAAAAUUUGAAUGGUUAUCCAUUCUUGUUGGAUUUAGUCUUUCAAUAUUACUUAAUUGCUUUUCUAUUUUCGAGGGCAAGGAGGAGUUUUUUUUUUCCUUUCAUUGUUUAACCCUUUCGCACCUUUUCAUAUUCUUUCAAGUACACGAUUUGAAUCCUAAACCUAACAGUAAAAAAGAUUCUAAUAACCUUACAUUGUCUUGGGAAAGGUUUUAGCUGUAAUCUUAAUAUAUAUAUAUAUAAAGAACUCAAGUAAAUUUCACAAAAGAAGAGGUGUACCACUUAGUAAACCUUAAUCAGCCAUUACAGGCCACAAUAUCCACUACCUAUCAACAAGAAUAGUGAUAAGAAUCCCCAACUCUGCACAAUGUCAAUGUUUUCCUGAGACCUUUUUACAACUUUCCAAUCAACGAAAAUGCCAGUCACAUCCUUGACAAACUCUUUACGUACGAAGUGAAGGGAGAACAAAACUUUCUGAAAGACACUUUGAUUUCUAAACCUCACAGAUGACAGAAUGUAGUAGCAGAAGCAAUCCUAUGCACUAAGCAGACAAAAAGUGAACUUGUGCAUUUCUGUACCAUCCAUUGCAAUUCAUGAUCUCAAUCAGCAGUAUAUCUAUAAUUUAAACAGCAUCUUUAGACUAAUCCCCAUACAUGAGCAGAAAAUUAAAGAGACAACAGAAAACUAGAUGGAGCAUACUACCACAAGGAUCCCAACUUAUCCUUUAUUGUAAUUUGUUAAUAAUUUGUCCUUUGUUGUAGUCUUUGACCAAAUAAUGUCAAUUGUACAAAUAAAGACCCCACACAAUUUUAUUUGGAUUGCAUUUAAUAUAAAAUUAAGGGACUCCAUAGUUCCGUUUUAAGUAAUUUCAUUCAAAAACCAACUAUUAGACUUAUCAAGUAAUUUAUCCAUACCGUGAUAAAAUUUCUGAAUGAAAAUAAUAGAAAUCACCUUGCAUUAUCCAAAGUGAGGUUUAUCAAUUCAGCCAAAACAACAAAUGUGACUACAAAAAUACGAUAUGUUAAUGCGGUAGACAAACACUUGAAAAUAGUUUUAAAAAAAAAUUUAAAAGAUGGAUCAAUCUUUUAUUUUAUUUCUACCCCAUAUAGCUGUGAGUCAAAUAAAAUAUCAUUUUUCAAUAUUUAUUUACUAGAAUUAUCUCCUAAUCAAAGACCUUGUGAUCAAAUUCUAUAACAAUUGAAUAAAAAAAUUCAAGAGAGAUGACAACAUAGUUUUUUUUUUGCUCGGGCAACAAUAACAGUUGUAUAACAUAUUCUAUCCUAAUCUACAAGGAGGGGGAGCUUAAGGAGACUUGUGUAUCGGGGGUUGGUAGCUAUACAGACCUGACUAAAUCAAAGGGAUGCUAUAACACAUCUCUUAAAUUUUUUUUUGCUGCAGGUGGAAUUUAAACUCCCCACCUACAGCCCAAUGAGGGACUUAAGUCCCUCUCUAAGCUCGGUGGUUGAUGACAACAUGGAUCAAAAGUUUUCAAAACGCAAAUUUCAUUCCUCAAAACUAAAAAUUAAAAAGCUGUCCAAGUCAAGGGAUAAGAAGGGUUAGAAAGGUGAAACCCAACGACGAAAACAUGGGCUUCAGAUAUUCUCUAGCCCAGAACAUUCUCAAAUAUUUGGGCUCCUGCUUGGGGCCCAAAUUUUGUUAUUAUCCUCAUCUCCUCCGGCGGCCUAGUUUUUUUCUCUCUGGCGAACCGGCGAGGAAAGAGAACAGUGGGAUUUUCUACUCUAGAAAAUGAACAGGUAAUUUAAUUAUUCCCAUUUUCUUGUGUUUCUAAUUCGAUUUUAGUGGUUCAGAAGAUUGUAUUCUCCCCCCAGAGUCAAUUUUUGAAAACUUCCUGUUAAAGAAUGUUGAUGAUUUCUUAAACGAAAUGUGCAUGUAAAUGUGUAGCCAAAAAAUUCUAAAAGAAAAUCAUGAAGAAAUCAAGAGCAGCUGGUGUUAAAGAACGUAAAAAGAAACGAAUUUUGAUUUGGGUUUCUGCAGCCCUUUAACUUUGAAGAGCUAAUUGUUCAUGUGAUGUGUUUUUUGAACAAUUAAAAGGGCUGUAAAAGCUUCUUGAAUUUUGAACCCAAAAAAAAAAAAAACAAAGAGCUUCUUGAAAGUGCUUCUUUAAGUUUUACUUGUAUACUUAUUAUAUGAGUAGAGGUGAAAAUUCAAUCUUUUUCGGUAUACAUUUGGAAGUUUCUUGGAAGAUAUCUUUUAUAAAUAUUAUUGAAUUGGUUGUCAGCUGAUUCUAACUCCAAACUGAUAUCUGAUGUCUUGCAUUUAAUGUUUGCGAGUUGUAUGCAGUGUAGUCGAAGUGACAUAGUGCAUGUAUGAAUGGAAGAUUGUAUAAAUUAUCUCGUUGAACUGUCUAGAGUCAGUUUUGAAGUGAUUCUAUCUACUGAUGAUAUGAAAAGUAUUACACUUUAUGCUUGCAAAUCUUAUGUGGACCUAUUUAAAGUAAGACCAUCAUGUGGAGAUUUUACACCUAAUAUGCGUAUCAUUAAGUGUAUCCAAUGUCUUGUAAUGAUUCAAAGAUUUUACUUUGGAGGGCAAUCAUUUGUGUUGUUUUUUUUUAUGGUUCUCAAUGUAGGGCAAUUGUUAGGAGAAUUACGCCUAAUAUCCGUACAUGGAGAUCCACCCUGAAAACUUUCUGUAGUGAUACAAGUGAAAAGUUACAUGGUUCAGACGGUGACAAAGCAGUUACAGUAAAGUCUUCAUCCUUGGUUAAUAAGUUUGACCUUUUUUUAUUAUAUUUUUAAUCUCAUUACAGCUGUCAGUUUAAACCACGAUCUUGUCAUUUCCUGUGCUUCUAUAUGUUGCUAGCUCUUGCUUUGAUGGAUUAUUUUUUAUCAUGCAUAGUUGAUAGAGUUCAAUAACUUCAUUUUUGUCAUUUCCUGUGUUUCUGUAUGGUUUGGAAGAUGCAUCGGACAGACAAUUUGAUUCUUUGUCACUGGAAGCUGAUAAAAUCUUGUGCUCUGCUAAAUCUAGCCGGAUAAAGUUUAUAAGGCACUUUUGUUUGUUGGUGUGAUUUUUUAGUUUCAUGCUGAACAUUAAAAUGGAAAACAUUUUUUUUUUUAAAUAGGAGCAAUGGGCACCAUAGGUUGUCAUGUAAGUAGGAAGCUACCGCAUGAGAUACGUAUGUAACUUUGAACAUAUAGUAGUUGUGUCGGAAAACUAAUGGAAGAUAUUUUCAGGAGGUUUUGGUGAUGGCAUUGUGCAAAGUUACACAUGCAGGAAACAUACAUUUGAUGUUUCACUGUCAAUUAACUGAUAACUAACAUAUUAAGUCUGAUUAUACCUCACUUUUACUGCAUUCCACUACCAAAUGCAAAUGGCUGGUGGUUUGUAAUGUUCCUUUUCUUACAUUGCUUCCCCUCUGCCACCCUACUCUUUCACAUCCUUAUAAUUUUUCUUAACAUUUAUGAUUGCUUAUGCUCGCUUAUAAAGAAAUUAACCUUUUAUUCUGUUCUGUUUACUCCAUCUAUUUAAUGAUCAUCCGAGAGCAUGUUUUUUUGUUUUCCCAUUGUUCUCUCUCUUAUGUCAUUUUGAUAAUCUCAAUAACCUGGAGCAAGAGUAACACGAUUUAAUUUCAGUCAAAAAUAUAUUGAUGAUACCUGAAAAACUUGGUAGCUAUAGCAUGGUAUGCUAAGGACGGGAUCUGUGGUUACCUUAUUGAAGGAAUGUCAUAGUCAUGCUAAUUUUCUUUAUUGGUUCUUUAAUCUUUCAAGUGAUAAGGUAUAGAUUAGCCAUCAUGUCAGUCCUUCAUUCCUUCAUUUGGGAGAUUAUUAUUGAAAGUUUCUUAACUCAAUUUCUACUCUUCAAUGUUAAGCAGGACUCAACCGACAAUGUUCCUCAAUAUGAUGUUGCUAUUGUUGGGGGUGGCAUGGUUGGCAUGGCUCUUGCUUGCUCCUUGGGUACAAAAAUAAACAGCUUUUUUUUGUUUGAAUGUUAGAUAUACUUUUCUGAUCUUUAAUGUUUGUCUGCUUUGCCUUACCAUGCGCAUAUAGUGGCCUAGCUGUAAGUUAGUCCUGUAUUUAUGCAAAUAGUAGUUCUGUAUGUUUCAGAAAACAUAUUUUACAUCUUUGCAGUCAAACUUUAUGUUUGACUUGAUCUUAAACCUCCAACAAAAAGGUCUCAAUUUGUUUUUUCGGCUUCCUCCUCUUUUCUUCUUUCAUUUUUCUUUAUGCCUUUCUUAUGUGUAACAAUAUCCAAAAAUCGAUUUUUGAAGAGCCUUCUUGAUUGGUUAAACUUGAACGAGCCUUAUAUGAGUUUCACAUGCCAGUUAUAUAUUUUUGUUCUGCUUCUUUUUCUUGUUCUAGGGAAACAAGAGGAGAUGAUUAAUUGGAAAUGCUUUCAGUCUUUUUGAUGCAUUAAACUAGUUUUUGUGCACAUUGGAGUAUCUAGAUUACAUAAACAGUUGUUAAAAUGUUCUGCAGCUAGCAUGCCAUUGACAAAACAUCUGAAUGUUGCCAUAAUUGAUAGCAAUCCUGCACUGCUGGCCAGAGAUAACAUAAAAAAAGAGGACGCUCCAGAUCCAAGGGUCAGUACAGUGACGCCUGCAACUAUAUCUUUCUUCAAAGGUACAACCUUUGAAUUUUUCUUUCCUUUUUUUUUCUUUGCUGUGCUUGCAGAUAGUAUACUGGUUCGUGUUUCUUAUUCUGCUGUGUGGUCUUUUUAUAAUUAGGACAAUAGUAUGCAUGUGUAGAGAAUAGAGUUGUUAUUACAUCAACUCAUGUAGAGGCAUGCUGGUAGAUGUAUUAAAUAUUUUAGUCCUUUCUCUGCAAAAAUGGACCAUUAAAUAAUACUUAUGCCAAUUCAAAGCAUCAUGACUGUUAUUCAUUCAACUUAAAACAGUUCCUGUUGUAUGGGAAGGUUAGGCCCAUAGACUUGUCUAACUUUGAUAUUUUGGAUGAGGUAUAAAAAGAGCAAGUAGGGAGCUGCCUAGACCAACUUUACUGGCAAAAAAGAAUCUCAUGUUGACUGUGUUAGCAUUCAUUCAUGGUUAUGAGGUUGAGGCAGUGCCUUUACCUCUUCGUUAACUGCAUAACGGAGAUGCUUCAUUUUCUUUGCCGGUGGGAUCUUUUUCUGUCAUGUUCUUUUUGCAUGAACUUAAGCAACGGUUUUAGGGUAUUUUAGUCCUGCAUUUCCUUGCUACUCAAUCUCAUUGUGGCCAAAAACUACAACAUGCACCUUAGAUACAAAGGUUGUGUGAUUUUAGUGCUGCCAUAUAUUACCUGCCAGAUGAGGAAUUUAGCUAUAAUAAGUAGAAGCUUAUCUCUCUUCUCCCCAUACAUGGACAACAAUAAAAGAAGGAUGAUGAUUAGGUGGUAUGUGGUUUUGCAUUUCAAACAUGUUUAUCAGAAAAGGUAAACAUGAUUACCCUUUAUACUGAAUCUAUUUUAGGUUGUUCAGUUACUCAACUAGUUGAGUCUUUAUUCAAAGUGUAAUCUUUGUCUGAAAAGCAACUUUAGAUGAUAAAAAUGUUUGAAAAAACUUUUGACAUGAUAGUCCAAGCAUAAAUUUAGUUUUCAAUCUAAAAGGUCAAGAUUAAUGAUGUUAAUCUGAAGUCAAAUGUUAAAAAACGAUCAUGUUGUUAGUGGAAUGCUUUUUGGGGGGGGGUACUAAAAUACCCAUUUCAGUGUGAUUGUUCCCAACCUGAUGCCAAGUUUGUAGAAAUACUGAAACGCUAUUUGAGAUGCUUAAUUCUGAAUUUUCUUCUUCUAAAUGGUCCACUCGACUUUAAAAGGGAAUUUUUCAUACUUCUUCCAAGAUUAUGGUUGUUUAUCGUUGACCAACAAAGUAUGACAGUGGCGGCAUGUAGGUAUGGGUGCAUGGCAGUAUGUUCAACUGCAUCGGCAUGCCUUUUUUGAUAGGAUGCAGGUAAAUCAUGCUGUUAAUUUCUAUUCUCUAAGCAUCUUUACUUAUUUGGUGCUUGCGUACAAUGUGAACAGAACAAAAGUAAGCUUUCUUUGUCUUGGUGCAUGUUAUUUUAGGAUUUAGGAUCUACUUCCUUAUGGCAGUGUUGUAAUUGCAGAUUUUUGUUGUAGGACCUAAAACUGCAAUGUAGAAAUAUUUUUGUUUUUCGAAGGCCUUAAAAGGACAGAGCACAGCUCUUUACAGCCUCUGUCUUUCUGUUUGUUGCAAUAUAUGGUACUUGAUAGAAGAGUUUAAUCUGUUUCCUUUAUACCUUUGGCAUGUUGCAGUGUUUGCUUGAUAUGAAAGUAAGGAUUAUGUUACAGAAGUAAGUUACUUUUUAUUGUGUUUUGCUUUCUGAAAAACAAUGCACAACUAGUUGCCAAGUAAAUGCCUAAGGAAACAAAACUUAAAGACUCCAACUGGAAAUGUAAUGGUCGGGCCACAUAGUAUGUCCAACUAUGGAGGAAAGAGAUUUUUCUUUCCUUGGGAUGAAAGAUUAGUGUUUGAGCUGCCGAUAAACUUUUUAUUUGUGAGGUAUCUUAGAAGUAUGCAAUCAGACAUGGUAGGGUUAAUUAAAGAAAAAGGAUUUGUGUAGUCAGCAUGGAUAAAAAUGUUAAGUUUUAUGAUGUUGGAUUUGGCAGGGUUAUUUCAUUUACUUUACAUGUUGAAUAACAUGUAAUAUGUUGCAUUUUUAUCUCAUAUUUUUCGCUGAAUUGUCAUUGUAAUAAGAAUUAGCUGAAUUUCUGGAUUAUGCACUGAGUUGUGCAAGACUGGUACGUGGUAUGGGAAGAGUAUUUUCAAAGCAUCUAGUAAGUCAUAACAAAAGCCAUGCAAGUUGGUGGGCUAGCAUAAAUCUGAUACAGCAAGAGUGUUUUUGCCCAAUUGAUUUUAUCCAUAUUUCAUCAAAUUGCUGCCUUAUGAUUCUAUAGGUUUGGGAUUACACUGGUCUUGGAUAUACAAGGUACAGUGCGCGAGAUGUUGAUAAAGCUGUCCUCGGGUAAGAGUAACAUUUAACUACAUAUGUAUAAUCAUUUCCAUAUUCCAGUAGCGGUUGCUCGCAGAUGAUACGUGAUUUGAGAUUUUAAUUCAGGUGUGUUGUGGAGAACAAAGUGCUUCAAAGAUCUUUGUUAUCAUGCAUGGAGGUACUUUACUACUUAGCUGUUCUUUUUCUGUUUAUCAGUUGUGAUUUGAUUGUAGCUGUAAUUUUCCAUCCCUUACUUGGUUCAGUCUCUAUGAUGCUACCUGUAGCUUCAGCAACACUUAUUUAUUUUUUGAUCUUCACGAGAAACAUCUCCACUUUUGUCCCAAUUCCCCUUCUUUUGUACAAAAUGUGUACUAUCAUCAAUAUUGCUUCUCAUAAAGAAGCUUCUUACUUUUACCAUCAUGUUCUUGGUAUCAAUUUCUGAAGAGUAGGAUAUUGCAUCAAUAUAGUUGUCAUAGUUACCUUUUUAUUUGUGGAUAAGCAAAAAUGCUUCUGAAUAUCGUUCAAGAAUUGUCAUUUAAUGCCUUUUCGAAAAACUAAUGCCCUCUUCCAUGAAACAAAGUAGUGAUCAAACCAAAUUUAUCUUCUAGAAACUUGUGGUUUGUCUUGUUUUGUCCAUAAUUUCAUAGAUGGCCCAUAAGUUAGCUUAGAAUCUCAAUUUGAAUUAGCUUCAGUCUUGGAAGUCCCCAGAUGAUGAGUGAAAGCUGUAUAUGUACUUUUCUAUUUGUUUAGUGUGGGAACAUUUAUAGUUGAAAAUAAAAUGUGCAUUUUUAAUAAUAUAUGUAGAUUUUUCACUUGAAUAAUGUAUUUCUGCUUCUUCCAAUCCCAUUAUAAUGCUUAAGCCCAAUGCUGAAACACCUUAAUUGCAUAAUUUUUAUUUUGAGCAUGAGCUUAAGCAUAAGCUGUAUAGUUCUGCUUUGCUCGAGUUCUAACUUUACAGCCCUUUCAAUUUUUCACUCCUCCGUAGUCCCAAAGGAGAAAGGCUUAUUCAUUUUCUUCAUGUGUUUCAUUUGACAGCUUGAGCAAACUUCUAGUAUUUGCUUGACUUAUUUAAAGUAAUAACUUUCAGGACUCAGAUGUCAAGAAGAAAAUAUAUCCUUCUAGAUUGAAUUCAAUGACACUACAUAAAAGCUCCUUGUUAUCGGGAACAGACAGCAUAUCAUCAGAACCUUCUGGAAGUUUAGCUAAGCUGAACCUGAGCGAUGGUGAUUGUUUGUAUGCAAAGUUGGUGGUGAGUUCUGGCUUAAUUUCAAUUUGAUGAAGCAAAAGAUUGGCAAACUAGAAUAUGUUAAUAGGUGCAUCUUACAGAUGAAUUUGUUGAGUCAUGCUCAUCUUUCCACCCGUUUUAAAUCAAUUUAUUUGAUGCAUAUUGCAGGUGGGAGCUGAUGGAUCAAAAUCACAUGUCAGGAAAUUGGCAGGAAUUAGUACAACGGGGUGGAAGUACCCCCAAAAUGCAAUUAUCUGUACUGUUGAGCAUACAGAAGAUAACAGGUGUGCUUGGCAGAGGUUUCUGCGUACCGGGCCCAUUGCCCUUCUGCCAAUGGGUGAUAAUUACAGCAACAUUGUUUGGACAAUGGGCCCCCAACAAGCUGCGGAUCGCAGAUCAAUGAAUGAGGCUGAUUUUUUAAAAGCAGUUAAUGAUGCUUUGGAUGAUGGACAUGGUCCGCAUCCUCAAUCUGAACGAAUAGGAGACGGAGGAAUAUUGGCUUGGCUAAGAUCCGACGAGACAUCAUCAGCCAGUGAGCACUUUGAAGUGCCUCCCAGAAUCACUAAAUUGGCCUCGGACAGAAUGGUGUUUCCAUUGUCCUUAAUGCAUGCCAACAAUUAUGUAUCAAAGCGUGUUGUUCUUAUUGGUGAUGCUGCACAUACUGUUCAUCCAUUAGCUGGUCAAGGAGUGAACCUGGGUUUUGGAGAUGCAAAUUCUCUUUCAAGAGUCAUUGCUGAAGGUGUUGCUGUGGGAUCUGACAUUGGAGAGGUACGUUGAUAUCGCUAUUCUUGAUUCUGUCGGAUAUCAUUUUGAACUUGUCAUGGAUAUGCCUUUGUUUUCCUUGUUAGCCCAAGUUGAACCGUGCAAGCCAUGUAUUUUAUUAACUUCAAGCCGUUGCACUCUUUGUGAUAUCCAUCGUUGAACACAGACUGCAGUUGGAAGUAGUUGCCUAGAUGACCUGAUAUCAUUGCAUCAUUUUGUAUAUUUCACUGCUGCAUAUGGUCUGGAAAUGGAAUUUGAAGCAGUUGCUUAAUGUUUCUUUCAUUGUUCGUGCAAUUUCUGAUUUCAUUUCUGUGGAAUUACUACCUCUUUUUAUGGUCAGAUGGCGCUUUUGAAGAGAUAUGAAUCAGAAAGGAAAGCCGCGAAUAUUGCAAUGAUGGCCAUUCUUGAUGGUUUUCAGAAGGCAUAUUCCAUUGACUUUGGGCCUCUAAAUGUGUUGCGUGCUGCUGCCUUUCAUGGAGUCAACUACAUCUCACCCCUGAAGAAGAAUAUCAUUUCUUAUGCUUCAGGCGAGCAGAGACUUCCACUUUUUACAUGAAAUAGAUGUAAACUUUUUUUCUCUUUUUUUUUUUCUUGUUUUGGAUAAAAUAUAGAUGUAAACUUCAAGAGGCAUUUUGUAUGUAGAUGACUGAAUGUACGUGCAUAAUAAGCUUGAGAGUACCCAAACAUCAGCUUCAGGAAAAAAUACAUACAUAUACAUAUAUAUAAGCUCAAUUUUCGUUUGUGAAAUUGACUAUGGUCUCUCGCUAUAUUUUAUGCACCUUGCACCAGCUUAAUAAACUACGAAGUCGUCAAUGUUGCAAGGGGCAUAAGCGUCUACUGACAAAAUCCGAAGCAGCUCUUGCAACCUUUGUAUUGACAUUUUUAAUGUGUGUACACAAAUGCAGCUCUAUGUUCAAGGUUCUUAUCCACUUGUGUUGUACUUAAAUCCUAAACGAGCACUAACUAAUGCAGUAUUUUAUCAAUACAGAAACUUUUUAAGAGCGGUUUGAGGGGAAAAUUAAGGGGAAAGUCAUCACUAUUAUUUGGACAAGGUCAUCACUGAAAAAGCUUGAAAUUGCUGGUAGUAAGAGCAAAAUUAGUGCCCGGUUCAUUUACUGAGAGCUUCGCCUGCUCGUAGAUCAUGUGAAUGUGAGGGAAAUAACAAGUCUUGGAUGGUUAUUUAAAAGUAGAAGAGUUUUUAGAAAAUGUUUUGGAUAUUUUUUAAAUAUUAAAAAAAAUUUAAAUUACUUUUUAGAGUAUUUUUUAAAAAUUUUAAUAGUAUUUAAAAAAUUAAUUUUUGAAAAACUCUUGAAUCCAAACAGAGCAAGAGGUUUUGCAACUAGUGACGUGCUCAAGUUUUGUCAUGUACUUUAUAUUGGUAUUUCUUCAGGCCAAAACUCGGAUCUUCAUAGAUUCAAUGGUCGUGGUGUGACAUAAUCUGGAUCUACCCAAGUGUAUGCCUUCUUUCAAAUCAUUGGGGAACACCAAUUUUGACUGCACUUGUGGAAUUGAUUUUUUUGUUAAAACAAAAACAUAUAAGUGUCCUGAUAAGCUAGAUAAUUCACAACAAUCCUUCUAACAAUAGCCCUAUUUUAGUACUUACUUGCAUGUUUGGUGGUACUUAGGCAAAAGUUUUUAGCACUGUGACUUGGACUUCCAUUUUGUCUUUUCAUGAAUUCUUUUAUCAUGUGAAGGAUUUGUUUUUUUUUUUUUCCACUUGAAUGCAUACAAGCUUUCUCUUUUGCUAUUUUAAUGGUCUCUUUGAAGAGCUGUGGAUAAGAUUGUGUCAUUUCCAAAUAAUUCAGAAUUGAUGUACUGAUUGUUAAAAAGCCUUCCGUUAGGUGCUACUGUGCUAGGGAUGCCCAGCGUUAAGGAAAGCACCAAGGGUGACAAUCAAGUAGCAAUAACAUUGGAAUUUGAAGUAAAGAACUUUUGCACAAAUAGUUCAUUGAUUGGUUACUUUGAAAUAUACGAAAUAGCAUUGGAAUUUUGCCACAAGGGUUAAUUACAAAAACUCCCCUUAAGAUUUAGUUAAAGUUGCAGUUUAUCCCCUCAUGUUUAUUUCUUCUUAUUUUAUCCCCUAUUUCACUCCAAGUCGUUGACUAUUUAAGCAAUUAUAUUGACAAAAAAUGCCCUUUUACAUGGUUUAUAAGGAAGGACCCCUCUCCCCCCUCCAAGAUUCUUUGGAUGUACAAAUUAUAAGAUAUGAUUUUUACUUCUAAAUAAUUAUUUUAAUGUAAACUUUUGGAUAAAAUAAAUAUUAAUAUUAAUAUUCUUAAUUUGUUCACAAUCGCCAUGCAUGUAAUUACUUAAAGUGGGUAGAUCACGAAUUUUGUGAAAAAGGAAGACAAAUAUGUGUUAUAUGGCAAAUUUUUUUGUCAAAAAUUAAGGAAGAGAAAUACGUGUUUUGGUGUAAAAAUUACAUUUUUUCAACAAUUCUUGAAUGUAAUGCAACACAUUUUUCUCUUCGUUUUCCUCCAAGUUUAAGGUCUACCCACAUAAAAUAAUUACAUGCAUGAUGAUUCUAAGCAGAAAAAAUGCUAUUCAUAAUUCAAUUUAUUUUAUCCAAAAAUUCCAAAAAAAUCUAUGAUAAAAAUUGAAUAUUGUAAUUUGAACAUCCGAAGAGUCUUGUAGUGGUGAUGUGGCAAAUUGUGGUCCACUCGAUUUACAAGUGGGGGCAGUAGACCAAGCCUACACAAUUUUUUGCCUUUCUAUGCAUCUUUGUGCUAUUGGGCUGAGAAUUAACCCUACUUUCACUUUUAUUUUCUGUGCCUUCAUUCUCCGUGUCCUCUUUCCUAUCCCGUCUCCUAUUUCUUAUUUUAGUCUAUUUUAUAUCUUUUUACCUUCACCUCCUGUUUUUCCAAUCUCUCUUUCGUGAAAAUUUUUAAUGGACAAACAAAAUUUUAGUUGGUUUCUUAUCUUUCUUUCCUCUUGAUUUAGUUGGUUUCUUUUCUCUCUAGGUUUGAAUUUUUUCACUUUUACUUAAACAUCCUUUUGAUCUGCAAAAAAGAUAAAAGGGGAACAUAAAUCCGCUGAAAAGAUAUUCUUAGAUCUAUCUAAUACCAGUAAACGUCCUUUAGUAGAAGAAUAAGGAACAUAAAAUUUAUAUUUUUUAUUUUCUCAAUUUUUUAUUUAUUUUUUUUCCUCUUCUUUUUUUGUGUGGUUUUGUGAUGCCCAACCCGAUUCAAUUCAAAAAAAAUAUGGUACUCGACCCAUAUUAUUUGACUAGAUCUGAGGAGGUUUGGGUACCUGCUUAUAUGCAAGGUGGGUUUGGGGUUAGAGGACUGAGAACCUACAAGGUACUUGAUCUGCACCACACAUAUGUUUUUCAUUUUUACACAUAUGCAAAAUACUAUUUUAGAGCCAACUAAAUAAUUUCAUUGAGCAAAUUGCACCCCAAAUAUGAGAGAUUAUAAUUUGUUUACAAUAUUCAUUUGUAAAGGUCAUGAUCUUGUGAUUUUUAGAAAAGAGUUCAAUUGAUAUGGAAUACAUAUAAAAUGUUAAUGUUUAUUACAAUUUUCAAUGGUUAUGGAUUCUUUUAAUUUUUUUCUUUUUCUUGUAUUUUCUUUGCAUGUUUAUUUCUUGGCAUCAGACCUUUUUUAGGUAAAAUCUAAGCUGAAUCAUAGAUGAGUAUGUAAAAUAUAUAAUUAAAUUAGUAUAAAUUAAUUUUUAAUGGAUACCCACUAAUAUGAUCCACUUCCGGCGAGUACUCAAUGACUGAGUAUCCGUUGAUAUGUGGAGUGGGUAAGGACUAGAAAACAACUAAUCCGCAAAGUGUGGGUCGGAUUAGCCAAAUCCCGUGUGUCGGGGGAGUAUCAGACCCAUGCUCCGCACUUCUACCAACUAGAUAAAGGAACAGCUUUAGCUCACCAAGGAGUGCCAAAUGUCGAUACCCUAUUGGAGUGAGCAAAUUUGUUUUAGUUAUCUUGGGGUUUAAGGGAUUAGAAAUGUCCAUUUGAUCUUGGUGUCCAAACUGACAAUCCAAACAACCCCUUUCUAUUUAGGGUUAAUUUGAUUCAUGUACUGGUUCAGAUGGGAUGACUCAUCUUCGGAUUAUUAAUCCUGGGUUGAGUUAUUUUUGGAUUAAUAACUCAAGUUAUCUAGUGUGUGUUUAGUUCUAAGUUGGAUAGGAUAUAUUGAAAAAUAAUCAUAUUCUAUGUUUGGUUGGAGAUUGGAUGAUAUAGGAUUACUAUUUUAUGACCAAAAUGCCCCUUAAUUGGUAUGUUCAUUUUAGUAAAAUAAUUUGAUAAUUUAUAACUUUUAUUAAAAUAAAGUAACUUGAAACUUUAGAAUUAUAAAGUAAAUAUUUUAAUAUAUAAAAAUUUGCAUUCACUCAAACUCAACCCAUUUGAGCCCUUAAAAAUAGGUUUUAACUUAGUUUUUUAAUCUGAAUUUGAAAUUUAAUUAAAUAAUGGGCUGAGUUUUGGUUAAUUAAGGUUAAAUUCAAUAAAAUUCGACUCAUUUAAGAGUUUUAAAUGAGCCAAGCUCAAGUCAUUAUAGAAAAUUUUCUCUACGCUGAGCUUGAGCUUAGUGAAGCCCUCAUUCACAAAUCCUAAUUGAUAAAGUUAUGUGUUUAUAUAGAAUUUGGUUGAGGAAACAAGAUUAGUAAGGGCAACUUAGUUCAAGGGCAAUAUAAUCCUUUUAUUAUUAUGUAAGUAGGGGCAAAUCAGUUAAAAAUUUAAAAUAAUGAAGAAGGGCAAAUUAGUUAAAACUUUUUAAUAUAAUCAGUAGCGGCAAAUUAGUCCAUGUAUUAUCAUAUUAUUAUGUUAGAGUAUGGUUAUAUAAUAUUCAAUAUGAAUUUGUAUCAUGCACAAGGGCAAUUUAGUCCAAAUAUUAUUAUGUUGGUAGCAGGAGCAAAUUAGUCAAAAAAUUUAAAUUAAUUAGUAGGGGCAAAUUAGAUCAUUUAUGUUAUAUUAUCAUGCGUGACUAAGGUUAUAUAACUAUUAGAGUAUAAAUUUUUUUUUUUUUUUUGUAAAGAUAAGUUAGUUUAAAAUUUUAUCAUCCUAUCUUUUAGUUAUCCCGAGAUGAGAAAUAUUACCUCCCUCAUGGGAUCAUUUUAUUCCAUGAAUAGGGGAUUAAUUUGGUUAGUUGGGAUGUAUCAUCCAUGUAUAAAAUGCAACCAAAUAUGGGAUCAAAGAAAAUGAUUAAUCAAAUUUUAUGUCGUCCCAUAAAUCAAAUGGAAAUUUUGGGGGUGUAUUGGUAAUAGCAGUCCAAAUGUUUCCAUUUUUUGAAUUGUUUAUGGUUGGAAAGGUGUGAAAAGUCCAUUAGGUCCUUCAAGUACACCCCGAACUUGAAAGGAAAAUGGUUCAAAACAUUCCUUAUAUUUUACAAAAUGACUUAUUUCGUCCCUCAAUUUUAAAAGUAUAAUUUUUGUACCUUAUAAAUUCAAAUUGAUCAAUUUCUGUCCCUACCUAAAUUUUUGACUAGUUUUUUAUCGAAAUAUACCACAUGCCUUGUAUGUGAUUAUUUUUUAAGCGCAAAAUUGUCAAAUCAAAUUUUACAUAAUCUGAUCCAUAGUUUCUCAUAAAAUGAAUUUUAAUUUUUUUCAUCCCUCAUCGAUCACGCAUACGAAUAGAUUUUUUUUUUUAACUCAUGUAUAUAUCUAUUUGAUUUCACCCGAAUAGUACAAAUAGCAUGUAAUAUAUUUGUCUUUAUUUUCACUUACAACUAGAAAUUAGCUUGUUCGGGUAAAAUCAAAUAAAGAUAUAUUACAUAUUAUUUGUACUAUUUAGGUUAAAUCGAAUAGACAUGUACAUGGUUUUCAAAAAUAAGAAAAAAAAAAUUUUGCACAUGAUUAAUGAGGGAUGAAAAUUUUAUUUUAUGAAACGUGAAGAAGGAAAAAUUAAUUUUGAGAAAUGUGAGGGACGAAAAAUUUAUUUUGCAAAAUGUAAGGGAAUAUGGAUCAGAUUAUGUAAACUGUAAUUUGAUAAUUUUUGCCCAUAAAAAAUGAUCACUUGCAAGGCACGUAAUGGAUUCCAAUCAAAAACUAGUCCGAAACUUGGAUAGGGACUAAAUUUGACUAAUGUGAUUUUUUAAGAGGACGUAAAAUUAUACUUUUAAAUGUGAGAGACGAAAAAGGUUAUUUAACAAAAUAUAUGGGACAAAAUGAUUUUCACAAACUUAAAACCCAUUCAUAAACAUUACCAUUUAUUCUGCUGACCUAAUUUUUCUGAUUUGCUACGCUUUCCUCAUAGAUUUUCAUUCUUUCUUUACCCAAAAUUCAGCAACUUUCGGAAGGUAUCUUCACCAUUCGACCUAUUCCCACUGAUUUCAGUUAUGCACAGGGCUUAGAUUGGGAUGGAUAUCUUAUAAUCGAAUAUGUAUGUACUAUUCAUGUAUGUAUUAGCUAUCUGUCUUUGUUCUUUUAUUUCUUGUUCGAGGGAAAUAAGUGCAGAAUGAUUAUGUAUGUUAUUUCUUGAAAAUGUCCUGCAACUAGGAUACCAUUGACUAACAUCUGAUUCUUGCAUUUAUUGAUAGCAAUCAUACACUAAUGGCCAGAUAUCGCAUUAAAACAAAGAAUUCUCCUGAUUCAAGGGUCCGUACAAUCAUGCUUGUAACUGUGUGUUUGUUCAAAUGUACAACCUUUCACUUGCUUUAUUUAUGCUUGCAGAUAGUGUAGUGGUAGCUAUCACAGAUAGGAUAGGAAAUCAUCAGUUAAUGGCAGUUUGAAGUGCUGCUUUAAAUCACUACAUCGGCCACAUAUACAAUGGUGUUUGCAUUGUCCUUAAUACAUGCCAAUGAUUAUGUGUCAAAGCAUACUAUUCUUAUUAGUGAUGCAAGCAGACACUAUUCAUCUAUCAGCAGGUCAAGAAGUGAUAUGAGUUUUGGAGAUCUGUGUUCUCUUCUUUAGAGUUAUUGCUAUAAGAUCUGAUAUUGAAGAAGUAUAUUGAUAUCUAAAAUUCUGAUUCUGUAGGACACCACUUUGGAACUAUCGUGGAUUGCCUUUGCCCUCGUUGUAAGUCUCGAGUUGAAGAGUACAAGCAAAGUAGUAUUUAUACAAACCAAGCAGUUGCGUUAUUUGUAGCAUUUGCUGCAGCAUAUGGACUGCAAUUAAGAGUUGUUUGGAUGACCUGAUACUGUUGAGGUAAUACUAGUCUAGAUAUCUUGUAAUCGAAUAUGUAUGUACUGUUCAUUGAACACUCGUACUUUUCUAUCGCAAUUGGUUGCGUGCCCAAUUAUGCUUGUGUUAAACAAUGAGAAAUAUAGUUACCUUGAUUCUGAAUUUUUUAUGUCCUAGCAUGUAGAAUGUUCUGUGUUAAAUUGGAAAAGAUAGCUUUAUGCACUUCAAUGUAAAUUAGGCCUUUGAAGGUGUGUUAUUAAGAAGAUUUUUAUGAAAGUAAAACUGAAAAAAGAAAAUCAUAUGAGUCAUGUAUGAGCUUCAUAUAUCAUCUGUCUGCCUUUGUUCUGUUUUUUCUUGUUCGAGGGAUAUAAGUGCAGAAUGAUUUGUCCAUGAUGCUUUCAAUAUUUCUUUCAUGAAUUCAGCUAAUUUUUGUCGAUAGUGGAACAUCUAGAUUAUGUAUGUGAUUUCUCAAAAAUGUCCUGCAACUAGCAUACCAUUGACUAACAUCUGAUUGUUGCAUUUAUUGAUAGCAAUCAUGCACUAAUGGCCAGAUAUCGCAUUAAAAUAGAGGAUCCUCCCGAUCCAAGGGUCUGUACAACCAUGCCUGUAACUGUGUGUUUGUUCAAACGUACAACCUUUCAUUUGCUUUAUUCAUGCUCGCAGAUAGUGUAGUGGUAGCUAUCUCUUAUAAUAUUGUGACUAAGAUAACUAUAUGUGUGUAGAUAAGAGAAUAUUUAUUUCAUGAGCUUAAGUGGAUGUAUGCUAGUAGAGUUAUUCAAUCAUUUCUUUGCAUAGUUUUAAUUGGAAUGGACAGACUUAGAAUGAACCAUCAACUAAUACUAAUUAAAGCAUCAUAACUUAUUUAAUUAAGUUUAAAUGCUCUUGUUGUUUUGGAACGUUAGGCCCAUGGACUGUUGUUAAUUAACCUUAUUUACUAUUUUUCUAAGUUAUAAUGGCUUCAUUUAAUUAUCUUAAUGAUAAGGCACGUGAAGUAGAAAUACUAAACGAAAAUUGGAAGAAUCUCAGAUUGUUAGAGGUAGAAAACUUGUCUAAAGUGGUAAGGUUAGGGUCCAAAGCUCUUUUGAGAGCUGAUGUUGCAGCCUUAUUGGCCUAUACAUCUCCGGAGGAUAGGUCUCGUCACAUUUACUUGCUAAAAAACAUGGGUUUUACCUAAUCAGUGAUGAUUGGAUAAAUUGGGAAGAAAUCAAAACGAAGAAAUAUCGUUUCAAUCGAUUUCCAAUACUUGUUUGCUAUGAAAAAAGACCUGGGUGAGACUUAUUUUAUUGUAUCUUUGAUUGUAAAAUUAUUUUUGUGUCUAAUCCUUGUUGUUUAAUUUUUUUUAAUGCAUAUGCAGGUUGACAUUUAACGUUGAUGCCUAUUUUGUAGCGAGCACUACAUUGGAAAUUCGUUGUAAUCUUUGUCGAGACUUGCUAGGUUAUGAGAAUAUUGGUUUUCAAAUUUUGCAUGUUAAACAUUGUCGAGAAAUUGUGGAAACUGAAUUGCAGGGGAUAUGGUGUGUAUUAGAAAAAAUAUAUGGUUGUAAAAAGGAAGACCGUCUAUUUACAGUUCUUUGUGACAACCAAAAAGUUGUAAAAGUUACACUAGGCGAGGAAAUGGACGAAUGCACGGUUAAUAGGAAAUUUUAAGGUAAGUUUGGCUGUAUGACGAUCUUUUAUAAGCUGUUUUGAAUGUACUUUGAAUUAUUUUUUUUUUCCUUUUGGAACAGUGCUGUCCGGCAAGCAACAAAAAAGUUGCAAGAAACGGGUUUUGAAAUUGCUAUUAACCAUGUACAUCGAGAAAUGAACUUGGCAACGAACGCGUUGGUUGAUAAAGAGAAGGUAUUGUGGAAAAAAUGAUUGCCCUUGCAGCCAUCCAGUUCAAUGAAUGAGUAUUUUUUAACAAGAAACAUGGUCAUAUUGUGAUAGCUCAGGACAAUAUAGUCAAUAGAUGUUAGCGCAAUUAUGUAUAACCAUACAUGCCACCUAUGUAAUGAGUCAUACACAUUCCAAUUUAUUCUAAGAAAUUUUGCCGUGUAAUAGACAAGAAAAUUCCUACAACAAACAUAAGUUCUUCAGUAUAUUUACCACAGCUAUAGGUUUUGCCAUGUAUGACAUGAUAUUUGGUAAAAGUUACUCUGAAGUAAUAUGCAUGCGUUUUAAGGUCAUGGCUUAACAUGAUUCACACGCUAACAUUAUACAGCAGGUACCACAUAAUUUUAAAAAUGGAGACACUGCAGAAUACUAUCAAAUGUUUAGCAUAGAAAUUCCCAUACCUGAUUUGAUGAAGUUAUGCUUCCAGCAGUUAAGAAUUCAAUAAUUUUUUCAACAUUGUUUAAUAUGACUUUGUCCUCUUCAGUUAUUGAUGGUAGAAGUGCAGCAGGCCUAAAAGGCCCCAGGGCAGGAACCAUGCUAAACAUAGGAGCCACAUUUCCAAUCCCUAGCAAUGCCAUUAUCUGCACCAACUGUUCCCUAGUUACUGCAUCAAUUCCCUUCACAAUCUGCAUACAAAUUUCUGUAAAAUCAAAUUACUAAUAAACCUUUUCUAAUACAAAAACUCACAAUAGCAUUAGAUAACUGUAAACUUUCAAUUCACAAGAGUAGUAGCAUAUAAUAGAUUUGCAUCAAUAUUUCCACUCCCAUCAAAUGGGGCCCUCGGACUGUCAGUACGCAUGUGCAUGUGCUUAUAUGGUCUGUCAGAUUUAAAAGUUUAUUAUGCGCCUUAGAACAACAGACAGGGAGAAUAGUUUAAAAUUAGUAUGGUAACCCUUCCACCUUUCACCUGAAGAGACUGCAACGUCUUCCCAAAUAAAGAGAUAUAAAGAGAUCUGGAGAACAUCAUGAGUUAGGUCAAUUAAUGAGAUUUCAUUACACAAAAUUGACAAAUACUUGUUAUAUGAAUGUCAACAACAAUGUUAAGGAAACUAUAUGAUCUCAUAAAAAUACAGCGCUAUCAAUCCAUAAACUGGCUGUCUUCACAUAUAAAAGAAAUAGCUGUUAAAGGCCCUUAGCAAUUAAACAGUAAGCAGUCGCAAUAAAUCUAGGAUAUGAUUUAGAUCUCCUACUCUGAAUGCUACUAUAGCCAUGAGAAUUUCAUUUCCUUGAUCUGUCAAUGAAAACAUCAAUCUUGUGCUUGUACUUGUCUAGGACAACAUGCUUCAGAACCUUCAGUGAUGCUAGUAAUGUAAAGAUAAUAUUAUAGGCAAUCUAAGUAAAGAUCCAGAAAACCUAGACUAAAAAUUUGACUUGAAGCCAAACAGAACACAAAACAAGCUAACAACCACAAGAGAAAAAUUAAAUCACUUUCAAGCCUCUUGAGUUACCUCGUCCAAGAAAAAUUCUCGGAAAAAGUUCCCCUUGUCAGACAAUAAAAAUGCUAAGGCAGCUCUUGUCUGAAUUGGCUGCACAGAUUGAGGACUACUUGUAGGAAAUCCAGGAAGCAUAUAACUGGAUUGAUUUUGUAAGACACCAAGUUCUGCCAUUCUGCCACUCAGAUUCUCUCCUCCUCCACUCUUAGCAGCAGUAAUGAAAUUCUCAAAGGCUUGCAUGACAUCAAUGAACCGGUCAGCAUCAAAGACACCAGACUUUCCAUAGAUUGUAUAUCGUAAAGCAUUCCUUAGGCGUGGGGAUUCAUCAGUCAGGAGUCUCUGAUAUUCAGAAGGAGGAAAGACGUUCAAAUACUAUUCCUGAUAGCCACAUAAUUAGGCAUUUACAGAAUGAUAACAACCCAUCCACAAACAAAAAGGAAAAUAAAGAAGAUAUAGGUAGGGAUAUAAAGCAAAAGACAAUAAUAAGGAAAAAGAAAGAACGUUUCACGAUUAAAUAACUGUUGUUUCAGUAUUUAGAGUUCACAAAGAAAGACAGAAAGCUGUUAAAGGGAUGAAAUGUUUGAAUCCUGAAGCAGUAAAUCAAUUCCUCAACUUUCCUGGCCUAAAAAACCCCAAUUAUCGCCAGGUGAGAGAAGGAACCUAGAAAAAAAAAGGAUGUAUGCUAACAACAUACAGGCAGGGAGUCUAAUCCAAAAUUAUUUAAGAAAGAGAGUAUCAGAAAUGACAAUAAUAUGUUAUACACUUGUUAAAAGAUAUGUUCAGGAGUCGCUUAAGCAAAAGGUAAGGCACUAUCAUCCAUCCAUGAGAAAUUUUCUAAAGAUGGACCAAAAAUAUCUAGAUGCUAGCAAAAGUAUAUCAUUGUUAAAUCCUUGUAUUUUUCCUUUAGCCAAAUCUUCCAGCACUCUUUUUUGCGCAAGUGAACCUCAUAAAUACAUGCAUAUUUGGAAACAAAAUACUGCAUGAUAUGACCAACAUAUGCAGCACCACAGCUUUUAUCUUAAUACUUCCAUACCUGCGCUAUGUAUGGGUAGGCUUCAUCUACAAUAGCAAAAUCACGAUUUCCCACUAGAGCUAUGCCUUCCAACACCCCUAUUGCUCGAAUAAUAAGAGCAAAAUAAGGAGGUAUUCUAAAUGGAUAAUCAAAUGUAAUUUGUGCCAAAUCUGAUGCCAGCUCCUGAAAGUUAAUGUUUUUGGCUCCCCCACCCUCCAAUGCUUGAUCAAAAACUUUGGCCAGUACAGGCAAUAUCGGUUCCAAAUUAACUCCUUCCGGAAUGAAAUCAAGUUUGACGAAGUCUUUGACAAUAGCAUCAUAAUCUCGAUGAAUAAGGUGAGCAAUAGCUUCAAUCAUACCAUAUUUCUGAUCAUCCUUUAGCUUUGUUACUAAGCCUGAAAUACGAAAAAUAUACUUUAGAGAGCACCACAUUAAACUAGCUAGAGUUUGUUUCAACUGUGCAUUACUCAACGUAUUCCAGGAACCCUAUCCUCAACUUUAAAAAUGUCAUAAAGCUCAGAACAUAAGAAAUCGACAGACAAGGCAGAUUGAACUUUGACAAAAUUUGGAAAGAAAAAAAAAAGCCACCAAGAUCUAGAUAGAGAAUAAAUUUCAAAAUGGUGAAAACUCUAAUCUAUAAAAUGAAUGGAGAAGGUCAAGGAAAGAUUUUACUCAAUAUACCCUCAUGGCUAAACAAAAAAUACAUAAAGUAUGUCAAAAAAAAAAAAAAUCAUGACAUUUAUAGCAUGAUGAAAAAUAUUACCAAAGUCAAGUAUCGCUAGUUUCCCGUCUGGAGUACGAAUCAGAUUCCCAGGAUGUGGAUCAGCAUGGAAGAAACCAGUAUCAAGCAACUGUAGAUGUACAGCAAAAUAAGAAAGUUAAUAGCUACAAAUUUAGCACUCUAAAUGUCACAAAACACGCAAUUCAAUUUGAUAAAGUUUAUCAGACAAACAACCCAUAUGCAAGCUGGCCUUUCUCCUGCCUCAUAGGGCAUAUCCAUUGUGAAGAAACAAUAGUGAGCUAGACAUCUUUCAUAUGUCCAACCUCAAAAAAAAACUGAUCCAUUUUGAAAGCAAUUGUGCUCAAAUCACAUAUUUGAUGCACCAGGUAGGCCUGGAUACAAACACCAGAAAUAAUGACCUGCUUUGGUCAACAAGGAUGAAACUUCCAAAAAGGUUUAUAUCUCCAACGAAUCAAAUUGGCUAAUGGUGUGCGUUCAUGAGCCCAAGCUAACCAGAAAUCCCAAAAGAACAUAUUUCGCCUAAGGUGAUGGACUACUGGAAUGGUAAUGAUUGGCAUUGGUUUGACCGAGUAGCAAACAGCUUAACCUUUUGGAAAGCAGGGAUUGAAAAUUUACCUGCUUAAGGUAACAUAUCACCCCCACAUUUACCAGUUCCCCAACAUCACUUGCUGUACUCUGUGACAGCUUCUCUCCUUCAAUCCAUUGCGUUGUAAGAACCUUCCUUGAUGUAUAGUUCUGAUAAGUUUAUGGAACAACCACCUGAUAUGUAAAACUUGUUAUAACUUUCCAUAGAAUCACUGGCUGGCAUUUUCAGAACAAAACAAAAUAUUUGGUUCGAUUUUAACAACCUACAAAGAAAAAUUCAUCUGUUGAUAGCAGCAAAGUUCACAACUUGUGCAGCACAGAAGACAUGCACGCUUAACGUAAUUCAUGUUACCUGCGGUAGAUCCUUCUUCAUCAUCUCAGCAAAAGUAGUUCCAUUUUCCCCUUCAGUAACGUAAUCAAGUUCUUCAAAAAAACGUGCAGCCCAUUCAUCAACUAAUCCAACCACAUCAACAGAUAUCUAAAAAAUAAUAAGGGGAAAAUCAAUUAUUAUUUUGUCCAUGCCAUUGUCCACAUUAGAAGAGAAAAGAAAAGGAAAUUUUUUUAACUACAUGUGUAAAUUGACCUGAGGAAACUUCCGAAGAACCAACCCCAAGUUUCUAAUGAUGUACAAAUCAACAGUUACAGUUUCAAGAACGAAAGGCCUUUGUACUUUCACAGCAACCAAAUCCCCAUUCUCCUUUAGUCGGCCCUUAUAAACCUGCCCGAGAGAUGCUGCCAUUCAUUUUCAACAAUGACAACAAAAUGCUUUAUUGUCAGAGAUUAACACAAAACAAAAGGUUCCAAGCAUUCAUUGAUACGAUUAAUCUACACCAUUAUAUCACAAACAACUCAUUUUAAUUAUCACUUUUAAGUCAACAAAGUAAUUUUAGAAUAUUUGCAGGGGUCAACAAACAAAGAAAUUACCAGCCGCAAUUGGGGAUGAAGAAAGUUCAGAAUAUAUGUUAUACCACGGCUGUCCAAGCUCCUCCUCUAACAGAGCCAUUGCAACGUCAUCAGGAAACGAUGGAACCUAUACCAAUGAAAGAAAAAGUUAGCGAAUAAUAAAAUCUUAAAAAGCAUGUCUACAAACUUAUCCUGGACAAUAAUUAUUAUCUCUCUUUCCUUCUCUGAUAUUCUUAAAACUUUUCCUGAAUUCACAUCAAAUUGCAAGCUUGAAGCUGACUUUGCUUGCAACUUGUAUAAUCCUCCAUAUGUUUCCUCAAAGAAUGUCAGAGAAGGUAUCAAGCGGAAUUUUCAGGUGGCAAAGACAAUUGUAAUUUUUUUCCCUGAAUAACUCUUUAAAGAAAAAAAAAAGGAAAGCUUGAAAGGGUUGAAAUGGAACAAAAGAUGUUACAACAGUUGAUCGAUACAGAUGACAAAAGAAUAGCAAUAGAAGGAGAAUGGACAAGUGAGUGCAGAUAUAAAUGCAUGCAUGAAGAUGUUUAUCAAGUCAUUGUAUAUCUAAGAUAACAUUAGCUACUACCAAUUAACAUAAUAAGCAUGCAAAUAUCACUUUUUCCACACAAAGCACUUGCCACCUUAUGGACGAUUACCAUAAUCGAGACAUGAGAAAAUUGUGAAAAUGGUUUUUUAAUGUAAAGCAUCUUCAUCUGUCAUAACAAAAAUCUAUACAAGCAAAACAUGUCAAGUACAACAAAACCAGGAAUUAAUCCAACUGACCUUAUCACAAAGCUUUUGCAGCUCAAUCAUUGCAGCUGGAGAUAAUAUAUCUGGUCGAAUGCUCAAUGCCUGCCCAAGCUUUAUGUAUGCUGGUCCCAGAGAGGUUACAAUCUCUCGUAAUUCAAUAGCUCGAGCAACUUCAUUCUAGUUACAAUUGUGAAAAAGACAAAGGAAAACUAUAGGAUUAUUUGUGAAAGACAGAUGAAAAUCUGAUUUCUGUGAGCUGGGUGGACAAUUGUGGUCAAACACUUCCAUCACAAGGGACCUUUAAAUGCUUUUUACCUCUUUGACUUUUUUGUUUAUUAUAUCCCAAGCAAUACGUGAAAGAAAACCUCCAGCAACAGACAACAACUGCACCAUACGUGUAGCUACAGCACGUGGUCGUUUUCCCCAAUAUGCAGCAAUACUAGCAGGAUCAUAAACCAAUGGUAAAAACUCACUGCUUUCAUCAACCUGGGAAAAAGAAACCCACCAAUAACACAACAAUGAGGAUUCCUUGGUUGAAAGACAUCCUUUACAGGUUGAGUCUACAAAUGCUUGAUGAUAAGCAUCAAUGCAUACAAUGCACUGAGUUUAAGCUAUUUAGUGGCUUAAGAAAGAUUCAUAUUCUCAGUAUAUCCCAUUUAAGGUACUCCAGGUAACCAAGGAUAUCAACCAACAAGCAAGACGUGAUUCACAUAUUUCCCACUUGAAAGCCCAAACCCUAUAACCAUAUCAUCGAUCUCUGGUUGAUUUAAAUAAUUCACAAAUCAAAGGCUAAUGACCCUUGAAAGUAGAAUUAGCAUACAACUUAGUAAAUCAAAUCAUGCUAUUAGACCUCAAUACAAUGAACAUUGUCAAGAACGAAAACAAGAAUAAAUUCCUCAAGUUUCAAUGUGGAGUUAUCAGGCAAACCUCAACUAGUCUGAGCUUGAUAUUAUCAUCAGCAAACAACGAAUCCUUCAAAUUUUGACCUCGAAGCCCACUCAUGAGCACUGCCAACUGCUCAUUUUCUUCCAUUUGUGCCCUCACUCUUUUGAUCUCCUGUGAAACAUCCUGCAUUCUCUGCAGUCCACGAAAUUCAAAGCUUCACUAACCAUUCACCACCUCUAGGAAACAAAAACAAUAUACCAGGAUAAAUAUUUUUCUCAAAAAAAAAAUCAUCAAUAGGAAACAUUUAGAAUUUUUUUCCCCUCAGUUUCUCAUAAAGCAGAAUACAAUUCAUUUUCAAGUACAACUAAUUAGCACCAAUUCAAAUAAAGUUAAUUAAACCAAAAAAAACGUAGAAUAAAGCAAACUACAAGUUAUUGAAGGACAAAAAAUUUGGAUCUUUACCACUAAGCAGAGCGAAAUUGUCAUAAGAACAACACAAUAUUACAUAUAACUGAAAAAUUCUGUUAAUUAAACCUGAGAGAGAGAGAGAGAGAGAGAGAGAGAGAGAGAGAACGGCAAAGUUGUUAAAAAAAAUCAAAAUCCAAAAAAAUGAAUCUUUUCCAGUACGCUUAACUAAAAUGUAAAAAAUCAACAUGCAAACUACGAGGCAACUGAAAAUUCUCAUAAUUAAACACCAAAAAAAUGAAAAAUUAACAAAAUUAAAUCAACUUCAGAAUCCCAAAAGUUUCUCAUAGUUUCCAUUGAGCUUAACUAAAGUUUCAAAUGCAAAUACCAGCACCUGAACAGGAAAAAAAAAAAGAACAAACUUUAACAAAUUUAUAAAAAAUUUAAAUUCCAUUCCACAACUAGAAUUUCACACAGUCGAAAACAGUGCAGCCAACAACAUACUGUGGAAACACCAUUGACUUUCUUAGACGACGUCGUUGCAGAGGAGGAUCCAUAUCCAUUAACAACUUUCGGCUGCGAAGAAGAAGAAUUAUUUGCCUGUUUAGUAUCAGCCGGUCUUGGCUCCGUGGCAAUAGCCCGUACCACGCCAUUCCUCUCAUUAAUUCUCCGGAAAAAUCCGUUACGAUCAGCUGGACGGUCAUGAAAGUUAGAUGAGAGAGUAUUUUGCCGCCGUGUGGUGCGUCUCAGUGGGUUGAUUCCGCAGUAGACCAGCUGUACACUUGCAGCUGCGUCCAUUGACGGAAUCAAAAUUCACAAAAAGAGAAAUUUGAACUAAUUGGACUGUGUGAGUGCGUGUUUUUGGAGCGGAAAUGUGUGAAGUCAGUUGGGAAUAGGGAGGGAAGGAGUGGACUCAGUGGUGGUUCUGGUUCUGGGGAGGACACGUGGAAGAAAUUAAUGUACUGGUUUUUUUAUUAUUAUUAUUUUUUUUUUAGUGUAAGUGAUAUGAUUCGAAUAUGAAAUGUCACGCUUAGAACUGCAUACAAAUCGAGUUACUCAUAAGCAACUCGAGUCGAGUUCGAACUAAUUAAAUCAAACUUUAAUUCAAAAAUACUCAAUUCAUUAGUUCUGGAGACGGCUCGAUUUUAUAUAUAUAUAUAUAAUAUUUUAUUAUUUGUUAAAAAAAUUAUUUUAUUUAUUUUUAAAAAAUAAAAAGAUUAAACAUGAACUCGAACUUGACGCGACUUGAAUUUGAGUUGAGUUUUACAUUGAGAACUCGUUGAGUUUGAGCUCAAAUUUGAUAAAAUUAAAUCGAGACUCAAUUCAAUUAAGUUAAAGUUCGACUUGAUUCAAUUCGAUUACAGUCCUAGUCUCACUCUUACACUCCCUCCCCAGAGUUUAUAGCCACAAUAAUCUUCCUCUUGAGAAAUAUUUUCAAACUAAUGCAGUUUCAAAAUUUAUCCCCUUGUUAAUAUGUUUGUUGCCAUGUGGACUUUAAAUAUGGAAAACUAAUUACCCUUAAACUUUUGCUCUUAUCUUCUUUCAUCUUGAGAGUUAAAUCCCAUUAAAAUGUCAACAACUAUUCAGAGUUUAAUUAAAAUUCACAUUAGAUGAAUCCUUCAUUUUUUUAAUAGCUUAAAUUUUGCUACUUCUUCUCCAUAUAUUGUUCAUUGUCUAUCUUGAGGAAAUUCUUAAUAUAUUUGGAAAUUUCCUAAAUCAUCAUAACAACUAAAAAAUUUUCUUACCAUGCGUAUGAUGAAUUGCCAUGUAGAUAAACUGAAAAUCUCCAGAGAUCUAUUGUGUUAAUUCAUGAUUUUUUAGUGUUAGAAUGCAUAAUGAUAACUCUUCUAGAUAUCAAGUACUCCCUCCCUUUUUUUAUAACUGUCGUUUAAGGUUUUGCACACCAAUUAAGAAAAGUUUUCAUUGCUUAAAUCUAUACAUCACUUUCCUUUUAUACCCUCAUUAAUUAUUCAAUUCACCCAUGUUUUAUAGGAAAGAAUAUGGAAGGGCAGAGAGAAGCAAUAAUUACUAGGAGUAGUAAUUAAGAAUCCUGUAAGAGAGAUAAAAGGGUAAAAUUGUGAAAAAAUAAUAAAUGCUGCAUGGGGAUAGUAAAACGACAGAUAAAAGUACUUAAGAGCAAAUUCCUUAAACGACAGUUAUAAAAAAAGGGAGGGAGUAUUAACUAACCUUGGUGUUAAUUCUAAUGCUAAUUAUGACUUAGAUUUUUUGUGAUAGGUCAAAAAUACGUGAGGCUUUUUUUUCAUUUCUCUUUUCCUUUAAAGUGGAACUUUUAUAGUUCACGCAAAACUAUGAUCAUUAUUAGAGCCAAAGUUUAAGCGUAAUUAGUUUUUCAUAUUUAAAGUCCACAUGACAGCAAAUAUAUUAACAUGGAAAUAAAUAUUGAAAUUGCAUUAAUUUAAAAAUAUUUUUUUAGAGAAAGAUCGUAAUGGCAAAAAACUCCGCUCCCCGAACCACGCAUAACCCAACCCAGCACUGCCCCACUACUGGUUUGUUAACAUGGACAAUAGAACAAAACUGCAAUUUCUCUACCGUCCAUUUUUCCUCUUGUCUGCUGCUUUAUGGUCGGGCGACACGGAUUCACAUGUAAUUUGUGUGACCAGAUUUAAUGGUUAUUUUCUUUGGCACAAGGUUUAAAUGAUUAUUUUUGUUGAGUCGUUUUCUUUUCCUUUUUCGUUCUAUCCUUCUAUGUCUUUUUUUUUUUAAAAAAGCUGAAGUAGGUUUAGAUAAGAUAGAUGUUUCUGAAAUGUCCUAUACGCAUAAAAUGGGAGUUUGUCCUAUACGAGCUUUCAUCCGCCUCCUAUAGGAUUAAUUGAGUAAACUAAAUUGUGAAUUUGUCCUAGAGGAGCUUGUGUCCUACAAGUUUUUAAAUAGUGAAUUUGUUUUGCAGAUACAUAUUUUAGAGAUGUUAUUAAAACAUUAUUAUUUUUAAAAUUGAUACCCUCACUCAACCUUCUUUCUCCCAACCACCUGCUCAUGCCUCUGCACUUUACUCGUACCUAUGCGGCUAUACCAGCUCUACCUUUUCGCCCCCUCUCCCUGCCUUCCAUUUUUUCACAAACACCCCACAAUCCUUUUCCUCUCCCUCCUUUCUUGCCUAACACCCCAACUCUUCUGUCCUUUUUCCACUCUCACCCCAUUGUGGUUGUGCAAAGCCAAGAUUUUUAUUUUGAAGGGCCAAAAUUUUUCUUAAAAAAUUAUCUUAAUGUGCUAUGUUUAAAAUAAUUUAUAUUUAUUUAAAUAUAUAGCAUCUAAAAACAUCAAAUAUUAACUUUAAUUAUAAAGCAUGUAAAAAUAUUUUUUUUGAAGAAAAAAUUGAUUCAAAAAUGGUUUAUUCACACACACACAUAUAUGUAAACUCUCAUAAUAUAAACUAAAAUUGUAAAAAAUUAGGGAGGAUCAACUUUGGUUUACACAUAUAUUGACAUACUAUAAAUUAAAUUUUCAAAACUCGGGGAGCCGUGACUCUCAUCGGCCCCUCUUGACUCCGUCAUUAGUUGUGCAUCUGGAUCAAGAGAGAGGGGUAACAGGCGGGGCAUGAGUGGGAGAUGAAGAGAGGGUGGGAGACGAUUAACGAGAAACGAGAAAAGAUAAAUAAGAGGUUGAUAGGAUGGUGGUAGGCGGUGGUGGAGUAGAAAAUGAAUAUUGAUGUGUAUGUUGUAUUUUUUUUUUAAUGUCUUAGAGGUAGUCUUUACUUUGUAGUGUGUGUUUUGGGUGUUUUGAUGUGUUUUUGGGAUAUUUUUUAGUUUUAUUAUUAUAAAUGUAUUUUUGAAAAAAUCUCUUCUAGCAACUCAAUCCUUCUUAAUAAAUUUGAAUUACAUUUUAUUAUGGUUUUCUUUCUCUUCUAGCAAACUAUACCUUUAUUUACAAAUUCACAUAAUUUAUUUUAUUCAUAUGUAUUAACUUUAUUUUGUUUUAAUUUAAUUGUUACUUCAUUCAUGUUGCUUAAAAGUUAAUAUUCAUCUAUGGAAAAAAUAUAUUUUUGCAUAUUUGGUAUUUAGAUGAGUGUGUGUAUGUGUAGUUUUAGAUUUCUAAUCAUAUAAAAAUUUUGUAUACCUUGCAUAUUUAAUGAAUAAUAUUAUAUUAAAAUAAAUGUAUGUAUAGAAGUUUUUACAUAUUAAUAUGGCAUUUCUGAACACUUGGUUACAUUAGUUUUCUAACAUAAAUAUCCAUGAAUAUGUAAGAAUAUCAUUUUAUAUUUUCUUGAAUUAUUCAUAUUUCCAAAAAUUGACAACUAAUACUAAUAUAAAAAAGAAUCGUGUUAAUGCACGGAUCAAAAUACUAGUUUUGUUUUUUAGUUGGAGAGCAGAGAAGCAUAGCAGGAAAAUAAGAAGAGUAAAAAGAUGGGGUGUUUGCAUUUGCAAAUGAUUUAAGUAAAAGAUGAAUGCAGCAAAAAAAAAAAAUUUAGCAGUAGAUAAUUAUAUUAAGUUUGCAUGAUUCAAACCAUUGGUUGGAAUUUCAGUUAUGCUAUAGUAAAACUGCAAAAAAAAAAAAAAAACGAAUCAAACCAUAUAUAUUUGUUUUCAAACUUGUGGUUUUUAUUAUGUUUCAGGUUAGUAUCUUUGUCUGACUUUGUGGCAAGGUAUGUGUCACUCUUAAAUUAGCUCUAUGUCCAUGAAAGACUGAAAUUUAUUAUGAAAAUUACAUAACUCAUCAAAAAGAAUAAAAUAAAAAUAACUGGUAUCACAAAGCCAUGGCUGCAUAAAUUUUACACAAAAAAUAAAAUUUACUUUUAAAAAAUCUUUCUAACAAAAUAAAAGCAAAAUGAUCCAUAAAUGAAACUUUUGAAAAAGUGAAAAAAUGGUCCAUAAAUGAAGAGGCAAGGAGUAAUCUGCAAAAGUGAUCCUCCGUUGAACUUAAGCAUAAACUUCCUUUGAGAAAAAAUAGUUAAGGACAAACCAUUUGAUUUAAUAGCUACUUUAAUUAGAAUUCGCAAAUAGACCUGAAAAUAUGUGUUCAAAUUAGUAUAUAUACUCAACCCCUGAAAGAAAAAGUUACCAAGAUUUGUUUGCAGAAGGAACAUAACCACAAGGUUUUAAAGGUUUUAGCAGUUUACAAUCCAAAAGCUGCAUUUUUUCUUUUCUUUUUUAGGCAAUGAGCUACUUGAUUCAUUAGCAUUAAUUCUAUAACCUGAAAAUGUUGGUAGUGAUGAUGAAGUUAUUGGGAAGAUUUACAUUAAAACAGCCAUUUACAUGAAAGAUUAGGCUAAAGGUACAUUACAAAGUUUAAUUUAAAAUCUAGUAACCUUUUUAAUGCUAAAGUCUAGUUUCUAGGUUUCACCUAAAGACCACUUAUUUGCAAGGAAAGGAUAUGGUAAGAAGAAGAAUAAUUCUCAUAUUUCCAUGUUAUAUUUACAUGUAUUGGGUGGAUGCAAGUAAACAAUUACUGCUUCACAAUAAUCUUGAAGAAACCAUUUCUUAUGUUGACAUAUAUUAACAAUUAUGCCACAAAUACAUGUAUGGAUUGCCAUUUUUGCUUAAAAAAUUUUUACAUAGGCAUAUUUUUCAAUCACUUCUUUAUCUCGUACGAGUCAAAUUGUUACAAUAUAAUUUUUUAUAAAAAUUUAAAAAAAAUAGCAAUCCAAACGGAUUAAAAAAACUGUAAAUUGUACUAGUUUAAUCUGAGGAUAAUGAUGGUAUUCCAACCGAAAUUAAUUUUCUCGUCAAAAAACAUACUCCAAGAAAAAUGUAUGGCAGUUUCAGUUUUAGGGUUCUUUAACUACCCAUUUCACACAUAAGUAGCCCCAUAUCUUUCUUCUUUACCGUUUGGCCUCAAAAAACCAAAAAGAAAUAGAACCCUCCAGAAGCACACUCGCACACACAAACACAAACACACACUGAGAGUGCUACAGGGGGAGAUAGAGAAGAAUGGACAGGUACCAGAGAGUGGAGAAGCCAAGGCCUGAAGAACCUAUUAACGAGAAUGAGAUCAGAAUCACUGCUCAGGGUCUUAUUCGUAACUAUAUUAGCUAUGCCACCACGCUUCUUCAGGUUAGCAAAUUACCUUAUUUCUUCUUCAACCAUACCUGUUCUUUUUUAAAUUUCCUGGGUUUAUUUUUCUGUCAGAAAAUGUUUACAUGUUUUUUGAUUUGGGUUUUUUUUUGUUUUUGUUGGUGGGAUGUGUUUAUUUGGUAAGUAUUUGCUUAAAAUUUUCAUAAAAAUCGAAUCUUGGGAUGCUCUUAUAAAGGACUUGUGGCGGUAAUGAGCUCAUGAGUUUGCGAGGUUCUGGCUUUUGUUUGAAGGGAUGUAUUAAGCUAUCUAGAGCCCAAGGCCGUUGUUCUGAAUUAUUUUUGCCCUAAAACAUUCAUUUUUGUAGAGCAUUCUGUUUGAUUCUUCUUCUUACUAGGAGAAUCAGUAGCUGUCAUAGAUGUGUCUUUGAGUCUGGAGACAUGAAAAUUUUUGGUUUUGUGAAGGUCUUGUCUUGAAGCCUGCACAUUACCCCCAUUAGGGUGUAAGCAUUUGUUACUGUUUAAAAUUGCUGUGUCUCAUGGAAAGAUUUCGUGGAAAAGCAAGAGAUUCUUGGUGAAAGGUUUCCCUGGUUUUUAUCUGAUCAAGUGUUGUGUUAAUGUUUGUUUUCUGGACCUAUAUGAGUGCAAUUUUUUGAGAUUUACCUAUCAUGAUGUAAUACUUUAAUGUCAUGCCAGCUGUAUUUGUUAUGUCUAUGCGCUUCAUUAGAUUUUAGACCUCUUAUGGUAUGCUUUAGUUAAUUGUCCCAUUUUAUUAGCACAUUGUGUUUGGGAACUUUAUCAGUGUUAGGACCUGCAUAUCUUAUGAUUUAUAUGGAUAAUCCUCAACUCCUGAAAGUGAGACCAAUCCUGGAAUUGGUAUAUUGGAAUCACAUUUCUGAAACUGAGGGGGUGCUUGGUUCAUGCUCUAGAAUUGGAAUUGGAGAUGGAAUAAUAUACAAAAAAUCAGUAUGGGUUUGAACCCCUGGUAUCAUUCUACAAACUCGAGCUUGGCAUAAAUAUAGUUGGAAUGGUGUCAAAUUAAUUUUUCAUUUUUUUUAAUUAUUGUUCUCUUUCCUGGAUUGAUAAUCACGGCCACCAUCAGACCAGCACCGAAUCACUACCAAUCCAAAUCUUUUUUUGUUCUUUGUUCAAGAAUUACCAACAAUAACUCAUGACUAAUCAAUAAAAGAUCUGGACGUUUGUCAUUUUUUUCCUUUUCUCAAAAAAUUGCAACUGGAACUUUCAAACAUUCACAAAAAAUUUUCCGAAAGAAAAUGGCAAAUUUCAUCCUCUGCUGAAACCUGUUAGAAACACCAUACAAUGCAUUCCAGUUGGAGCCCUUCACAAAGAGAAGAGGAGGUCGAUUGCAAUGAGGAGGAUGAUUUGAUGGCGAGGGAGGAGAGGAAAGGGUCUACUGGGGUGAUGGGGGAGUGACCAGUGGUGGGAGAAGAGGAAGGAUUUGUCAGAUGCCAUGGAAAAGGAAGAAAAUUAUAAACAAAGGAGGAGGGGGUGUUGUCAGAUGCCGAGAAGGAAGGAAAAGCGGUCAGAGACAAGGGAAGAGGGAGGAGUUGUCAGAUGCCAUGGGGGAGAGAGGAGUGUUGAAGGCAAGGGAGGAAGGGGAGGCUCGAUGGUGGGAGUCUGGGAGAGGGAGAAAGGAAGUAUUUUAUCAAAAUAUUUUAUUUUUUAUUUAUUCACUGUUGGAAAUGAAUUGAGGAUUUUGAGUGAUUCCUCCCAAUUUAGUCAGGAAUCAUGAAUCCCCAAAAUUUUUUGGACGUGAUUCCAAUAUUUCAAUUCCCGUUACAGUGUACCAAGCUCUAAGUAUUGGAAUUAUCGUCAUUCCCCAUGCCAAAACCCUCAGACCAAGCGGCCCCUGAAUGAUCGUGAAAUUUUAGGAAAUUUGAAUGCUGGAAUUGAAGAAUUGAGUGCAGGGCUUGAAGUUUGUAGAAUCGUAGUUUAAGGGACUUGUGAUAAAAUUAGCAUAUCUACUGUAAUUUUUGGUUAACUUGGAAUGAGUUGGUAGAUUCUAAUGGGUUUAAGUUUCAUAACACUCAACGGGAUUGUGUGUCCAACUGGAUUUUUUCAUGUGGACUAGUGAACAAAUAGUCUCGAAGGGUAUGCUUAGUUUUGUGCGUUAUAAUUGUUGAUGAUAUUUUCAGAGCAUCCUUGAAGCACACGGCUUGUACCUAUAUACGUAUGCAAGAUAACUUUAAAAGGUAACUUUUUGUAUUUUGUGGAGAUGAAGUUAACUAGUUUAGGUGACUUUAUAUGGUUUGGUUCAUCAAGGUUGAGGCUGUCAUAACAUGCCAGUCCCAAGAAUUAAGAAACUCAUCCAUUUUAGUGCAUCCUCCAAAAAAUUGUAAACAAAAUUCAAUGAGCGUGUGACCUCAUUUGGAGGUCAUAUGGUGCUUGUGCGUCUUUGAAGCUCUUACUAAAUGGCUUUCCUUUUUUCCUUUUUCUUUUGCUUGGUCUUGAUAUUUAUAUGCCUAAUUUAAGCAUAGUGGUACUCUCCUUAGGGCUUGUAAAGAACCUAUGAAGAAGGGAAUCCUGAAAAGAAAAUCCAGUGGAUUUUGGCUUCUAAUGUGGUGCUUCUUCUACUUGGAUGAUUUAAAGUGUAAAACUUAUUACACGCUUAAAGGAGAAACUAGUUUUACUAAGAGCAUUAAAGGUAAAAACUAGUUUUACUAUAAAAAAGGAGAAACUGUGAGGUCUAUUUUACAUGCUUUGCAUACUAGGUAAAUAGUGCUAGUAUUUCUCUCCCUCCCUCUCUCUCUCUCUCUCUCUAUAUAUAUAUAUAUUAUGUUGUUCUUCAACAUGAAGCUUGAAGCUAUUUCCUUCGCUUUGUGAACUCAUGAGAAUGUCCAUGCCUAGAUAUACAUGAGUAAUCCUUUUGGUCAGUUGCUAGUUCUUAUGAUAUCUUAGGAUCUGUAAGCGUGAAUUUAGUUAUGUAGUUCCUUUUAUUGUGUAUUUUGGUCUCCUUAGUCCAUCUAGGAGAGGUAGAAAGUUGUCCUGUUUCAUAUUUGCCUCCGGAUUCUUGAUCUUAACUUUUCUUCUACUUUUUCCCUAUUAUUAGCACAGUUUUCUUUCUUACAGCAUGUCUAUAGGAAUAUCUGCAUAUGACAUGUUAGAUUAUCAUUUUAUCGUAAGAGUAUUUGGAUCAGAGUGUGGAGGUAUAAUGGAAUAGCUAAUUCUUCUUUUGAGGGUCUAAUUGUUCUGAAGAUGCAUGGCAAUGGAGUAGCUCUGUGCCUGUGCAGUUUUGGUACUAAAUACCAGAUAUCUGCUUUCAUGAUUAGGAAAAGCGUGAACAGGAGAUUGUUUUGAAGGCAAUGGGCCAGGCAAUCAGUAAGAGCGUGGCCAUUGCAGAGAUUAUAAAGGUAUUUUUUGCAGCUUACCCUUUUCCUAUUAAAAAUUUCUUGUGAUUUUAACUAGUAUUCCUUCACAUGAAAACAGAAGAGAAUCCCUGGGCUGUAUCAAGACACUUCUAUUGGCUCAACAACCAUAACGGAUGCAUAUGAGCCAAUUGAAGAGGGUUUAGAACCGUAAGUUGUUCAUUUAAAUGUUACCUAAAGUUAGAGGCAACAGAAGUUACUUUUGAUAACUGGAAAAAUAUUUAUUACUUCUACCUUCUGUGUAGUUUGGAGAUGACUCGCCAGGUCUCCCUUAUAUCAAUUACUUUGUCAACCAAUGAGCUGAAUAAGAAUUCUCCAGGGUAAAUAUUUAUAUACUGUCCUCUUCUCCUGAAAGAAAGGGACCUCUUUGCCCCCCCCCCCCCAAACAAAAAACAUCUCGCUUGAAAUCUCACGUGUGACAGUUUAGGAAUUUUAUGUGUCUAGGUACCAGGCGCCCUCCAACAUAGAUCAGCCAAGAGGUGAAAAUCAGCAGCACCAGCAACCAAGACAAUAUGUUAACAUAGCUGAAAAUAAUCUAGGUGAAAAACCUUUCCACUAUUGUUGGUUCUUAUUUUUAUUGUUUAUGGUGUAACACAAGCUUUUUGACCUUCUAUGUUUUGGCUCUUGGAACUUGGGUAAUAGGUUAGUUUGAAGGGCACAUCAGUUGUGUUUAUCUGUAGCUUCUUACAUGUUUACUUAUGUAUGGAUUUCUUCUGAUGAUACAUGAUUACUAGAUUCAUAUGGUGGCCGAGGUCGAGGCAGAGGUCGAGGAAGAGGAAGAGGACGUGGUCGUGGGAGGGGAGGCUAUGGAAACUAUCAAGGUAUUUAUGCAGUAAUAGUGAGAUUUAGCAUUUUCUUGAUUUAAUUUUGUUAAUUUAUGUUACUUUAUCACUAGGGGAGAACGGUGGAUAUUAUAACUAUGGUCGAGGAGGUGGACGAGGCAGAGGCUGGGGUUAUCGUGGUUAGUUUAUUUCUUUUACGAUGCUUUCUGUUUUCUGAAGCGGUGUUAUUACAGUGGACAAGCCUGACUGAGGCAGACUUUUCCUCUGCUGCUAUUUAUGUAUGCCUAGUCUCUGUUUGUGUUACGAGGUUUUGAGAAAACAUUGUAUUUUUUUAAGAUUUGGAAUCACACACACGUACAUAUGUAUGCAUGAAUGUAUUAAAUGUGAGUCAAUGGAGACCUGUAACUGUGGUACUUACACACCACACAAGGAUCCUUUGGGAUAACUAGGCUGUUGCAGGCAUGUUGCUACACUAUCUUGUUUGGUCAAGCAUAAUACCUAAUUGUCAUGGAAAGUUUGCGAGUUUUAUGGGCAUAUUCUGUUCCGUCCCUCUAGUGUGAUGAAAACUUUGUGUUUGUGCGGCAAUGAUGUUGAUUUUUUUAGGUUGCUUGGCACCUUAAUCAACCUAAACUGCUACUAUGAGUUAAAUUCCUAUGACAUUCUUUGAUAUGGAAAAGUUUGAAAAGAUGGAACCUCAAUUAUUUGUCUUAACCACUACAUUUGUCAUUGUCAGGUUCGGGAUAUGGAAGGGGCAGAGGUGGAUUCCAAGUUGGGGGCCGAGGUUAUGGUCGUGGGCGUGGAAGGGUGGGCCGAGGAAGAGGUGGUGUAAACCAGGCACAGAUUUGAGAUGGUUUGUCUGAAUGUUUUGAAAGCUGAACAGUUUUACCUGAUCUUAUAUCAUAAGGAAGUUUCAGUGCUUCUUUCGUGGAGAAUGAACUUUGUGGGUGAUCUUUUCACAGUUUUCUGGUUUGCCAUACUAUGGAUGUGCCAGGGUUUUCUUUCAAUUGGCUGCCCUUUCUCCAAGAGAGCCGUAUGUUGGUUCUUGUUUUUUGCGAGAUUCAUGUUACUGCCUUUUUGUAGCUAUAUUUGAUUUUUGAGUGUAUAUAGAUAGAUAUUUUAGUGAAUUUCCUUUUUCUUUUCCAUUUUGCAAAGCCAGUAGCUCAUAAUAGGCUGUAAAAGAUUGGAUUGGAAAUGCUUUUUUUUUUUUUUUUGGUUUGGAGCACUUCAAAAUUGAAAUAUACAUGAAAGAAAGAAGGGUAUCCAUUUGAGAACCUGUAAUGACUUUGCCGGCUAAACUAGUGGACAAGCACAAUAUACAUGGAUCCAACUUUGUCUGUUCCUUUGUAUGAUUGGGGGGAUUCAGUUGUCGAUGUUGGUGGACCGAUGGUUCUCUUUGUGCAGUUUGAGUUGCACUUGUCAAAACAGUAUAUGACAAGACAAUUUGUUUUCCUUGCAGACAGAAAAUUAUUUUUGCAGUUGUCUUAAUAACAUGAACUUUUUCUUGCUUUGAUGCAUUUUUGGCAAAAGCAAAAGUUUGGCAGCUGAUUGUGAGAAUGUGGGAUGAAUGCACAUCGACUAGCUAAUGACAAUUCCAUUAGAAACUUGUUGGACCGCUAAAUGCGAAAAUAUCUCUGUAGUUUCUUUAGAUGGAAAGGACAGAAAACAAAGGAAGAACCCCGCAGCCCCCGAGAAAAAGUAAAAGGAGAAAAAAGGAGGGGGAGUGGGGUUGGCUUGGGAGGGGUAAUACAGUAAUGGGAUUGGUACCCAUCAUGUUGUGGACAUCUUCUUCUCCUCUUCUUUAUGCAUUUCCUCCUCCAUUUCUUUCUGUUCCAUCAACUUUCUUGACAAUGCCUAAUGUGAAUAUAUGAUUUUCAAAAGAGACUUAAAACACCAUAAUUGGGCUUGAGGAAGAAUUAUUUCAAAGGAAGGAUCAUUGGUUUCUGAAAGGAAAAUGAGAAAAAAAAAUACCAUGAAUGUGAUUUAAUUGUACAUGAGCAGCCUAUGCUAGGUUGAUUUGGCUGUAGAAGUUAUUGUUAAUCCUUUUGAAGCCCAUAAAAGUAUUGUUUUGAAUUCUCAAAACUAUGCAUUCGUCUUUACAAGAAAUCCAUUUCAACAUUGCUGGUAUAGGUGCUUUCUUUAUUUUUUUUUUUAAAAAGGAAACUUUUCUGGUAGGGGGUUAUGGUUGUUAAUUACUGGUUCGAGAAGGAAUGAAUUGGGUCGUUUGAAGGAGAAAAUAUAAGUAAGAGAUCUUAGGUUAUUGAACCUAGACCAAACUAGUACUAAUUGCCAAUGGUGACGAGGAGCCCACAAGUGACAGGGUUUGUUUUAAUUUAAUUUAGACAUGCUUAGCUUCUAAUUAAAAAAAUUUUGUUUUUGACAUUCACAACUGCUUUUUCCAUUUUUUAAACUUUAGAACUUUUUUUAAACCUUCUUUCUUUUAAUAUGUUUUUUUUAAAAAAAAAAACUUACCUCUCCUUAUGUUUAUCAAAAUUUUUAACUUACCUCGUUGCCUAUGUUUAUCAUGAUUUCAAGAAAUCUUGUAUUCUACUUUUUGUGUUAUCCAAUUAAAUUGCAUUUUGUUGUUCACCGAAGCACUUUCUCAUUGCCAAUGCCCAAAUGCUCAUCUAUUGCAUUAUUUCAAAACAUAUUCCCAUAGCUUUUUCUAUCCUGCAUAAGUUGUAAGAAUGAUUUUUUUUUUAUAUAAAAUCAAAAUUUAUUAACAGACCAGAAACAAUGAGUCCUCGUUUGCAAAAGAAAUAUAAAUUGUCUCCUUCAAUGAUGUUAUUACCAAAAGCAGAAAUAUUAUAGCUAACGGGAGCAAGGACUCCAAUUCGCCAAAAAAAGAAGGGACCACCAUGAUAAAGUGGAGAGUAGAGAGUGAUAGAGUAGAGAGGAGGAAAUGAAGAGAAUGUUGUAUUAGAUAAAAUUGUAUGUGUCUACAAGUACAUGAAGUGCCUUAUAUAAAUAUGGUAAGAUGUGAUAAUGUAGUGGGUUGUGGUAGUUGGUAGAUGUCGUAAAAAUAUGCAGUUAGUGGAUGGUAAAAUACACUAGAUACAAGAUAGAAAACUCUAGAAAUAUAAGUUAGUUAGUAGCUAUAUUUACAUUUAACAUCCCCCUUCAAACUCAAGGUGGUAAAGUGAAAAUCAACUUGAGUUUGAAAACGAGAAUAUGAAACCGUCUUGGUGAAUAGGAUUUUGUGAAAAUAUCCGCAAUUUGGUUGUAGACACCACAAGUACUAGAGAAAGAGUUUGUUGCAUGAGAUGGUGCCGAACAAAAUGACAAUCAAUAUCUAUGUGUUUCGUCCUUUCAUGGAAGACAUCAUUAUGAGCAAUUUGGAUAGCAGUCAUAUUAUCACAAUAGAAAGGAGAAUCGAUAGAGAAUGAAACACCCAUGUCAUGAAGGAGCCAUCGUAACCAUAGAAACUCAACAGUAGUAUCAGCAAGGGCAUGAUACUUCGACUCUGAGCUAGAUCGAGAAACAAUUGAUUGCUUCUUGCUUCACCAAGAGAUAAGGGAAUUUCCAAGAAAGAAAUAGUAACCUGUUGCAGAACGACGGUCAAUAGGAUUACCAGCCCCCCUCGGUUAGCUCGGGUGGCCUGUCAGGGACGGAGCCAGAAAUUUAUUUUUGGGGGGCUGAAGUGUAUUAAAAUUUUUUUUUUGUGACGAAAUAAAUAUAUUUAAUAAGUAAAAUUUAGAAUCAAUAAUUAUAAAAAUAAUAAAAACAUAUAAUUAUACAUACCCAAAAAUUUGUUAUUGAUUAACACUUGAAGUAUUGGUAGUUGUUGCACUCGAAUAACGAAGAGGAGGCAAUUGCAUUCUGCGAGUCUUCAUCCGUUGAAAACGCUGCAAUAUUUGCUCAUUUUCAAUUGUUGCAAAAAUAUCCUUCUCGAUGUAUACAACCAGACAGUCAUUCAUCCACUCGUCUCCCAUUUUGUUACGCAAAUCAGUCUUGACAAUAUUCAUUGCAGAAAAUACUCUUUCAACAGAAGCAGUCGCAACUGGUAGAACUAAUGCCAACUGGAUCAGACGAUAAACCAAUGGAAAAACUGUAUUUUUACCAGUUUUAACCAUUUGUUGAGCAAGACUUCCCAAAUCUCCAACUUCUGAAAAUUGAGGAUCGCGUUGCACAUUAUAAAUAUAAUUUCGAAGUUGAGACUCAAGAUAUAAAUAAUCGUUACUUGAGAAGUCUUCAGGAUAUAAAUCAGCAAGACGGAGUAGUUUCUGCACAUUGAAUUGAGAGAAAGAACUUUUUGGAUCAAGACAUGCUAUGCAACUAAGCAAUUACGUGCUAACUUCCGAGAAACGAUUAUUCAUCUCUUGUAUAAUUAAAUCAACAACCUGACAUCACAACAAUAAUAAAAUUAAUAACUAAGAAAAUUUCUAAUUCACAAAUAAUUCUUAAAAUUUCAAAUAUAAAACUAACAAAAUUUUAAAAAUUAAAUACAACCUAAAAUCUAUACAAUUUCUAAACUAAUUUCUAAUUUAAAUUUAAUAUCAUUAAAUUUUUUAAUGUAAUCUUUCAAAUUCUUAAAUUACAUUAACAUAAACUAAAUAAAAAUUAAUCUUAAUCAAAUUAAUAUCAAGAUACUCAAAAUUCAAAAAUAAUUUAAACAUAUAAUUAACAAAAAUAUAAAGAUGAAUAUUGUAAUUUAAACCAAAAAACUAACCUAAAAGAUUUAUGUGAAUGGAAUGGUGGAGAGUUGGAGUCUUGGAGCCUUGAAUUGAAGGCUUGAAGCAGGAUGGUAGAAUCUCAACUGAAGCUUCUUGGAGUUCUUGGAGCCUGGCGUCUUCUUCUUGGAGUUGGAGUCUUGUUUGCCCUUUGGCACUGGCGGCGUGCUUUUGCAUCAGAUGAAGCCUUAGGCUUCAUCUGAUGUAUUUUUUUUUCCCCUCAUUAUACAAAACGACGUCGUUCCACUAAAAGUGAAACGACGUCGUUUUGUAUUUAGAGGGCAAAAAAAAAAUUUCAAAAUGAAAUGGGUCAUCUUCUUCCUCAGCAGUCAGCACGGCAGCGGCUUUCCAGCUCUUCUUCACUUCCUCUGCAGCAUUCAUGGAGCCAUGGAGGAUGGUAGAUCUGGAUCACCGUGGGGGAGCUGGGCUGGGCUGGGCUGGCCGCCGGAAUCCCCUAUAUAUAGGGGGUUUUCCGGCGGCUUGGGGGGGGCUUAAGCCCCCACCAGCCCCCCUUAAAUCCGUGGCUGUGGCCUGUGUAGCCUCAUUAGGUGAGACAGGUCUGGGGUUCGACCUGAGCCUAGGCAACCGGGGUAAUACUCUCGGGGAUCGGUGGGCCCGCUCUCCCUGGGCGAUGGGACUUAGGUCACAGACGGUAUUACCAGUCCGGAGUGACCGAUACCCAGCGACAAAAAAAAAAAAAAAAAAAAAGGAUUACCAACCCAAUCGGCAUCAGAUUAUGUUUGUAACUCUAGAGAAGAAGAUGAGAAAAAAUGCAAUCCAUGAUAGAUGGUUCAUUUCACACAGCGCAAGAUUCGAAGAACUGCAGUAUAAUGAGUGGAACGUGGACUUGACAUGAAUUGACUCACCAAGUGUAAAGCAUAAGCUAUGUCUGGUCGAGUGAUAGUUAAGUAGACUAGACUCCCGACUAACUGAUGAUAACAAGUAGGGUCACUUAGAAGUUCUUCAUUAUUUGGACGUAAUUUGAUAUUAGUUUCAAGUGGAGUGUCAGCAAUUUUAGAAUCUGUUAUACCAGCACGAGAGAGAAGAUCUGAUGCAUACUUGGUUUAGGAUAAAUAGUAACCCGUAGAGGACUUGGAGACCUCAAGACCAAGAAAGUACGAGACUGUCCCCAAAUUCUUCAUCUCAAAUUGUGUGCUAAGGAAUUCCUUUAAGGUUUGAAUUCCUACUCUGUCGUCACUAGUGAUUAGCAUAUCAUCCACAUAGAGAAGAAGCAGAAUAAUUUUGGAUGAAGAUUUUUAGAUGAAUAAUGCAAAAUCAUGGCCUUGUUUGGCACGCAAGUUUUUGGCCAAGUUUGUCUACUACAAGUGUUUUAACAACUUCAUCUACAGUAAUCUCAAAAAAUUUCUCCAAAUUUUUAAACUAUAUACUUCAAAAUAUCCAAAAAUAUACAUACUUUAAAAAAAAAUUUUACAACUUCUACAGUAAAUUACAAUAAAUUUUUAAACAAACACCCAAAAAACUCACUUACCAAAUGAGGCCGCCCAUAUGAGCUAUUAGAAAAGCCAAGUUUUUCAAGGGUGCCGCUAAAUUGUUAAACGUAAAUUUAGCUACUAGCUAACUCAUAUUUUUAGAGUUUUCUAUUUGAGAUCAAUUCAGCUAAAACUAAUCGAAAUAUAAGGUUUGUUUGGAUUGUAAGUUAUUUGAGAUAUUUUUACUGUAGCACUUUUUGUGAUGUGAUGUAUGUGAGAUGAAAAGGUAAUUGGGAAGGUAAAAAAGUGUAUUGGAAAUUGUAAUGAUGAUGUAAGCAAAUAUAUUUGGGGAAAUAAAGGCCAAUCCAAGGCAAAGGAUGACGGCGUAAAAGAUUUGCUCGUGUAGGCUCAUAGUCAUCAUUGUGUAGGCUCAUAAUCUCAUGUUGUCUCUAUAUUUGAUAAAAAGUUCAACAUCUUUAGGACAACGCCAUUCAGGUUCAGAGAUAGCCAACUGUUUCCAAAGAUUAUUCAUUUGAGAGUGGAAAGAGUCAAUGGCUGACCUGACUCUCGAUGAAGUUGUUGUAUUUUAGUGACAAGUUGAUACUGAUGAACCAAAUCAGCUGUGGUAUACUUUUUUGCCAAAAAAUUCCAACCUUCUUUUGCAGUGUCAAAACUAUGCAAAAGGGCACCAAUGGAGGGAGUAGAAGUAUUUAUUAGUCAAGUGAUGAUAUUGAUAUUAUCCCAUUCUUCCAAUGUAUCAGAAAAUUUAUCAGAAAAUUCUUCCUUUUCUUGAGUGAACUUGACACGCUCUCUUGUGAUGACUUGUCACAGUUUGCGGCCUUUAAGAAAGCUUCUCAUUGCGAGCAUCCAUAAUCCAUAAUUAGCACCAUUUAAAAUAAUGUGGUAGGAUGAGAGACAUCGGAAUCAGGAUUAAAUUCCAUUAGGAUAAAGUGCUGAUCCAGUAAUGACGUAGCACUUGAUUGAAUGAUGUCUUGGUGCUAAUUGGGUGUGAGAAGCACUGAGAUGAUUGUUGUAUUAGAUCAAAAUUUAUUAUGAGAAGAAAGUCAAAGAAAAGUUAUAAAUUAGGCCCCAAGUUCAAGUUCCAAUACCAUGAUAAAGUGGAGAGUACAGAGUGAUAGAGUAGAGAGAAGAGGAAAUGAAGAGAAUGUUGUAUUAGAUAAAAUUGUUUGUGUCUAAAAGUACAUGAGGUGCCUUAAAUAGGUAUGGUAAAAUAUGAUAAAUGUAGUGAUUGUAGUAGUUGGUAGAUGUUGUAGAUACAUAUGAUUAGUGUACAGUAGAAUACACUAGAUACAAGAUAAAAAACUGUAAAAAUAUGAGUAGCUAUAUUUACAUUAACACACCAAACUCAUUUUGGAGUCAAUUCCCAAUUAGGUACAGAGGUACCUAUUGAAAUAAAAGUAUGAAAUCCUCACGUAGAUUUGAUGGAACACUAGAUUGCAAGACCUAUCCCACUACUUAUUUAGAGAUGGGACAUGAGUGCAAGUUUUAUCUCAAAUUUGGGUGCUCAAUUUUAUUUGACUUUCACCAUUUAUAAUUAGGAUUAAUUUUGUAUAUACGUGGUGGCAUGACAUGUAUUCCCAAUUCGAUUUUGAAUUUUAGUUCUUAUAUAUGUGGCAUGCAUUUAUACCUGUUAGUAGAUAUCCUGCCAAUACAUACAAGAUAAACCCUUAUAAUUAAUCAUAAAUUGGGGGUAGAUAUACAAGAAAUUCUCUUAUUUGGCUAUUUCUACCAAGAAAAAAAAUGAUUAGUUUGUUACCUGGUCAUCUAUUGGAUUCUAAUGACUAAUAGAUCACUUGAAAUAAAUGUUUUUAGGAUUUUUCUAAGGGGUGCUUAUUGAGGAGUCGUUAAUACACAUAAAAUUCAUCUAAUCUACCAUGUACAUAUACAUACUAACAAUUAUUAUCCUCCAUUACAUUUAUAUAUUUUUCCUAUUUAAUCUUGAAUACCUCUCUUAUAUUUAUUUAAUAAUCCUAAUUAAUCUUACAUUUUAAAAAAUAUGAUAUCAAAAUAUAUUUUAAUGAGUGUGUAAUGGGCAUCCGUUAGAAAGACCAUAUUUUUAUUAUUCAAAAAAUAUAUUUUAAGGGUUUUUUCUAACAGGGCAUAGGCACCCAUUAAUAUACCUAAACUUUAUCCAACAUAUUAUGUGUAUACACAUAUUAACAAUUAUUACCUCUCUUGCAUUUACACAUUUUUCCGAAUUAAUCUUAGCUUUCCAAAAAUUCUAACAUCUGAAGUAUACUAUACCUUAAUGAGUGCACAUUGUAUGCCCGUUGGAUAGAUAGACCUUAUUUUUAAUUAUUUUUUUAUUUCAUAUAUAUCAUAUUAAAAAAAUUAUAUACUAAAUAAUUAAUGCCAAAGAGUUUUUCCAAAUAACCUUUGAAUUCAAAUAAACUCAUUUGGGGAGAAAUUCCGUAGGUGUUUAAUCCAAUUUUCCCAGUAUGGAUUAUUACCCAAAUUCACGCAAUAGACCAGAUCGGGAAAUUUAUUAUAUGAACCUUAAAAGGGAAGAAAACCUGAAUAUAAAAACACACUCGUUGAGUUCACAAACGUGGCGACUACAGGUGUCAAACAUGAAUACUGAAGCACAACAACCUUGAACCUAACUGUUUUCCCGUCCACAUUCAUCUUCAUCCCAACUUGAUCCUGUUACGCAUUUAAUCAACUUUCUCUUUCCUCUUCCCAUUGGGCAUUUGGCAGCAGACUUCAGCUUUCCUCCUCCUCUCUUGCUUCCUUCCUGGGAAAUCCCAGAAGCCCAUUUCAUUAAUGACUCAGAAAACUUGAGAUAGGAAUCAGUUCUGGGAUUGUUCUUGAUCAGAAGUUUCCUUAAAAUACACAAACAUGUAUGGUACGAAGAAGAAACAGGAGUCUUUCCACGUCGUUCAUAAGCUUCCUCCUGGUGAUAGUCCUUAUGUCAGAGCCAAAUAUUUUCAAGUAUGUGUUUUUCUUUCUCCUUUCCUUGUUCUUUUUGAUUAUUAUGCAGUAGAUACUGUAUAGAUACUCGUGAAGAUUUAUGAGAGCUAUGUUUCUUGAUGCAUGAUAUUUAUGAGAUAUUAUAUUCAUGGGCUUUUAUUUAGUUAUUUUGUCCUUAAAAUGAUUAUUUUACUUUAUUUAUUUUCUUGUAUGCUCUUAGUGUAAUUUUUGUUGGUUUUCUUUGGUAAGUGUUUUGGAGGUCUUUAAGUAUGAUUAAAAUGACUUAACUUUCCCAAAUCAUGAGUUAAUACUUAGUAUCUAAUUUGGAUGUGUUCUAACUGCACAAUACUUAGGUCCAUUUAUUUUGUAUUUUUGUUUAAGUUUGACGAAGAACAAAAACCUUAACCAUUAAUCUAUAUUCAAUGAUCAACUAUUUCUCUGGGAAUCAUAUAUUUUUGUUUAAUAUGUUAUCUAGUUGAUCCUUGUUACGAUAGCAUUUGUUUUGCGCUGGUGAUUCGAUUAAUUAGCAAAUGCUGUUCAUAUGGUUCUUUGCACGUUUUUAAAUUUACUGGGAACUGUUUCUCUAGUUAAAAGGGUUGGUUCUGUUGAUGAUGUCCUCUUAAGUUUUGUAUCAAGUACUAAAUCUUCUUAGUGUUAGAAAAAGGUUAUUUCUUUCCUGAGGCAUCAAGAUAGAGUCCUGAGACCUUUUUAAUGACUAGGUCCUCACACUAAUGGAUGUAGAACUUCUGUGCUUUGGUCUUGUUGACAAUGGUGCUAAUUAUACUAAUUUCUAUGUGCAGUUGAUUUUGUUAACAUACCCUUAGUCCUGUAUUUGAUUGCUCCAUUCUCAGACUCAACCUGGCACAUGGUUAGUUGGUCUCAUCUACAAGUUUGGAAACAAAAAUACUCCUUUUUCAAGGCUUGUCACCUUGUCUACUCCUAGUGGCCAAAUGAAGAAAGCACAUGGACUAUCUGAUGUUGCUAUCUCUUUAGGAGUUCUGAUCAACAUAUUUUUCUUCUUUUUGGGUUUUAAUUUGUGCAAGUUGCAGGAGGAUUAAGUUGGGAUUUUACUUUAUAUCAGUGCUUCUGGAUACUUCUUUUUGCAAUUCAUUUUUCUGCUUUUAUUUUAUUUUAUAGAAAUUUUGUGGCCCUAAUUUUUUGGACAAGCCUUUGCAGUAUUCAGCAAAAUGGUUCAGUUAUACCUGCAUUUGUUCUCCAAUGUGCAUUCGUUUAGAUUUCUAGGACAUAUUGAAUGUGACGACUCAUGCCUGCAUUAUUAAGUUUCUGUACCACCAUUUCUCACAAAAGAUAAAUGUUAAGCAAAGCUGCUAAACAUCCUCCUUUAUGGGGUUUAGGUCUUGUCUUUACAGCAUGCUUAAAUAGUAGAAAAUACUCAGGAGCCUGGUUCUCUCUGUCUGAGGAUGGAAAAGUGCAUAUGUACCCUGUUUGCUACAUGCAUAGACUUUGUUAUAUUAAAUAUCCAUCUGGUAUUUGUUGAUCAAUUAUUCAUGUUUGUUUUCUAUCUAACAAACAGCUAAUUGAGAAGGAUCCAGAAACCGCAAUUGUUUUCUUCUGGAAAGCAAUAAAUGCCGGAGAUAGAGUAGACAGUGCACUGAAAGACAUGGCAGUGGUUAUGAAACAGCAAGAUAGAGCUGAAGAAGCUAUUGAGGCUAUAAGAUCCUUCAGGGAUAGAUGCUCUAAGCAAGCCCAGGAAUCACUUGACAAUGUCCUUAUCGAUUUAUACAAGGUUUGACAACUUGGAAGAUAGAUUUAAAAUUUCUUUUCCUCUUAGCAUAUUUCACUUAGAAAUCUGCUGCCAAUUGUGGAUCUCUCUCUUAAUCUUAAAUAUAUUUUUUAGUUAAUUGGUGAAGCCAGGGAACUAAAUGUAAAAAGCUCCCCUGGGGAGUGGUUGGGACUUGAUGUUAUAAGGGUAGUAUUAGAUAAUUUGACGUCACAUUAUGCUUUAGACUAAUUAUGGCUUGUUUAAGAAGAUGACAUCCUAUAUAUGUUUCCAUGAGAUUUGAGAUUGUACAAGAAUGUUAACUAAUAGAUAAGUUGGAACAAAAUGUUCUGUUAUUUCUUUUCCUCAUGGUACCUGUAAGCUCCUUUCCUUUUUUUUUCCUUUGUCUGAUCUUUAUCUUCUACUGUAUGUUGUCAACAUAAUUUGGGUGGAUUUGGCAGAAAUGUGGAAUGUUGGAUGAGCAAAUUGAACUGCUGAAGCAGAAGUUACGGAUGAUAUAUCAAGGAGAAGCAUUCAAUGGAAAACCUACCAAGACAGCUCGCUCCCAUGGUAGGAAGUUCCAGGUUACCAUUAGGCAGGAAACCUCAAGGAUACUGGUAAGGAUUAUGACAUUACAUAUGUUCAGUUUAUCUCAUAAUCCAACUUAAUUAACUACCUUUUGGGAGGCUUCCAAUGCUCUAGUUUUCAUUAAUCCACUUCCAUUUAAUCUAGUUGUACCACUGUUAGUUCAUUCUUGUAUCUCAGACACAGACAUAUUCCACGAAAGAACAAAAAAAAAAAAGAGCUUGGAGAUGAAAGAUCACAAACUUCGAAUAACCAGAACUAAAUCUUAAUUACAGCUUACUGCCCAUAUGAUCAUCCAAUUUUGUCAUUUUUUAUCCAAAAAUUUAUGGAAGUUGGAUAUGUCUACCAAUAACUAUGGUAAAAUCUACCUUUUGCUUUGGUUAUCAAUCACUAUGAUAAAACACCUUUUUUUUUUUUUUGGUGUUUGGGUGGGGGGGGGGGGGGCUAACCACUGCAAUAGACCUCUUCUAUUUUGUUCAUGGGCUUAAACUCAAUCAAUUCAAGCUACUUAGUCAGCUUGGCUAAUGCUAGCUCCCAAUGGUAAAUUUGCAGGGAAAUUUGGGUUGGGCAUACAUGCAACAAAGCAACUAUGCUGCUGCAGAGAUUGUUUAUUGCAAAGCCCAGCAGAUAGACCCUGAUGCCAAUAAGGCUUGCAAUUUGUGUCUAUGCCUAAUUAAGCAAGGUCGAUAUGCGGAAGCAAGGCCUGUUCUUGAAGACGUGUUUGAAGGUAAGCUUUCUGGUUCAGAUGAACCCAAGUCGAGGAAUCGUGCUGAGCAACUGCUGAAGGAGUUAGAGCUUUGUGAAUCAGAAGGACUUGCUCCACCUGUUUCUGGACCUAGUAUAGAAGAUGCAUUUGCUAAAGGUCUUGAUCAAUUAAUGAACCAGUGGACACCAUUUAGGUCAAGAAGACUUCCCAUUUUUGAAGAAAUUUCACCUUUCAGAGAUCAAUUGGCCUGUUGAUCCUUCUGCUUUUACUACAUUUUUUCUUUCUUUUUUUUUCGGUUGGGGUUGAUUUUGUACGUAGUUGAUGAUCAUAGAUAUAGUGAAAGUAAUUAAGAAUAGUCAAAUUCUGGGCUUUCUUGACCCUGUGAGCCUUAUCAAAAGUUUUGUGCCGCUUGAACACAUAUUCAAGCACGUUGUGCCAUUUAGAUACUACAGUUUCUGCUGGUAGUAAUGAGAGAAUAUAGUUUUACCAUCUUGAGAAAUUUGUCCAUUCAUUUUUUUUAUUUUUUGUAAACAUUUGUCACAAAUCAUUUAAUAUUUUCGAGCUUUUAGCAGAGGAGAUAUACCACAUUUAAACACAUGAAUGAUCUUCUGGGAACAUUGUCUUUUAAAUUAUGACAAGAAUUAUCUCUCAGGCAACAUUGUCUAUUUUGUCUCAUGUUUUCUCCUCCUUACUGAUUACUUGUUACUCUUUUAAGCAACAAUGAGGUGCUCAUGUGACAUUCAAAGUAAACAGGAAAACAGGAGGUAGCACAUUAUUGACUAGCUAUAGAUUUAAACUUUUUUUUUUCAAGAGAAAAAGAGGCUUAAUAAGUGAUAAGAUAUUUGUUUCUAUCUAAUAUAUGAAUAUUUAAUGUAUUGGCUUCUAUCUAAAAUACAAGAAAUUUAUAGCUCUGUCACAUUUUGUUUUUAUACAAGUAAUCCCAAAAAAUUAUUAAAAUGCAUACUGUUUUCUCCAUAUGGAAAAAAAAAUGCUUCUUCUAUAUAUAUUUGUGAAAGCCAGACUUUACCACGUAAAAUGUUAAAAGUUUCUGCACCAAAUGUCCAUAUUUACUAGUCCUGCCUCCCAACUCCCAAGGGUUAAUUCUUCACAUUUCAUCAUAUAACAUUCAUUUUUACUUGGAAAUCCAACAUGUUACCAAGUUUCUUAGCAAGUAAUUAAUACUUUGACAGGGAAAGCAAUUAAAAGAUAUCCAAUGGAAAGAGAACAAUAUACAGCAACAGCAGUGUUAUAUUUAUGAAUUUGAAUGCCAAAAGAUACCAGCACAAAUUAAUAUAUGCCACAAAAUCCAUAAGGAUCAAAAACUUUCAAUACUGAUCAACAAGGAGUUACAGAUGUAAAAUACUACCAUGAUAAAGGAUUCAGUGUUACUUAGGCCUCAAUCUCAAACCUUGAGCAUUUGAUUGAACCCAUGGACAGGUCGAUCUCAAUCAAGUUUUCUUCCUCAUUCAUGUCAUUGAUUUCUGCAAAGAGCUGCUUGAUGCUAUGCUGAUGAAACAUUUUUGUUUCUGUGGAGAAAUCUUGAAACUUUUGCUGCCAAGAAAACUUGGGAUAUUCUUCUUUUGGUCCAACAUAAUGGCCACUAGGAAGAGCUAUCUCAAUCAAGCUUUCUUCAUCAGAAAUGGAAUCAUCUGAACAUUCUGGGCUUUGGCUUGGUAAGUUACCUGAGUAUGACCAGUCAAUAUCUGAAUCUUGAUCACUUGAAAAUGACUGACCAUCAAUACUUUCACUUUCUGAAUACAAAUCAGGAUGAAUCUGAUGAGCUGCACCACCUCCCUGAUUUUGAACUGCCUUUUCUUGAAAAGUAUUACUCUCAUCAGCUUUUGCCUUCUGCUCUUCUGAUACUUUGAUAAAAUGAGGGAAACAUUGCUGCUGCUCUGUGUUGCUGAUUCCAACAACUUCUUUCCCUGAUUCAUUGUCAACCUCAUCAAAUUCUGGUGAAUCUUGCUGGUGCUGACUAGCUUCUUUCACUGGUUUAUUGUCAACUCCUUCAGACUCAGAUUCUGGUGAAUCUUGCCGCUGCAGAAUAGGGUGACUAAUACUGCUCUGACUAAGAACUUCUACUGUUUGCACCGUUUCUUCUUGAUAUUCUCGCUUUGCAUAUGCGAAGAGAAUUGUGGAUAUAAUCAACACUAAAGAUGUGAUAAAAAUGGAUAAAACCCCACAACCAGAAAAGGCUGAAAAUGUAAUAAGAACAAAAACCCCUGGUAGUAUUGAUUUUUGCAGGAUGCAACUAGAAGAAGCCAUGUCAGUUGUUUUCAGAUAUGGAAUUAUAGAUCAAAACCUGGAGCUUUACAGCAUUUUUACAAAAAAUGGAAAAAAUGGAUCGAUAGAAAAGAACAAAAAAAGAAAGCCAACUUUUAGGCUAAGCUGUAACCUGCUACACAAGUACCAGAAGCAAGUUGAUAAAGAUGAAGAACUGGUUUACCAAGAAAGGAACAUGAACAUGUUAUUAAAGGAGCAAAUUCUGGUUUUUAACCCUUUAUAAUAUUGGGACACUUGCCAGUGUUCAGACUAGUCAAAUUGCUUGGCAGUUUCUCCCCAGCUUGCUUCCCCUUCACAGACUGAUCACUUUUCCCAAGCUUGUACUGUUCCUAAAAGACUGGGAUUUUAUUUUCUCGAUACUAAUCAGGUGGUCUUCCUCUGCAACUGAUUCUCUUGAUAAUGCCAAAAUCUGGUCUUCCUGUAUCAAUUUUAUGAACUCAACACUUGGAAAUGAGAGAAGCCAUGUGAAGUCUCUGAGCUCAACACAUGGCACUUUCUAUCAGAUCAGUAAAAACCUCCCCACAAUACAACAAAACCAAACAAGCAAAUCCCAUUAAAAAAAUUACAUUAGUAGUCAGUAUUCCUCCAUAAAAAGUAGUAUUCUGAGACUUCAGAAGUUGCCAAUUUUAAAUCCAGCUUCAAGAUCCUGAAGAUCAAGGAGUAUGAAGAAAGCACUACCACCAUUGAUAUUGCUAUAGAUGCUUGUACUCAUUUCUCUGUGUUACCUAUUUCAUCAUGCCACUCAAGAUUAAUUAAAAAAAAAAAGAGCUAUUGGAAACUUUUGAGGGGACUACACUUAACAAAAGCAUGCCAAAAAAGUUCUAACUUUUCCCCCCAAGUGGAGCCUUUCAUCAUGCCCCUAGACUCUUUUGACUUUUCGAUUUAGCUUAAUGAGGUUCAAUAAUAGCGGAUUUAGGUAAAAGUAAGCAGGUUAAUUUGGAUUGUCAAAUCUCUUCAAUGAAAAAGAAAAAACUACAUUUUAGAUAAUAGUCCUUUAACCAUCGUAGUAAAGCUCACUAGAACCUUUGCUAUUAUUUAAUUCAUGCUAAAAUAAGUUUUUUUUUUUGGUUUUUUUUAAAUAUAUUUUAAGAGGGAUUUGAUCCUAGAGCGUUAAAUCCUGUGGUUUGAACAUUAACUAUUACACCAAAACUUAUUAAUGAAAAGGAGUAAAUUCACAUUGCAUCCUCAAACUUGUGUCACUUUUUAUUUUACACCCAAAAUUUAAUUUUGGACAAUUUGCACCCUUAACUCACAAUUUUGUCCCAUUUAAAUCCAAUCAAUAAUGACAUUCGCAAAAUUAACAGAAAUAGAGAAUCAUACAAAUUAACGACAAUGUGUUGAAAGUGAUCAAAAUGAGCUAAGGAAUCACAACUGAAUCAAAAUAAUAUAUUAGCAUUAAUUUGUAUCAUCUUUUAUUAGAUAAUUUUGCUAGCAAUAUUAAUUAUUAAAUGUGACAAACUUUUGACCAGUUUGUUUUAGUUGCAAUCAUUUUGCUUAUUUCGACCACUUUCAACACAUUGUCAUUGAUACGUAUGAUCCUCUAUCCCGUUAGUUUGACUACCAUUGUUAUUGAUUGGAUUUAAAUAGAACAAGUUUGAGAGUUUAGGGUACAAAGAAUCUAAAAUUACGAAUUUAGGAUAAAAAAGUGUUCAAAAUUGAAGUUUAUGAUACAAAAUAAGAAAGUGAUACAAGUUCAAAGUGUAAAAUAAAGUUAGUCCAGUAAAAACUAAAAAGUCAUCACCAAGAAAUUCAUGUAAAUGUCAUAAACAACCAAGCGUUGUAAUGAUGAUGAUACAAGUUCAAAGAUAUAAAAUAAAGUUAGUCCCAACAAAAAGUCAUUACCAAGAAAUUCAAGUAAAUGUCAUAAACAACCAAAGGUUGUAAUGAUGAUAGGGGGAUUGGAACAAAAUCUUUUCUCACCUAAACCAGCAAUAAUUCUCAACAAGAAAUGGCCAAAGGGAUCACAGGCUCUUGACCUCGACACAAAAAGAGGAAAAGACAAUCAAGAUAACUCUUCUUUUGUGGAGCGUCCUAUUAGAGGAAAAUGUAUGGUAAAGUUAGGGAAGAUGAAUUUUUUUUUUUUUUUUUUUUUUUUGUCGACACAGGAGUGUUCGGGUCAAUCCUUACGGGGCUCGACUAAUCCCCUGCGACCCGGGCCCGGUGCCCCAACCCGACCCAAGCACGAUAAGUGCGCGGAGGAAUCCAGCAGAGCAUAGACUCGAUCUUGGGACCAAGUGAUCACCCGUAGGAGGUGCUACCGCUGGACCAUUCACCAGUUAGGGAAGAUGAAUGGAUAAACCUUUUCUAAGGUAUGUGAUGGAACUCCUGAUGCUUCAAGGGAUUAUAGGGUUGAUGCUGAAUUUGAAGUGAAGGACAGUCCAAGAGACUAUAUUUAUUUUUUGCUUCAAGAGUCAUGAAAGAGAGCUUAAAUGGACGCUUAUUCUAAUUUGCAUAACUGUCUUUGGCAGUACUUAAUCUGACUCAUGAUACGUUUUUAAGUCACGUACAUGGAUUAGUGUGAUUAUUAUUUUGUUUUAUGCUUUUUAAGAGAGGGAUGUGAUCCUCUUUGUGCUGUUCAGAUUUGUUUAUUCAAUUAAUAAAGAUUCAGUUUGUGCAACUAAUACCUGCACUAAGGUUGAAGUCCUGGAAAUUAGAGGUUCUAAGUUUAAAUCUUCCUGUCCCCUCCUUGUUUUUUAAGUCUCGCCCUUGGAAAUAUAUAUAUAUAUAUAUAUAUAUAUAUAUAUAUAUUAAAAAAGCUCUAAGGGAAAAUUGCAGCAUAAAUACACAUAUAUAGAAGAAUGGUACACUUAUAAUAAUGAUAUUCUGAUGUUGAGUGGUAGCUAACAUGAAGAGAAAAUUACAAAAUUAUUUAGUAGUUGAAUAUAUGUAACCUCUUAAUGUUAAAAAAAAACUUAUGAAAUAGGAAGUAUUUAUAGUUUUGGGAUUUUUUUGUUGUAGGUUAAGUGGUUUUUUUUUUUUUUGGGUAAUGAAAGGUUAAGUAGUUGGAAUCCAAUACAAUGAGCCCAUUAUCCAAGCAUACAAUUAUUUUCUCACCACAUUAUAUUUUUGGAUGAAGUAUUUAUUAUGAUUUAUACACUCAAAAUCCAAAAGAAAAAAAUUUCUUAAAAAGUUAAUCACCAACACAAAAAGAUAUUUCUUCUAGUUUUGGGCUUUAGAUCACAAUCAAACUGUGAAGAAGUAUUUUAUAAUAAUAUGACUUUGUCGAAACAAAUAUUUUGAUUUUAGUCCUGUCGCUUACACUCCUUCCUUUUGAACCACCAAACCCAUCCCCCUUCCAAUUUUAGGAAAAAUAAAGUAGUCUAAUUUUAAAACCAAUGCACAUAUAUAAAACCAACUUAAAAAAAUAUAAUAUUAGAAAUAGCAUCCCAAUAUAAAAGCUAAAUUUAUGCUACUUUUUUAUUAGAAAAAAUAGAGUAGUAUAAAUUUAGUUUUAUAUUGGGAUGCUAUUUCUAAUAUUAUCAUUUUUUAAGUUGACGAUUCUUAUUUGCUGAUUCAAUAAAAAAAUUUUCCUUUGCCUAUUGAAAAAAAAUCCAAUUUCUAGCUUAUCAACUUGAGUUAAACGAAAGACAAUAUACUGUUUUCUUGGUUGUUUUAAGGUUAAUAUUAUCUCUUAUUUCCAGCUUCUGUAGCUAUUUUAAUUGUUUCUUUUCUUUCUUUAAUUGUGGCUUAAAUUAGUUUCCCUCAUCUUUGGGAAAGAAACAUAAUCGUUUCUAAUUAACAUGCAACAUUUUGAUAAGCUUUAGAUAAUCUAUGAUGAACCAAGUAUAAUGUUACAAAAUCGAUUCAAUCCAUCAAUCCUCCAUCUUAAUUAAGUGGCUUUCCUUUUACGUAAAUUUACUGCAAUAUUUUCUGGUUUGUUAUUUUUUCAUAUUGUAUUUUGUAUAUUGGUUGGUGUACCCCUUUUAAUUAAGAGUAAAUCUUAUAUACACUGAUAGUGUAUACAUCAUCACCGUUAGAUAUAUGAUAUAUGUGCAAAAAUUGAAUUUCAAAUUCAAAUUUUGUAUAAUUAUCAUAUAUCCAAUGCAGUGUAGAAAAGAUUAAUCUAUUAAUUAAUAUGCACCUUACUCUUUUCUUUUUUUUUCUUUCCCAAUGAUUUCCAUGCAAUUUUAAAAGUGUAGGUUGGUUCUUUGAUGAGAUACGUAAUUCCAUAAUGGACUCACUUUCAAAAAUUAAAUCUUGCUAAAACAAAAACAAGGCAGUUUUGUGACUUUUGUCUUUUGAGAGCAAAAAGUGAUAACAGGGGGUGCUACCAAAAAAAAAAAAAGAAACAGAUGUAAUGAUCUUGUGCGCACAAUAACAAAUAACGAUUCUGUUUUAAAACUUUAUCAAAUCCACCCUGUAAUAUCUGGAUUAAUUUUGAAGCUGCAGAUUUCAUCAAGGAUGUAACUUUUAGGCAUUAAUAAUUAGGGCUAAUUUCAUAAACCUCCCAUGAUAUAUCUGACAAUUUGAUUGAGCUCCCUUGAGGUUUCAAAAAUUACACCUACUUCUCUUGAUUUGAUAGUUUUGGUAAUCAAACUUUAAACUUGGUCAAAAGUUUAAAUGAAUAACCCCAAAAUACCCUCAUCUUACCAAGAUCAAUGUUUGCCAGAUUAGUCAACAUUUAUAUAUUUCGACGCAACAACAAGAUGUUAUUUGUAACAAGUAGUUUUGUUGGCUGGUUAAUUGGUCACAUUUUAUUCAUGAAAUGGCUUGGAUUGGUAUUAGUCUGGAUACGGCAAAAUCAUUCUAUUAGAUCGAAUAAGUACCUUGUGUCAGAAUUGAGAAUUUUUAUGGCUCGGAUCUUUUAAAGCAAUAAUAAUAUAUUUAGCACACAUAUAAGAAAAGAUUCUUAAGUUUUCAAUACCAAAUUUGUUAUUUGAUAAGCAAUUAUGAUGAUAAUUCUAUUAUUACGAUAAAAUAUUUUUCAAUACCAAUUUUAUUCAUUCUAAAUUGGAGAAGAAAGUGUUAUUAUAAUGCUUUUAGAGUUGGUAGAUUUUUGGAUUGGGAAACUAUCAUUAUAGUUUGAUAGCAGUUUUGGGCAUUUUUUUUUAGUUAGUGUUUUUUGAGUUGGUGUUGCUUUUAAUACCAAAAAAAAAAAGAUUGACAAAUAAAAUUAGAUCACAAUAAAAUUUUUCAAAAAAAAAGUAACUAGUUUAACAUUUAAGGUUUGUGUUUGUAGUUGCAUAGUUUUAUUGGCAAAAAGAAUUAAAAAAAAGGAGGAAUACAAAGAGAAAAUGAAAAGAAAAAAUAAUCAUAAAUCCCAUUCUUUGUAUAUGCAUAUCCAACAAGAGAGCUUUGUUAAAAUGUUAAGGCUAGUAUUGUUAUUUUAGGUAGACAAGGGAGGCAAGUGUAAUUUUUAAAAUCUCAAGGGAACCCAAUGAAAUUAUUAGAAACCUCAGGGGAGGCUUCUGAAAUUACCCCUAAUAAUUAAUUAAGACAAGGAAGAAAAAUAAGUGACAGAAAGAGGAAAUAAAGGGGAAGUCAACUUGAUGUCCCAAUGACAACUCAACAGCCAUGACAUGCAAAAUGUGUUAUCUAUCAAGAAGUUUGCCAGCAGGAAAACUUUGUUCCCCAUAUAUGGCGGCCAACCGUAAAAUUUGGCUAGGCCUCUUAAUUAAAAUCUGUUUCAUCUCUGAUUUUUAUUCAUUGACAAUGUAUAGAAAAUGAUAUUUCCAUUGUAGCAAUAGCUGUGAACCAAAAGUCCAGGUUGUGGUUUAAGCCCUGGCAAGAAAGGCAAGGAGGGGACAUAUAUACAGAAAGAGGUGGUUUGAGGAGGAGGAGGAGGAGCAAAAGCCAUAAUGACUAACGCCACGAUAACUGUGGAUUUUGAUAAACUAUAUCAAGAUGUUCAAUGCUAUUCUGAUACAAUAUACAGGUUCAAUGGCGUUUGGGAUGGCCCUAAUCCCUUGCUUCCAGUUGUUCCUCUCUUCCUUGUUCAAUUAACAGUUGCUGUCCUGGCCACCCGCCUUCUCAUUAUUGCCUUUAGACCCUUUAACCAACCUCCCUUUGUUGCUGAAAUCCUCGUAAGUUCAAGAUUUUUGCAGCUCUUUCAUGCAUGUCUGUAGCUGAAGUCCAUCUCCUUAAAGAAAUAUAAGAAUAGGAAAAUUAUGUUCAGGACAAAUUAGUGUAUUCACCUCGACUGUUGGACCUCAAUUUAGAUGCAUAUCUUGGAGAAUGCUUUGUUUUCCUUUUGUAGUUUAAUGACCUCUUGGCCUUGAUACGAUUUCUGAAGGAAAAUGUCUUCCUGAUUUUUUAGCAUGAAGAUAGUUGGUUGGCGCGAUUCUCUGCGAGAAUUUGAGAUUUACUGAAAUUUAAGCUAAAUCAAUUAUGGUUUCUUGUACCUCUCAAGCCAUCUUUUAUGUGCAUACAUGCUUGCAUUAUUCAGUUCACCUAUAUGGAUAUGAAGUCUUGCUCCAAAUAUGUUGAUUUGGGUGUAAGAAAUCUUACAUGGAAUAUUGAAAAUGAAAUUCUUAACAAUGGUCCUAAUUUGUUGUGAUGCCACAAUUAAGAAUACUAGAUUGAGCUUAGUUUUAUCUUAACGUAGUGUUUAUAUGAUGAAUACAGCACAUAUCAGUACUUCUUUCCCCUUGAUCAAAUUCAACUGCAUUCAAUGCAUAAAUUGAAUCAAGCAUACAUUUGGCGUUACUAAUCAGAAGGAGAAAAUGAUUUCUGCAAUUUGCAGACUGGUAUCAUCUUGGGACCUUCUGUACUUGGGAAACUUUCAUUCUUCUCAAAUUUCUUAUUUCCACCUUACUACCUUCCAGUGUUAGAGCCAAUGGCGCAUUACUCCUUGGUCUAUUAUGCAUUACUGACGGGAUUACAGAUGGACAUACGAGCAAUGUACCGAACAGGAACCCAGGCUAAGCAUAUUGCCGUGGCUGGAAUAUUUAUUCCAAUGAUCAUUGGUUCCUCCUCAUACUUCACUAUAGAGGAUCACGUAACGGCUGAAUCACCAACAAAAUUAGGUGCUUUUUUCUGGGGUUCUGCUCUAACAGUGACAGGAUUUUCAGUGCUGUCUAAAGUUCUUGAUAGGCAGAAAAUCCUUCACACAGAGAUUGGAAAAAUAGCUGUCGCUUCAGCUUUACUCAGUGACCUGGCCUCAUGGUUUUUUCUUGCGCUAGGACUUGCAAUAACGGGGGAUAAAACAACAAAUUUGAUCUGGAUUGUGUUAUCUACGUGCGCUGUCGUGUUGUUGUGUGGUUUCUAUGUUCGUCCUGCUCUGAGUUGGAUCGUUAAGAAUACUCCAGAAGGCCAAGGGUAUAGUGAAUUCUACCUGUGUUCAGUAAUAACAGGAGUUGGGCUCCUCGGAGUGAUCACAGACGCAUGUGGUACACAUCCACUUAUUGGUGCUUUAGUUUUUGGACUGAUCAUCCCUGAUGAAGUUCUUGAAUCUGUACUUGUUGAUAGGCUUAAAGAUGUUGUGAAUGGAAUAUUUAUGCCUGUUUUCUUUGUUGCCUGUGGGCUUAGAGCCGACCUGAAUAAAGUUGAGGCAAGCUGGAUUAAGGUGGCAUUAAUCAUCAUAUUAGCCUCUUCUGCUAAAAUUGUAAGCGCCCUUACGAUCUCAUUUUUACAUGAUUUACCAACCAAAGAGGCAGUGGCUGUUGGAGUACUCACUAACACUAAGAGCACCUUAGCUUUGGCAAUUCUUGAGAUUGGUCUCACCCAAAAGGUAUUUUUUUCUGUCCCUCUCCCUGGAUAUGGAUUUGAAUUAGGUGUUGACUCAGAAACUUAGAUAUUUUCUUUAUCUUAAUUAAACAGGCUCUGACUCAGGAAAGUUUCUCAGUUAUGGUUGUUGCCAUUCUUGUGAUGACAAUGGUUGUCACGCCAGCAACAAUGUUGUACCGUCCCACAAAGAAUAUGACGCCAUAUAAGAGGAGAACCAUACAAAAAGCAAAAUCAGAUGAAGAACUCCGAAUACUUGCUUGUAUCUAUGAUGUACGAAAUGUCCCUUCCAUCAUCAAUCUCCUGGAAGUGUCCAAUUCCACUCAAAAAUCACCAAUCACUGUUUUUGCUCUUCACCUAGUUGAACUCAUCGGCCGUGCCUCUGCUAUGCUGGUUGUCCACAGCGCAGGUGGGUCAGGCCCCAGAAAUCCAAGUUAUUUAGAAGAAAGAACAGAACAAAUCCUCGCUGCCUUCGAAAACUACAAGCUACAAAGUGAGGGUGUAGAUACUCAGGUGAUGACUGCAAGUUCAGCUUAUGCGACAAUGGAUGAAGAUAUUUGCAGCAUUGCCAAGGACAAGAGGGCAGCAUUCAUAAUGCUCCCCUUUCACAAGCAACAAACCUUGGAUGGAGACAUGGAGGACAUAAAUCCCACUGCUCGAAAUGUCAAUGAGAGUGUGAUGGAAAAUGCACCAUGUUCUGUGGGCAUUCUUAUUGACCGUGGUCUCACUGAUUCACAAAACCGUGCAAGGAGCAUUGCCAUGCUGUUUUUUGGAGGUUCCGAUGAUAGGGAGGCAUUAGCUUAUGCAUGGAGAAUGGCUGAACAUCCAGAGACCAGCCUAACAGUGGUAAGGUUCAUUUCAGGUCAAGACACGGAGGAAGAAGAAUGGGAUCCCCUGGCUUUUGAAGAUAGAGAUCAAGUGACUAUAGAAAUCGACUCCAAAAGCCACGGACUUCUAGACGAUGAAUUCUUGAACAAAUUUAAGAUUGCUACAGUCAAUGACAGCUCCAUAAGCUUCUCUGAACUCAUGCUAAACGAUGAAGAGGAGACUGUUAAUGCAAUAAAAGACAUGGAUGGUGACAAUCACGAUCUAUACAUAGUCGGGAAAGGGAGAGGAGUAACAUCGCCUCUGACAGUAGGCCUUGCUGAUUGGUGUGACUGCCCUGAGCUAGGGCCUAUUGGGGAUCUUUUGGUCACAUCAGAAUUCAAAUCUGUGUUUUCAGUGCUGGUGGUGCAGCAAUAUCAUAAGCCAUCUGUUCCUAGAGAUGGUUCAGUGAGGUCUGCCGGCACAAUUAGUCAGAGGAAGGACAUGGAAUUCAGGCCAUCACUCUCGGAGACCGAAACAUUUGAGCCAUAUGCAAGCUUUAGAAAGACUAAUUUCUUAACCAUGAACUAGUAUUUUUCAGGAUUUUUACCCAGUGACUUGGAAGAUUGUUAGCAGUAGAUCCAGAAAAGUGAACAACAAAAGGCAAGGUCAUUUGCAAAUCACAAUAUUACCAUCUCACUAAUUCUUGUAUACUCAGGCUUGUACACCGCAAAAGUGCUUUUUCUCAUGAUAGAACGACAAUAAGAAGGCUCUAUUCAAAAGUGCUUUCAGAAAAGUUGAAUAGAAAGCCUUCUACGUUCAAAAGUGCUUGCAAGGUUAUGGAAAAACUUUUACUGAAAGGUAAUCAAUUAUUUUUGGGAAAAAAGGCCACCAACAGUUUUUCUUUUUUUUUUAAUCCAAGAAUAGAAGAACUUCCAUCACAAUACAAAAUUUUUGAUGCACCAUAACAAAAUUAAUUAUAAUGCAUUAAGAAUUUCAGCUAGCAAUCGUUAUUUUUCUUCCCCUUCCUCUUACAAUAUAAAUGUGUAAGUUGUCAGAGAGAACGUAAUAUAAAUGUGAAAUCGGAUCAAGGCAAAGAAAAAAAAAAGGCAAAAAUCUACUUUUACAUGAAUAAUUGAUUACUUUAUAUCAAUGUUAAUAAAUUUACUAACCUAACAAUUAAUUUUACCAUGCAUGGACAAAAAUAUGGCACGAAGAGAAAUUAUAACUAAAAUUAAUUGGAGGAGAGUUAGAUGUAAAAAAUGAGUAAAACCUAAGUGACUAUUAACCCAUUAAUUCUCUUCAAUUAGGUUUGAAGCCAAAAAGAGAAAAAAAAAAAAAAAAAGAGGUUAAUUGAAAUAAGAUAUUGUCAAGGAUACGCAAUCAUAGUAUCCAACAAUUUGAGAAAACUCUGAGAUAGCCUACAAAAUGUGCUUUGUUGUGCGUGUGUGUGUGUCUAUAUAUAUAUAUAUAUAUAUAUAUACCCCUUGUCAUUGCCCGAUCCCAGAAAAAUCCAUCUUUUCUGUUAUAUCAAUAUCAUAUAGAACUUAAAUUAUUUUAGCAAAAAAAAAAAAAGGAGAGAGAAAGAGAUAAAAGAUGAUCAAGAAAAAAAUACAAAAAAUUCAUAUUUGGAUACUUUACACAGUCAAACUACAACAAUUUGCUCUUAAAUACUCAUAAGAAGCUAUAGGCAAUAGGCAUUACUCGAGCUUCAUAUUUUAGACCCAAAAAAGAAAUAAUAAUAAGAACAUGUUAUUUUGUCCAAAAACUAUUCAGCAACCUCCCAAGGAGCACCCAAAAAACACCCUAAUACACCCCAUCAACCACCACCACCACCACCACCACCACUUUGACCACCUUCUCACCCUUCUCUUUCCACCAUGGCCCCAUCACUCCCACAAUGAUCUUCACUCCCUCCUCCCCUUUCCCACUUCCUUCACCACCCCCAUCUUAUUCUCCGUUUUCCCUCCUUUCCACCCCCCCCCCCCCCAAACAAAAAAAGCCAAAAAAUGGUUGUAGGUAUUGCCUAACGGUUCAUCAUCUUAAGAGUGUUUACAUAAGUGUAGCUUGAAAAUGACACAAAAAGCUUCCGGAACCUGCAUUGGCAAUUAAGAUGAGAUAAAUGAGAAUGCACAAAAGAUCAUUGAAGUCAGUUAGAUUAUUCAAAGUAAAUAUAUCCCCACCCCAAAACAACCUCUUUUUAGGAAAAUCAUGAAAGAUCUUGCAAGGAAAAAUAUAUUGAUCCCUUCUCCUUCCAAUUAGAUGUGAAGAUAGCAGCACGCAUACCAUAUCCAUUGGCUCCUAUGUUGAGCCAUUGCAGCAUAGCUUUGAAAGGGAUUUUCGUUCAGCAAAGACUGCAGUUCUCUGUUUAGACAUUUCCUGGCUAAUAAAAUGGACAACCAAAUAUCAACUGGUCCACAGUAUUUGCGCAAUAUGUUGUUACUGACCUGGGUAUUAUAAGAACAAAAGCCAUGAUUUAAGGUUGUAGAAGCUGUAAAUGAAACUUAAAAUAAAACACACUGCCGCUUUCUCAGGAAAAAUCCUAAAUGGAAAAUGAGAAACAGGAAGAGAAGGAAUUUGUGACCAAACGUCUAAUAACAGACAAGAGGAUGUUAGCUUUAGUUGUAUGCAUAGAGUAGGUUGCUACAACACCCCAAAUAUGGAUGGAUUUUGACCCACCCAUGCUCAAAUGCACAAGAGACUAAGAUCACCAGAUUCCUGUUCAACCAUGCGAGAAUGAAAACAGCUAAAUAGCUACUACUUGUAUGUAUGUUCAUAUGUUCCAAGUAACAAACAAAGACUUCCACACAUAAAACAAAAAUGUAGAUUCUGCUGCCCAGCCACUACCAGCAUUUAGAACUAAUCACAGACUAGUCCCAAAUCUCAUUCAUCCCUAAGUCUCCCACUCUGUUUCCUGACUGCAGCUCCCAGAAGCUAAGCUUCAGUAACACAAUAAAAUCAGAUGAAAAUGUACAUAAUCUAUCAAAAUCGCACGUACAAAUUGAGACCAAAAGUUAAAUCCAACAUCAACACAAAAUCAUAGCAGGGAAUGGGGAGUGAAAGGGUGACUGUGCAUGGGAAGAGUAAUCUUGGAGGGCAAAAGGGCAGGGCUCAAGGACAUUGUGGAAAAUAAUAAAUACAAACACUUUACAAGAUGAGGUUUUCUGAUGGAAGUUAAGAGAAGGAGCAAAAUUUCUUCAAUUUCAAAAUUGCAUGUCAUAACCACAUACUUAGCUGCAAUACCAGGUCACUCUACCAUGACAAACAAGGUCUUUGGUUCACUUCGCUCUUUUUGGUACAACUAAGUCGUAGUUGGAGGAGGUCAUGAAUAAUCUAACAACCAUGGAAGAAAUAAAAUUCACAAUAACCAGUAACUCUAUUAUCACAAGAUAGAUGUUGUAACUUACAAGUUCCCAGGCUUCAACUUGUUGGGAAGAAUUUUGGAAGAGCUUUCUGCAUAGCAAAACCAAUAUUCAGAUUUCAUAAAUGCAAAAUCAACAAAUACAUGCUCUUAAUGACAGCACAAAUAAGUCAAGAUCUACUGACCGCACUCCCCGAUGUACAUCACAGUGAUUACAAUGACCAGAAACACCAUAAUUAUCAAAAGUUAUUAUCUGAGAAGCCAAAAGGAGAGUGAGUUGAGUAUAAUCUCCAGAUAACUUACAAUUAACCAUUCACAUUGCCAGCUACAGUGAGGCACUCAUAAGCAUAACAACGGCCUCAUGCCACAUAAUUUCACAAAGUAGGAAAAAGGCUAGAAGUAGAGAAGUUGGCCAAUAAAAUAGACAAAACCUUACCACAUCAAUGGCUUUAGAAUCAACUUCCUCCUUAAUAAUCAUUUCCAAUAAAUUACAGUUCCAGACCUUGUGAAAACCAUCCUACAUUCAAAAGCCAUAUUCUACUAAAUUUUUGGCAUAAUGUGUCACAAGGAAAACAAUAGCCCAGUAUCAAAUCUUGUAAGAUAUUUCAGACAGGUACCUGCAAAUCUGGGUGGUCCACAACCUUCACUCGCUGGGAUGGCACCUGCAUGAGUAAAAAUAAUUUCAAUGACAUGGAAGACCAAAGCCCAAGUAAAAUAUGAACCCCGGAACUGUUUAUCUGGAUAGUAUGUAGAAUAUUAACGUUAAUCAGGCAACAAUAGAAAUGUGAUGUAGUAGUACAGUUCCAUAAAAUGUGGAUAGUAUGGAUGUAAAAGGUCUGUGGUCUGAGCACCCAGCUGCAUGUUGAAUGGAAGUAAUAAAAUUUCCUAUUCAACAACAAAAUACCUUCAAGACAACAGAUGCUAGGUACAGCUCUUCUUUCCUGAUGCCCCCAAUACCAUCUGCAUUACCUACAAAAGAGACAACUUUUGAAACUUUUAUAUUGGAAAAACCAAAUGCUGAUGACAGUGUUAAGAUUGUUGAAUUUUCAAUGCCAUCUUCUACAGAGGACUAGUUACCACUUCAAAUGUUCCCAGACUAGAGCCAGUAUAAUUAGAAACAUCGUAUAAUUAGAUACAUAUACCCAUUCCCCAUUAUGAGGAAGACAAUCAGACACAGGAAAUUAAAAUUUUCUCUAUCUGCAAGCUUCAACCUUUUGUACAGCAAAGCAAAAUUGCCUGUUUCAGAAAACAUGUUCAGGAAAUCAUUCGACACGUAGUGAGAUUACAUAUCCAGUCAAAUCAGAACAUUGUCUUUGCUAGGACACUCAGCUGUGUUUUUCAUCAGAUUCCAAGCCAGUUUAACCAACCUAACUGAAACAUUAGCCAUGGUAGAGGAGACAAAGGAAGUUUCUCUGCUUAAUUAGGUGUCCUGCUUAUAUAAGCAGCUAGGAAGUUGCAAGUCUGUAGUAGUGCAUUACCAGUUGACAAGCACAGUAUAUAAACAUUAUGCCCCCUUGAAGUCAGGUAAUUGAUUGUUGGUGAAAAGAACCUGCAUAGAUAUCAAGUAAUGUUACAAGCAUAUGGUAAAACCACAAACUUGUGACUCUUAACGUUUAAAAACAGAAAGGACAUCAUGUUAUAAAUCACACAAAGUUUCAAACUUUUGUUUUACUCUUGCACUAUUACAUUCCUUAGUUUAGGCAAUGUUGCUGGCUUAUGACCUAAAUAAAAUUUAUACAUGCGAUCAAAGUCGGAAAAUGUUCAGAAUGUUCUAUAUUCUAAACUUAACCGAUGUAACAAUUCAACCACUAUCAGGUAUCCAACACAAGCUUCUAGUCCAAUUAAAUAAUUGCAACAAAAAGUACACAAUAAGAAUUUUGUAACACAACCUUACAUUGUCUCAUCAUCAGGGUGUGCAAUAACCAACAAGACAUUUUUCCUUGAAGGCAACCCAGCACCUAAAAUUGCAAAAUCCAAGAAUAAAAUUUACUCCUCAAACAAACAAUAAUUCAUUGUCAGGGACAAAGUAUUCAUCUAUGCUCAGAACAAACUUAUUACCGAUGAAAUAGUGAUCUUACUUGCAUUAUCAUUCAGGAAGGUGGUCUUGGAAUUUAAAGAUGAACCCAAGUGUAUUUUGCCUAAAGAAACCGCCCAGAGUAAUACCAACAAGCCAACAAUCACCAGCCACACCAUCUAGCAAUCCUCCCAAGACAAUGCAAUUUCACCAAAAGGAGACUGAAAAUGCCCAAAAUUUGCAGUAGGAAAAGAGGGGGUCAUCCUAAAUAUUCAAUCAAAAUCAGCAAUGCAGUUAUCUGAUGUUUUUCAUCUUAAAUAUAUAUACAAUCUGUAAAACCACAAGAUUACAUAAAGCUAGAAAAUCGUUUUGCUAACAUUGGCUAGAAAAACUCCAAACAAAAAAAAAACGUAAGUUUUUUUCUUUUAUGAAAAUCCACAUCAUAUACUAGAGUUGUUCUCUCUUUAGUUUCCUUUGGGCCCAUUACAUAAUAAAGAACCCAAAAAAGAAAAAAAAAUAUUCAAAAAUCAUAGUACCAAUAAUAUUCCACAACAAUAUACUAAUUUAUACCAAUGUUGCUGAAAUGGGCUUUCAAUAAUUCAAGCAAAUUUCAUGCUUACCUAUGAUUAAAAUACUUGAAGGUACUAAAUAGCAAUGCAGAAAGAGUGUAAUCAAUGAAACAUAAAUAAGUAAAAAAAAAAAGAAAAAUUAAAUUGAUUUGAUACCAUUCCAUUUUCUAUACAUAUGACGAUCAGUGAUGGGAAUUUUAUUGAAAUGGGUUGUCAUAAUUACGACGGAUUCUUACCUUAGACAGGCAUUGGGAGUCGGAAAAAUUGAUUCUUUAUCGCUGAUGGACACCCGCCGGCGGUGAGUCCGGUGACCGAGCUAAGCUUGGUGAUCUAGUUGCCGGAAGAAACGGGUUAACGGAAGAGAGCGAUUUCAAGGUUUGGGAGCUGAAGUCGUUGAGAUCAAAACAACGUGAUUUAUUCGCUGGGAUAAAUUGCUUCAAUAGUCCCUCUUACUUUAAGAAAAUAUAUUUUGUUCCCCCCUCCCAUCUGAGAAGUACUAAUCCUCACCUUUGGAAUAAAAUUAUUUAAUUCCUUAACAUAAUUUAAACUGUACAACUUUUGGCCAAAAUGCAAAAUCCCACCUUCAGCUAUAUUUCUAACAAUAAAAAUGUCACACUGAUAUCAAGUCUACGUGGUUUAUGCAUAUUUUUAUUUAAUUUUUAUAUUUUUUCUUGAAUAAAAGAAUGAAUUACUCGAUUGAUUUCUGUAACUCUCGGGAUAUAUAUUAUAACUUGAAUAUAGCCCUUUCAUAAUUUGUGCUCAAACAUUUUCUUAUAUUCUCGAAAAAAUCACAUUCAUUUUUUAUGCCUUACAUUGGUCAAUCAAAAAUUUAGGUCUAUGGCAUACAUAGACCAUACUCAUUUGAAUUUGAAUCUUGUUUUGAGUCUUAUUUUGAAAAAAGAUAUUUAAGGCCAUGUCAUACUUAAAGAAUUGGAAGGUGAAAAAUGAAAUUAGAAAACUUCAUCGUGUAGUGAAAUUCUAUCAACGUAUGAGCUUUUUUUAAUUUUUUUUUUAGUAGGAGAAGGUGGGAUUUAAAAAACGGAAAGAAGACUGGGGAUUUAAACAUAUGAGCCUUGAAUAAUACACACAAAUAUAUUCCCUUGACUGAUUGAUUAGAGCAAAAAGAAUAAUGUAUUUGUCAAAUCAUAUUUAUUAAAAAAAAACUUUAGUUCUUACACUAUAUAGGUAUCACAUUUUAUAUCGAAAAGCUGGACCAUAAUAAGAAUGUAUCCUUAAGAGCAUGUGAUUUGCAAUUUACGAAUUAAUUUAUGAGUAAAUUUUAUGUACAUUUACUGUGUAUACACUAUCACAAUUGGAUAUACAACAUGCAUGUAAAAUUUGAGUUUCAAAUUCAAAAUCGAAUUAUGUAUCAUGCAUCUAAUAGUAAAAAUGUAUACACUGUUGGUGUAUAGAAGAUUAAUCCUUAAUUUAUUAAACUUUGUCCGAAAAGUACUACUACUAAAUAGUAAAAUUACAUGGAUUCAAGAUGUAAAAUAAAAGGAAUUAGGCAAUCAUCCAACUAGGAUCCGAGAUUGAUAUAAAUGACAUGUUAGAUUAAGUGUGGUAAAUGUUUUACAAUAGGGUGUAGAGAUCUUCUGCACUUGCUUUCUAAUGUUCCCUAUACAUUGUAACCAAGAUUACAAAGCUCUUACCCCACCUCAAGGCAGGGAGAAAGAAAAUUCUAACUGAGAAUGCUACUAGCACCUGGAACAUUUUUAUAUGUCUGAAACCAGCCAAUUCUACGAUGAACCAGAAAAAGACCAAAUCUGUGAUCCAUGGCAACAGAUACUGCCUGAAUCAAAAACAUUUGAAACCAGGACAUACAGACAGUAUGAUGAUUAGAAGAAUUGCUAGUAUAAUACCAGCCACAAUCAACUUCAUCUUCAUAUUCUGCACCCACAUUUUUCUUUUCAUCUUAGUACCUUGUUGCCUAAAAUCUUGAGCCUGAAACAUCAGACAAAUUUUCUCAUCAUUUAAGAAAAAAGGAAUUCAAACUAAUUUAGGGGUGCAAAUGGAUAAGAUAUACAAGUACGUUAAAUAGAAUUACUUUCUUGGUUAGCUCUUAAUGAUAAAUUCAAACUAAUACGUAAACUUCUUAAACUAACCUGCGAUCGAAGGUUUUCGGUUUUAUCGACUAAUAACUCGAUCUUUUCUCCACGAUCAAGAACCUAAAACCAAGAAAUUUAAUGUGCAUAAAGUGACAGAAAACUUGGUAAUUGGAAGCAAAAAAAAAAAAAGGAAAAGCAUGCAACAAAUGAAUGCUUAUUUUAGCUUUCUUACCUUUUCAAUGUUUUCCAUCAUCACUCCUUUCACUUCAGAAACUUGAGCUUUAAUUUUUGCAAGCUUAUUGAUCUCUUCUGGAUGAUCAACACAAUACUUCAUGUGCUCUUUCAGUUUUGGCCUACCACAGAACAAGGAAAUCUUUGGUAAAGCACUUAAAUUAAUCAAAAGAAAAAAAAAUUUGUCUGAUGUUUUAGUAUUCUAAAAACUGAUAGUUAAAUCAGAGAAUUGUAUAAAUGCAAGGAAGCUUAAAAUGUCAUUUUGUGUAUUUAUGUGGUAAAAUUGUGUGCAUGGUUGGAAAAAAAAAAAACAAGAUCCUUAAAAGAAGAACGAACUAGAAAUACUAGAAAUGGGAAUUACCCAAACUCUUUGUUUAAGCUCUUAGCACUGGCAGUUGAUGCUUUUCCUCCACCGUAUCUCUUGUGAAAGUCUUCCUUGAUCCGCUCUAAGAAGGCGAUGGGAAGUUGUCUGCCUGCAGCUUCAGCAGCAACAACGCAAUAGGCUGCAUUAUCCAAUAUUUAGUUGCUUAGCACGUUCCUUAUGAUUAGUUAUAUGUAAAUAAAUGUGGUAUGUAAAUGAAAAAUGAUGCUGCUUAAUCAAGAAAAAUAAAAUAGGAAAAAAGGUAAGCAUUGUAAAAAGAAAAAUAACAAGGGAAAAAAAUGAAAUUGAGAUUCAUGAGUUGCUGCUAAUGAGUAACUACAAGAAAAGUUAAAGAAAUGAUUUACUUUUUCACGCGAGAAUGGAUACAUACACGUGGAAUAAAUACUAAUCAUUUCACUUAUAGUACUUUUUAUAAUAUAAUAUCUAUGAGAUAAAAAAAUAAUUGAAAAGAUAAAAAAUUAUUAAAAAACGUAUUUAUGAUGCAAUCAGAUAAUUUUUUUUUAUUUUUAACGUGUGUGUAUAUAUAUUAAAAUUGGAUGCAAUAUGCAAUACUCGAAAUGCAUAAGCUCAUAAAUCUCGAUAUUGCAUGUUCAUUUCUUUUCAUAUUCAAAAAUAUAUCCAUGAACAUAAAGAUUUUGGAAAUUUCAAAAGAUUUUGUGCUUAUAUGCCUUCUAAUUAAGUCAUCUCAUACUCCAUUUUUGACAUUUACAUAGGAAGACAUAUAGCAGCACGGGGUAGCCAUUCCUCGCAAGAUUUUGGAAACAUCUAUCAUGACUAUUCAUAGUUUGAACUAGAAAAUUAUGUAAUAAAAAUUUGCCACCCCAACAAAUUUUCUUACAGCUAGAGUUGACCUCCUAUACGUCUAAUUUUCAUCUUUAGCCCCUGCAAUGUUCAAAUUCUUCGUUCCUGAUCACCAAUGGCUAUAUAAACUACAAGAACAAAGGGAAAAAAAAAAAAGAUGUACUAAAAACUGCAGCAUGGAUAAUGAAUGAAUAAACGGGGUUGGCAAAAUUUGGCUUACUGAAUCCAUUCUCAACGUGGUAAUUGAAUGUAUGUCCAUCACAAUUGUAAGUGAAUUUGUUGUUGGAAGCGGGCAGCUUUUGUAGGCAUUGAGAGGCAAUGGUGGUGAAAUUGCCUGUAAACUCUGUGUAUUCUGCUAAUAUUACAGUGCCUCGUGCCACAAAGCUGUAGAUCAAUGUUUGUUGUCCCAUUUUUGUUUGAUCAAUUCUCUACUAUUUGAUCUUCAUAUGCAAGAAAAACCCUCAAAUUUUCAUCAAUUGAAAGAAAAGGAAAGUGGUGAAAUUUGGCAAGAAAAUGCAAAUGAAGGUUUGAGAAAGAGAGACAAAGGUGAAAUGAUUGGAUCAGAGAGAAAUGAGGGCUGAGAAUAUGAAGAGGGAGUCUUUUUCUUUGUUUUAUCCUAGAAUUGGGGAGAGCUAGCUUAAAGAAGUAAGAUUGAUGAUGUCAUAAUUUAGUAACGUUUUAUUUGGAAAGAAGAUUUAAUUGAUCAGCACCCAUCAAAGAUGUUCCUAUUUCUUCUUCUUCAUAUAGUAUAGAGUAAACCUAAAUUAAAUUUGGUAAAACAAACAUGGCCAUGGUAACUAAAUUAUAUUUUAACAGAACGUAUGUAAAUAUUUUCCUUUUUUUCUUCGUCAUAAAGGGAAAAAAAAAUACUUUUUAUCAUAUUCAAGUAAGCCAUGGUUCGGUCUUUUCUCUUUAAAAACAAAAUAAUUAUUCAAAGCAUGCACAAUAGAAAAAGCCAUGUCUACACAACUCUUACUAAAGUUAUUUACUUUUUUAAAAAAGUUAUUUACUUAAAUGAAUUUGAUAAGGUCCAUCUCAUUUCUUUUUGCAAUGACAAUUGUAAAUUGUUACAAAAGUUACACUGGUUUAACGCAGGUAAUACUCUAACAUGAGAACUGAAGUUACUUUCUAAAUUUAAUGGAAACUCUAAAAAAUAGUAAACCUCAAACUCAUCAAAGUAGAAGUGAAAUGGUAAAUUUCUUGUGUUGUUUUCCAUGGAGUUUGAAAGCAAGACAUGACAAGUAACAAGGAUGCUAUUUUCUCAGAUAAAAAAUUAAGUUUGAACUCAAUGCAAUAUAAUCAUUAUUUGUCGAAGAAUAUACUAAAAUUCAACUUGUGACAUAGUGCACUAAAAAGAAUAAACUUAAAGCAUAAAUUCGAUCAUGGCUUAUUUCUAACUUUACGCUUAAAGUUAUCGAAACAAAACAAAAAAAAAAAAGAGAAUGAUUAGACUUGGAGACAAAAAAAAAUGAAUAAUUGCAUUCCAACAUUUUUAUUUUUAUUGACAAAAUUGCACUGAUAGUCCCUUACAAAUUACUCUUUUUUUUGACGUAACGGUAAUACGGAGAAAGCCAUUGAAUACAGUCACAUAUAGUGGCAAAUUAGUGUGAGAUAAGGAUUGAAUGCUUGAUCUCCUACACCACCAAAACUUAAGUGCUUGAUGGUGACCAUGGCCCUUACAAAUUACAUAUUACUAAUAUUAAAUUUUACUCUCAAGGAAUCAAAAUUAAAUUUUGGUCCCUAUGCAAUAACAAAUUUUAGUCCCCAUGCAAUAACAAAUGUUUAUAUUUGGUCCUCAAUCACGUUUUCGAUCAAAUUUUGAUUGGAAUAUGUGACAAUACUUGAUGCAGUCAAUAUUUAAAGAGCAAAUCUGACAACCAACUUAAUACCAAAUUUCUGACUUAAUCAAUUGUUUCGUCCCAAUGCCUCUCUACCCUAACUCUAAUUUCACAAACUCAAUAACACAUACACUCAUUUGUCUCUUCCACCACCACUCUCUCCCAUCAUUCCCCAAUCCACCGCCACCACCAACACCAACACUCACAUUGCUACCCUAUUUUUCCCAUUCUCCUCUUUAGUCUCAAUCCCUUUCCUUUUUUCCACCACUAUCACCUCUUCCUUUCUUUGGAGGAUGAAUAGGAAAGAAAACAAGACGGCAGGAUGAAUGGUGACAGGGAAAGAGAGUGAGGGAGAAUAUGGCAAAAGAAGGGACUGAGGGAAAAAGAAAGCAAAAAGGUGAAGGUGGAGGAGUGAGAAGGGGCAGGCAUAGGCAAUGGAAGAGGGAAAGGGAUGUACUCAUUUUUGAAUUUGUGAAACUAAAUUUUGGGUGGAGAGAAGUUAGAGGAAAUAGCGAACUAAAUGAGAUAUUGGGUCAACAUUAAAUGUGUCGCUAGAUUUACCGUUUAAAUAUUGACUGCAUGAUCUACCGGUGACUGAUCGUAACUAAAAUUUGACAAAAAACAUGAUCACAUAACUAAAAUUUGACAAAAAACAUGAUCACAGACAAAAAAAACUAAGCAUUUUUUGGGAUAAUUUCAUAAACCUCCCUUGAGGUUUUUGGCAAUUUCAGAUAGCUCUCCUCACAUUUUGAAAAUUACACCUACUUCCCUUAGAACAUAGGUUUGGGUUUCACCUUGAUGAUAAAAGACCAAAAUCGCAUAUGAACGCCUAAAAUUGCCCUCAUCUAAUUUUCAAAAUAUGAAUAGUCAUUAAAAUUUUUUAAAAAUCAAGAAUACACUUGUAUGCUACAAAUUUAUGAGUUUUAUUACUUAGCCAAUGUCCUGAUAUUUUCCAUCCCAUGGUUUUCUACAUCCAUCUAAAUUUUCAAACUCUUAUCACUUCUUUUUUUUCCGAACAAAUUCUUUAUUUUAGAUGCCAAAAUCCACCAUCAUAAUUCUUACCUUUAUAAUCUUUACCUUUCUAUAGGUUUUUUCCCUUGUAUUGCCUACCAAACCGUCAUAAAACUCACAAUCGUUGCUUUUUUCCCAAUCAAAUAGUCAAGCCCCUCAAUGACCAAAAUUCUUCCUUUUUUGAGUGAUAGAAGGUUACAAUUUAAUGGUCAUGGGUGAAACAGUUUGGUCACAAUAUGUGGCCUGGUAAAAAAGAAUUGUUUUCUCUUUUUUAAAUUUUUUUUUAUCAAUGGCUUGUCUUUGAAAAAAUUAUGAAGCUUAUUAUAGUCACUGUCUAUCGUCAAGGGAGGUAAGUGUAAUAUUAAAAACCUCAAUGGAGCUCAAUGAAAUUGUUACAAACCUCAGGGGAGAUUUCUGAAAUUAUCCCCUUUUUUAGGGUUAAAAAUCACCAUUUGAUUAUGAAAGACUUAAAAUUUAUCACCCGCAAUAUGUGAGGGACUACGAGUGCAAUUUCCUUUUUUCUUUCGCGCCAAAAAGAUCCCCUUUCCUUUAUUCCGCCUACACUCUCCCCUCCACCAAAACACACACUAACACACACUAAACCCAAGGAAAAGAGCCAUGGAUAUGGAUUUUCCAGACCUACAAGAGCUAGAAUGGCUUGAAGCCAACAACUCUAACUUCCAAGACGACGUAGAUUUCGACCUUGAUUUCCCUCCAGAACCUCCAUCUCCACCAUCCGAGCUCGAGCCACCACGGGAUUCACCUGAACCCAAAAUCCCUUCUUUUAAACCCACUUUAUCUCUCCCACCAAAACCCUCCCCAAUCAAAACCCAAACCAACCUCAAGAAAAGAUUCCGACCUGAUUUGAGCCCGGAUUUGAUUGACCGUGGAGAUGGGCGUCCGACUGGUGACCCAGAGGAGAAGCGGAGUAGAGUUGAUAAUGGGGACGAUGAGGAGGAUGAGGAUUGGCUUAGGUACCCUCCCCCGCGGCCGGUGGCUGGAAAUGUGGAUGCUGGCGUGGCAAUGUCGGAGUCAGAGAAGGUGGAGGAGCGGGUUUUGUCCAGGUAUGCGACGGAGAUAGACGGGGAUUACGUCCCGAUUACGGGGUUGGAUGGGGAGAGGGUUUAUGCAAAGAUUUGUGGGGUCGAAUGUGAGGACAGAGUGAAGAAGUUAGAUAUGAGGGGCGAUCUUAAUGGUCAGUUCUUCUUCUUCUUCUUUUUAAAAUCUGUUUCUAGUUAUUUAAGCAAGAAAGUUUGCUUCUUUUUGUUUACUUGUAGCUUUAUCUGUCUUUCUGUUGAGAAAUCAAUGCAAAAACUACCAAGAAAGUGGAUUGAAAAAAAUGACAAUUGAUAUUGAUAUCUUUGAGAGUUUCUGUUUGGAGAAAUUCAGGAUCAUGAUGUAUUUUUCUUGGAAUGUUUUGUUAUGAAAAUAUGUCUUCUAAGGUGGGGUAAAUACGUUGCGAAAACUAAUGAAUCCUUAACAAUUAUGGAUCCUCCUUUAUUCUGCUCUGAAUAAAGUUGCUAGAGAUAGAAAACUGGAUGCACAUGAAUGCAGGAUCUAGUUGGUUGCUAAUGAGUUGGUUCAAUGAGAUAUGGCUGAUGCUUUGCUGAUGGAAAUUUCUGUUUGUUUCAUUUGUGUUACAACAUGAAUAGUUUUGGUAUUCAGUAAGCAGCAAAAUGCUGGAUUGAGUUUGUUGAGACAAAAGAGAAAUUGAAAAUGAGAUUUAUUUCAGUAAAACACAGAAAGUCUGAAGGUCAAAAUUGUCGCUUGUUAAUGAGCCAAAGGUAAAACUGGAUACUUUUUUUGAAUCGUUAAUUGGCCACGUGCAGGAUGAUGUUUCCAGAAAGAAAAUUAAUGGGCUGGAACUAUCAGCUUUUUCACCUCUCUAUUUGUUGAAGAGAAAUAAUCAAAGGAUUCAAAUUUAGUGAAGUCCAGAAAUAAAAUGAGUGGUUAUUAUAUUUGAAUUUGUUUUAUGUCCAAUUUUGCAUCAAUCAUUAAACAUGAGUACUUUUUUGGGUAGAACAAUAGUUUUUCUCGUAGGCUACGCCUGAGAACUUUCUACUUUGAGAUGGUGUAGUAUUACAUACAAAUGGUCAUCGAGCCUUCUAAAGCAGCAUCUUACUUUCUGUGGCACUAUAAAAUAGAGGAAAAAGGUGGUCCUAUCUGCAACUUGGUUCAUGUUUGUACCUUAUUGAAUAGAAUAGCUUUUUAGUGAAUGCGCCCAAAGAUUUUAAGGAGCAAUUAGGCAGAAUUGCAGUUAUUUACACCAUUUGUAUCAACUCUAUGAUUUCGAGCAUAUAACUGAUACAGAUCUGGAGUAUGCAAACAUCAGCGUCAUAGGGAAUAGCAUUAUGUUAGACAUAAUAGUUCACAAAAUGUAGCAAGCUUCUUCUAGAGUCGGAAUCUUUAAUGACAUUUUCUUUGUAAGUUACUAAUCUAGACAUUAUAUGCACCAUCUUGAUGGGGUAUAGUAUCUGUACAGGGAUUAGUGGAUAUGGGUCAUUCAGUUUUACAGAUUCCUGCAAUUUCUUGUAGUAUUACAGUGUCUACAUAUUUAAGCAAAUGAGUCCUUGUUUCGCUUCAAAUACUGGGAUAUGGGAAUUUGCUUCUUGGAUAUCUUUAUAAGGAAAGUUACAGCUUUAAACAUGGUUAUUUGCACAGCAUUGUCUUUCAUUUGCUGCUUUUGGUUGGUUUGUACAAGAUUGUUGUCAUAAUUUCUGUUCUGCAGAAACAUUGUACGGGAUUUCAUCGUUAAUGCCAUGUUUAUCUUUUCUACAAUACUCACUAUGACUUCAUUCAACUGCCAUUUGUCGGUAAUUUUUGCUGGAAGAACAAUAGAAAACAAUCCUAGCACCUUUUCAGGUCUCUCGCGGGAACCUAUUAGAGUUUUAAUGCAGAGAGUGGAGCAAGGUGAAUUCUCAAAGGUAUCUUUCCUACUUGGUCUCAUGUUCUUAGACAUUUUCAAGGAUUGUAGAGUGUCUCAACAAUUUUAUUAUUCCACGAAUUUGGUGAAAGAGGAAAAUGUUAGGCAUAGGAAGGAGUAGAACAUAUUUUUACUUUCUUCAGAUAAUGCUGAAAGUAAGUGUUUCAUUUAGCCUAAGUUGCAUUCUCCUCUCUCUCUCUGUCCCCUGAUCUCUAUUGUACUGAAGAAGUGAAAAAGGAAAAGUAAUGCUUGUGUAUUGAGUUUGCCACUUUCCUUUGCAUUCUUAUUCAUUAUAUCUGAAUGUGAAGAUGAAGAUGAAAUUCCAUUUAUCAGUUACACCUUUGAAUGUGAAGAUGAAGAUGAAAUUCCAUUUAUCAGUUACACCUUUUCUAUAGAAGUUUCGUUUCUGUGAUCCUGUUUUGCUUAGGCUUUAUUUCCUCACAACGUAAGGGUCAGCUUUGCCCUUAUGGGAAUUUUGGUCAAGUAGGACCUAAGAGGUCAUGAUGUUGAUACACAAAAAUGUCCUCUUUCAUUGACUAGCCCUAACCUUGUAUUGGCAACCUCCUCACAUGGUAGGUUUGUUCUUUUUCUCUCCAUCAGAGAAAAUGUGGUUGAUGUUGCUUGUGAUUUUUAUUCACUUUUGGACUCCUGUUUCUUCACCCCCUCCCCCAUUUGAGAAUUUCAUUAGGCGAUCUUUUGCGUUGUAUGGAAGCUCAUAGUUCAUUUAUGUGAUGUCUUUGCAGGCUUUGCAAGCUAGUGUUGAAGUUGAAAAUGAUGUCAAUUUGUCACCAGCACCAGUUGAUCCAGAGCAGCUUUGGGUGGACAAAUAUGCCCCAAAUACUUUUAUGGAGCUUCUCAGUGAUGAAUACACAAAUCGUGAGGUAUAAAGCAUCUGUUGGUUUUUUGUUCACUUUUGCCAAUAAUUUUCAUUAUGGUAAUGGAGCGUUAUCUGGUUACUUUGUGAGUUAUUAUCUAGAUUGUUCAUAUAAGCCAAGGGUAAUUUGGAUACUGUACCCUAUUGGUCUUGGUCUCAAAUGUUACUCUGCUGCAGGUACUCCUCUGGUUGAAACAAUGGGAUUCAAGUGUUUUCGGAUCUGAAAUUAAGAGUACAGCAGAUGAUACUUUGUCUGCUCUGAAACGACAUUCCUCUGCUGUCAAACACUUGAAGUUUCAUGCUAGGAACUCUUUUGGAAGUAAUCGAGAAACCAAAUUGAGCAAAGAAAAUUUUAGAACUCAUAAUUAUCAGAAUCAAGAAAAAAAUCAAUCAAAUGAUAUUCAAGAAAUGUGGGAGAAGAAGCAGAAAACAGUUGGUCAUCCAAAACAAAAGGUGUGUUUUAAUGCAUAAUAUCUUUAUUUGCAUCAUAUUACAACAUGCAACUGUCAUCACUGCGCUGUAUAAGAAUGUGGCUCUGACAGGUAUAACGUGAAUGAACUCAAACUUAAUUUGAAGAAUAAGAUUAGCCUAUAUAAGGUAAUUGUGUUGGUUGAGUGUUGGCCUGACCAAUUGAUAGAAGCUUACCUGAGUAUUAGUCCAGAGCAAAUGAUGAGUGAUUUAGGAGUUUCUCCCAAUCGUCAUAAGCUAUUAAAUGCGAGUAAUUUGUGUAGGAAAGGGUACUAAACUGAAAGUGCAUAUUUAUAGCUUCAGGAGGAUCAUUCUCAUCUCAACAUAUUCUUAGAGAGGCUAAUCAACUCGGGAAGCCAUAUGGAGUUGGGAUCCUUUCUUUUUUUUUUUUUUUUAAUUUCAUUUUUUCCCUUAAUCCUUGCCUUCUCAAUCCAAUGGUCUUGUUAAAUUAGGUUUGAAAUAUACAUUGUUCUUAGCUGUGUUCCAGGUAUUACUUUCUUUUAAGAAGCUAAGGUUCAUGUUGUCUUCGAUGGUUUGUGAUCUCAUUUCCAAUGAAUACAAUGUUCCCAAUCCAAGUCAAACCACACAUCAAAAAGAUGGAUUUUUUUUCUUUCCUUUUACCAGUAAAAAAAAUUAGAAAUUUUUUUAUUAAUCUUGAUAUGGGAUCAUGUUGUGCAUAAAUUCUUCUUUGUCUUUGAAAACGCUCCAUACCAGAAGCUGGAGGGCUUGUGUAGUAUGGUGGUCUAUUCUUCUGAUUUGACUUCAGUUGGUUUCAUCUCCUGUAUUUAGAUGGCCUCAAUUGAUCUAUACAAUGUUAUUUUUAUUUUGCUUGCUCAUUUUUCAUAGAGCACAAUAGUGAAAAUCUUUUGAUGUACCAUCCAACUACCUCUAGGUCAGUUAUACCUCGUACAAACUGCUUUUUGCCAUCUAUUCCCCAGUUGGGCAAAUUCUUAAACUGCUUUUCAAUAUCUAUAUUUUGGUUGCAUGUCCUUAUGUUUCUUUAUUCAUAUUAUUCCUGUUUUAUGUUUCAUGUUGAUACUUAUAGCUGAACAUUCUGAUUUUAUCAGAUUCUUUUGCUCUGUGGUCCUCCUGGCUUGGGGAAAACAACAUUGGCGCAUGUAGCUGCUAGACAUUGUGGGUACCGCGUGGUGGAGGUUUGCAACUUUUUCCACUCAAUUUGUUAACAUCAAUGAUAUGAUAUCUCGACUUCUAUUGCUUAUUUUGAUAAUCAACACAGACAAACUCGAAUUCUCUAGAUCUAAAGAGGUUGACAUUUCUUUUAUGCUGUUGAAACUAUUACAUUUCCUGAUUUUGGGAUGCUAGGUGUGGUCAACAAGCAUACAUUGUGCUUCAUGGUACAAUAACUAAUUUGCUUUGAACUGAUAAUCACUGUACAAUAUAUUCUUAAGCUCCUCUAAUUGAGAUUCCAUUGGUGCUAACUAUGGGGAUUAAUGUGUUUCAGGAGUCCUUUUUGAGGUUAUGUUAUGUGUUCUUCAGAACUUUUAUGGUUUCUCUGCCUGUUCUUUAUUAUUGGAUAUCUUGAAACAUAAAUGGAGGUUUAACUGAAGAGGUACACAUUUCAAAGGGAUCUUCUGCUCAUAUUCCAGAAAGGAAGACAGAGAGCAAUGGAAAAUUAGUGCUGCAAUAGCACUUUCAAUUUUCAUUGGCACGUGUUACAAAAUACUGAAUGUUUUGUUGGCCACUAGCAUCUGCUUUACCUUUUAUUUAUUAAUCUAUCCUGGUGCUUUAUCUGUAAUGAGACUUCCUAACUUUGAUUAGGAACUACCUAAAAUCACAGUUUAUAAUCUUCAGAGACCCUUGUAUUAUUCCUCGUGCAAAACUUCUUGAGUGAUAAUUUUUCAUUCACUAUAGAAUGCUUUUCACUACAGAUUAAUGCUAGUGAUGAUCGGUCGGCGUCAACAAUUGAAACCAAAAUCCUUGAUGUGGUUCAGAUGAACUCUGUAGUUUCUGAUUCCAAGCCAAAAUGUUUGGUUAGUUUUUGAUGUUCACAACUUAUUUCUGAGAUUUCUGAGUAGAGUAUACUUAUUUUUCUAGUGUUUCCUUCCACAUUGUCUAACAGGGUAUAUGAACUUUUCAGAUUAUUGAUGAAAUUGAUGGUGCUCUUGGUGAGGGCAAGGGUGCUGUUGAUGUCAUUCUAAAGAUGGUAACUUUCAUAAUCCUAAUAUCUUCUUUAUGUUGUUAAACCUGUCAUUUAUUUGCAAGGGACUGCAUGCUUAAUCAGUCAUUCACUUGCCAGCCAAAUUAGCAAUUUACUUUGUAAUCUUCGUUAAUUUGCAGAGACAAUCAUUUUGGAUAAUUGAUGAUAGAAGCCUUAUGGAUAUUUUUUUAACAGCCAUUUUGCAAUUAUCUUGUUAUCAAGCUCAGAUCAAUUAACUUAUUUCAAAGUUGUGGAGGUUUAGCAGAUUUGUGAUUUGAAUGUGAUCUGCAUAUUUGGAUAAGUCACAUAUUGUAGCUUCUAAAGUUGCAAACUAUGCUUAGUAUAAUGCAUGUUGAGACUUGACAGAAUAGUCAAUCUUGCUCAGACCGAACUAUAUAGGUUUUAAGUUUGCUAGGUCGUUCCAGGAUGUCUGCUUGGAGCCUCAGACUGAUGGAGUUGUUCACCACUCUGAACCAUAAUUCUGUUGGUUAUUUCUUAUUCCAGUUAUAUGAAUCCAAGACUGUGUUUUGCUCUGUAAAUUCUUAUUUUUUAAAUUUUAUUCAGUUAUUCUAGACUUUUUCUGUGCUUGGUUACUCAGCCAGAAUCUGAAAAAAUAUUCUGUGCCUAUCUGAGACUAGCCAUUUGGAGUAUUCUAAGUGCUCACAUAUCUUAUGCAGAAAUUACAGAAAAUUUUAGCCUAUUUUGUCACUUCUUUUGAACUUCAGCAUUCACUGUAGGCCUGUAUGAGUUUCCGUACAGUUUUGGGAUGGAAAUAUUUUUAACUUCUUGCCUUCAGACAGUCUAAUCCAACGCAGAUAAUAAAGACAAAUAUUAGAGGAUGUGAAGUGGGAAAGAAAUAUACCACGACACAGAUCCCAUCCUGUUUUUUUUUUAAGGGUCAUUUUGGAUACUCUAUUUCUACACUUUCUUAUGCCAUUCUUUUACCGCUAUAAGAAAGAUCACAAGUGUAACAUGCUAAUAUUUUGAGAAGUAGCAUAUACAAAAUAUCUAAAGGACGCAUCUCCUGGACUGCAGUUAGUUUACCUGUCAUAUCUCAGGUGCAUCAUACGCAAUGCCAAUUUUUGGAUCCAUUGCUAUUGCUAAUUCAUACUUGCAAAAAGGUGGCAAUUCUUUUGACAUUGUUAUAUGGAUAGGUGAUCAGAAUUUGGUAAAUUAAGAGGUUGCACUAGUGAGGGGCUAAGGAUAUUUAUCUGAUUUACUCUGUCAAAUUUUUCAAAAUGUAGUUUAAUAGUUUAACUGGAGAGUAAUUAAUGUCUCUAAAUGGCACUCAGAGUUGAUUGUUCACAUUCAGUAAUAUGUGAUUUUGUAUACCAACUAUUCAUGCUUAAGCUGUAUAUUCUUUUUAACUAACACUGUUCAAAUAUUGUUCCUGAAGGUUUCUGCUGAAAGAAAAUCUGAUAGUGGAAAAGAAAUUAGAGGUCAAGAGGAACAUUCUGGACCGAGAUCUUCCAAGAAGCAGAAAAACACAUCCUUGCUAAGACCUGUAAGCUUAUCCUGACCUUGAGUUCUAAGUUAAAUUAGUCUCUUCAUACUGAUAUUGUUAGUACCAAUAUGCAGGUGAUUUGUAUCUGUAAUGAUUUAUAUGCACCUGUCUUAAGGCCACUGCGUCAGGUGGCAAAGUAAGUAUCUUGACGCUUCAUCAAUGAAAUUACAUGGUUUUGAUUGAACUUAUGCUGAAAUUAGUGGAUUAUUUCAAUUCUCAAAAAUUUUCAUUCAGAAUUCUCCUAAUAUGCUUUGAUCAAGUCAUCCUUACAUCCAUCGUAUUACCCAUGGUAAAACUUUGACUUUGAAAGCAAUGGGGGAUAAGAUGAUUCACUUGCAACAUGACUAAAAUACUGCAAUCUUAUUUAUAUUACGUCUUACCUUGAAAUGAAUUAGUUAUAAGUAUGAUAAGAUUCAAAAACUUGUCAGUAGAGCCUUCCUGUGUCCCUUAGAUCUAAGAAUUAAUAAAAGCCAUUUUUCUUCAAGCUUUUCUCUUUGGUAUUUGCUGGAUUCACUUGCCUUUUAGUGCCACAAUCUUAUCUAAUUAACCACAGCUAAUCAAGGUGUUUGAUUCUUAAAUUUUUAUCAACUUGUGACUUAGUUUUCAAAUAUUUUGCUAGUUCUUUAGAUCUGUAAAACUUGGGAGGUGAGUUUAUACUCUUUACUUUUAAUUUUUUGAAUUUCUAAGUGAGUAUGAUACAUUUUAGUGUUGCUAUGUUUUUCAUCUUUAUAUUUUUUAUUUUCAGAACUCUAAAUAGAAUAUAUUUCAAAUUCUUGUUACUUCAUGUGAUAUAUAUGCUCUUUUUGACUAUAAGAAGGUUUGCAUGAAUAGCAGCACAAUAACUGGAAGGUCACCAAGACUUGGCAGAAUAUAGUGAUGAACACUAGUAAAACAGUUGUGGUGUAAACAUAUGGAAAGAUUUUCUAUAUAACCUUUUGCCUGUUUCCAAACCCCAUGAAUAUUAUGAUUUCUUUUUGAAGAGUUGCUGCAUGAAACUUACACUUGUUUGCUAACUUUUGGUGCAAGAGAAAAUGUUUUAUAUGAAAAUAUCCUAAUAUUGUUUCAGUACUAAAAAAGGAGAGAACAUUCUGUCCCCAGGUUUAAAGAAAUAACACGCUCCAAUACUUCAUUGUUCAACUCGAAUGUAUUCAAGGUGCAAUAUGGGUUGUCUGAAUACUUUAUCUCUUCAAGGCUAAGCAACAUUAUUUAAUCGAACCUUCCUAAUUAAUAGACAACCUCAGUAGGUAGCAUAUUAUCUUCACUUGACUACAAAAUUAUAAAGGUACAUUCUAGAUAGUACUUGCCCCUUUGUUAAAUUUCAUUCCGCGAACCCUUUUUUUUUUUUUUUGGUUAAAGCCCAUGACCGUUUAUUUUAUUAUUGUUGUUUCGAGGACAUGAGCUGCUUAUUACUUAGUCAGAUAUUCCUGGACAAUGUUUACUCAUGCAAAAUACUAAUGUUAAUAUGGCUGAAACACUCUCGUGCAUAUAGUUUCUCCAAAUGCAAAAUUUAGCUGACUAGCUCCAAUGAGAAUUUGAACAGAAGAAAAAAACAAAGAACUGGCUUCCAAUAAUUAUACCUUGCUUAGGUCAAUCAUGGAUUUUAGCUGAUAUUGGAAAAGCCUUUUGUCAGAUUCAAAAAGUUCUAGAGAGUGAUAUUUUUAGAGUUAACUAACAUCUUUGAUUGCAAUUCUAAUGAUCUUUCUGUUCUUCAAUUCUUUUUCAAUUUUCAUUGCAGGGUUCAAUUAUUUGUGCAGCCAACUGUGAACCGUGUUGUAAACAGGUCAUUUUUUCAUGAUGCUGCUGAAUGAUAGGUUAACUGGAGUCAUCUUCUUGUGCUAACUGACGCUAUUCUCUAUUUAUUCUGGCAUUAUCCCUGAAUUGUGGUGCUAUUUAUGGCUCUUUCGACCAGCUUGUUUUAGAAGUUUAAUUUGGACCCCAUGUUGAUUAACGGGGAGAAUUACUGUAAGGAAAGUCUCUAUUUAAAACUGUAUUCAGAAAUUAGCUGAUAGAUAGAAUUGUUGUACAAUCACUAUUUUACCUAAGUAUUUGCAGAGAAAUUUCUCUGUGAAAACAAUAAAUAAGCAACUGUUAAAAGCAUCUAGAUGGACCAAACCAAAAUUCACAUGAAUUUGGCUGAAAUUUUAUGUGUUCGUUGAUAUGGAAUAGAGAAUUGCAUGGUUUUUCUAAUUUAAACUGGUGGUAAUCAUACAAGAAGGCUUUCUUUUCUUACCUUUAGCCUUUUUAAUUUCUUUUUGCUUUAGUUAUACUUCUAUUAGUUUCCCUUCUGUUAUAUUGUUUUGAAACUACAAACGUCAUAUUAAAUGUUGAAGAUCACCCCCAAUCAUUUCCUUUAGGAACUUUGUUUUGUAUGCACAAACACAUCGACGCAUGUAUGUGCAUGUCAUGAGAAAAGCUUCGCAUCAUUGACCUGAAUGAUCUUCUCUAGUUUGCAGUUUUGGCUUGAGUUCUGAAGUUCCAUCUGUUAAUCUCUAUGUUUGACCAAUUGAGUAACCAUAAUUGAAUUGCCAAUUUUCAUUUUUCUUACCUGCUGCCGCCACUGGCUGAAAUAAUUGUAGGCUCAAGUAUAUAUGCAACAAGGAAGGGGUGAAGACAAAUUCCAUUUCUCUAACAGCACUGGCAGAAUAUACUGGUGUGUCCCAUUCACUAAAGCAGAGCUGUGUGUUUCAUUGUUUAUACCACAGUUAUAUAGAAUUUACCAUAGUUGCCAUCAGUUGUAAAUGCAAAAAUUGAUAGAGACUAUGAGUUGAUAAAGUAUAACAGAAAAUUUAGAUCAAGUUGACAAAGCUGUGAUGUAAUUUGAUACCUGUUAACACCUAUCUUUGACGUGUCUUGUUAAGGCAUCCGAUGCAAAAUCAUAUACCAUAAGUAGAGGGAACUGGGGAGGUGGUCAGGUUUGUUUGUUUGGCUUGAACCAAAAUGCAGUUGAUGGAAUAGAUCUUUAAUUAUCAUAAGAUGGUAAAUCUUUAUCACCUCGUGUUUUAUGUGCAAGUAUCUUGGGCUUUAGCUUACAGGCAUUGCAUAUUUCUGAAAUCGAAAAUGUUCUUGAAGCUUCUGAUUAAAUGGGAUAGGAGAUUUAUUUGACUUUAUAUGUGGUAAGUUUUCAUAAAAUGGUCUGGACGUAGUUUAUAACUGUGUCAUCGUUGUCAGGAAAUUUAAACAAGUUUUGUUUUGAACUUAAUAGAUGAUGAUGCCUUAUCAAGCUUCUUUAGGAAUGUGUGAAAACUGGAGAAAGAAGCAGCUGUUUUAAAAGUGUAUAGGAUGCCUUACCAUAAAAAUUAGAAUCAUAGAGUCUGAAUGUUUAUGGUAAGGCAUCCUAUACACUUUUAAAACAGCUGCUUCUUUCUCCAGUUUUCACAUCCAUUUUCUUUUUUCGAUAUUGAAGCAAUUGUUAAUAACCUGGAAAAAGAUUAUAUUCACCAAAUACAUAUUUCUUUAAAAAGCUGGGCAACAUUGAUGAAAUAAUGAUAAACACAAAGUUCUCUAAUUGCAUCAUUUACUGGUUUAGUGAUAAUAGAUUGCCUGGCUAUUCAAAUUAAUUGCGUAUGGAGCAUACAUUACGAGAAACUUUUGUGCCUAUGAUUGAUAGUUGAAAAGGACAAGAAGUAAGUUAACUAUCAAGUACUUGGUCCUCGGAUGAACUCAGUAUGGACAAUUAAAAACAAGUAGUGUGAUCUGAGAUUUGGUCAAAUAGGCAAAAUGUUAAGAAGUCUAGGAUUUCGUUGGAAUUAUUUGUCACAAAAUAGGAAUUACACAGUUGAAAAGUUUGUGAAGGUAUAGUUAUCCUCAACAAUAUGUCGAAAGAGAUAUUUUUCAGUUUUCUCAGUUACACAUUAUAAGUCGAAAUGAAGUCAUAUCAUGUUAUUUAGUUCCAUUCAUUUUGCGCAAUUAAUUUUUAUUUUCAUAUUAAUCACUGCUUUUUCUCCCCCUGCCUUCCAAAAAGAAUGUGACAUAAGGUCCUGCUUGAACACUCUUCAGUUUCUCAACAAGAAGAAGGAGGCACUCAAUAUGGUAAGUUGUUAAUUGUUUUUCGCUUUUAUCAUCAUCAUUCUAGUGGAAAUGCCAAACUGAACAGAGGAACUUGGGCUAGUUGCCACAAUUAUAUCAACUGUGCCUGUACAGUAUCUCUGAGGUAAUCUCUCUCGUCAAGAUUUCAUGCAUUGUGAUUUCUGUGAUGCGAUUUAAUGUUACUUGAGGUUAGCUCUUGCUGGUGUACUUAUCCUUCAUUAUGUUGAAUAUGUAAUAUUGACAGUUCCUUUAUAGAUCAUUAAAAAGCUAUUUACUGUUUGGACAAUAAAAUCGUUAAACCCGAGUAAUACUGACUUCCCUUUAGACUCUAUUGAAGCCUGGUCUGAAAUUGCAGCUUACCAUCAGAGCAAGCUGCAUAUAGACCAGGUUCUUAUAGUUGUGAACUUAUAAGUAUUACUAAUCUAACUCAAAUUCUUCUCAUCAAAAACCUUAUCCCUCUCCAUUCAGCUGGUUCUGGGCAAUAUUUGAUAUGAGAUCAGAGUUUGUCCUGCCUUUUAGCUAUUUAAGAACAUUUUACUACAUCUUUUACCUUAAUAAUUGGUGCUUAGAACUUGUUUUAUUGUGAAUUUAUAGGUCUGUGCUGAAUUUUCCUAACCCAUCUUGAAUUGUACAUUUAGGUUUGCCAUCUAUAGUGAUUUAGUUAGUAUGUGGAGAAACUGCCUUGAAUCCUAAAAUGUGAUGCAUUUGUAGCCGAUGUUGUAACAUGAAGCAUUUGCAGUGUGGUUUUGUGAACUUUCCUUCUUGAAAAUUGCCUAUUACAUGAUAUUCCACAUGCGCUCCUGGAUUUGGCCAACAUUGUGUAGCCGUAGUUCUACGAGUCUCUCAACUGCCAUUAGUCUGGUAUUGCAAAUUCAUCUUUAAAAGCUCUCAUUCUAUUAGAGAGUUUUUCAGAAGUGAUUCUCCAUGAACAUAAUGUGUGCAUAUAUAUGAUAACUCAACAUUUGAAAGCUUAAUCAUAUCUAUUUGUUUUGACAAACGAUGGAAUUUUGAGCUGGCUUUUUACAAUGAACUUUCUCAGCAAUAGUUUGCCAAUAAUUCCAAAUAAAAGAUGGUUCUGCAAAUUAACAUUCUCUUGUAGGGUCUGGUAGGUUAUGAGGUUUUCCUAUCUAUCAACUUAAAACCUCUUAACUUUUUUUUUUUUAGCAUUAGCUGAGUAAUAUUUUUCCCUGUUGUUAGCUCAAUGUUUGAUAUUUCCUCUUGGCUCCCAGUUGGAGAUCAGUUCACAAGUGGUUGGCCGAAAGGAUGCAUCAAAAAGUGCUUUAGAUAUAUGGAAAGAGGUUAAAUCAUUAGUAGCUGUUACUCUCUCUAACUUUUCUUCACCUUAUGUUCAUGUCAUAACAUCUUCAGAUUGAAGUUCACAUCACUUGUUAUGUUGUGCUUCCUGUCUGACUCAUCUUUACUUCCUAACUACAGGUAUUCCAAAAACGAAGAGUCAAACGGGAAAGACAAUGUAUGAACAUCUUGAAUAACAUGUCAAAUGAGCUUGAGUUUCUUCUCUCUUUGAUAUCUAAUCGGUAGGUAACUACAUUACAAUUGGUAGCUUUAUAGCCAUUUUCUGAGUGAUGCAUUUAAGUUCAAUGAUUUGCAGUGGGGACUAUGAUUUAAUCUAUGAUGGGAUCCAUGAAAACAUCUUACGACUCCACUAUUAUGACCCUGUAAUGCAAAAGACUGUAAGUAUUAUACCAUCACUAUAUAUUCUUGACUAUCUGCUUCCAAAUUUGGAUCUGACCAUUUACCAUUUGAUAUUUGUAUCAAAGGUCCAAUGCCUGGAUAAUCUUGAGGUUUCUGAUAUAAUAAACAAGUAUGUUAUGCGCACACAACAGAUGUCACUUCAAGGUAAGAGAAUUCUACAACUUGGAAUCAUUUAAGUGUAAAUCGGUAUGGAGGUGAAGCUCCCUUUAUUCCUUGAAUCUUGUAGUUUAUCAGCCCCAAGUUGCAAUGAUCAUACAUGGCCUGAUAGCUCAAGUUGAUAGGCUAAAUAUUGAAUGGCCAAAAUCUUUUCAAAGGUACUUCACUUUCAUCUCAAAGAAUGUGGCAAAAGAAUUUAGCAUUAUAUCUGAUUGUGUCAGAUUGUUAUCAAGCUUUGGAGUUUUUACUGCUAUUUUUGAAAUUUGAACAUAUAGGUACCGGACCGUGUCAUUGGAAAAGAUGGAUAUACUCCGCUCCUGGCAUAUCAAAAUAUCACCACACAUCUCAAGGCAUUUGUCAACUAAGUCAUUUGCGGAAGAGUUAAUUUCUCCAUUCUUGCAUAUUCUGUCUCCUCCAACCUUGAAGCCGGUAAUGUUUACACACUUAUUUCCUAGUUGCAUGCUGCACACAAUGCCAUUUUUUCGGCUUGAUAUGGGAUUCCUGUUCUUAGUGCUUUCUUCUAGCAAGAUAAAGGUGUAAAGUACUGUCAUCUUUAGUUAGUUUUAACCACAUUGCCUAUAGAGGAAACAGCUCCAAUUAAGACAGGCCAUCCAACAGUUUUUACCUAGGGCAAUGAGUACCAUUGGGUAAGAAGCUUACGGUGUGGUUUCUAUUGUAGGUGGCGUUGCAUCUACAAUCGGAGAAAGAAAAAACUGAUUUGGCUCAAUUAGUAAAUACAAUGGUCUCCUAUGCUUUAAACUACAAGAACUUACAAUCUGGUCCUUUAUUUGGUGGCCCAAGACACGAAGAUGUUUUGGAGGGGUCAUUGCUAUCAUUUGAUCCUCCCAUUGAGGACUUCAUAAAAUUCAAGGUUAGUUUUGUUUUCUUCACCUGAUAUGAAUUUUUUCCCAGUGUUUUUUAUUUGCAGCAUCCUAAGUUGUAAAGAAGUUUUCUUGCUUUUGACUUAUUAACAAAUAUCUGCAAUUCAUUCAUUCCUUAAACAGGGAUACAGUUCUUGUCAUUUUGUUCUGGCCUCAGCUGUGAAGCAAUUGUUGGUACAUGAGGUAAGUAAUGUGUUUAUAUUGUCACGAAGCAUCAUCUAUAAGUUGUUCUGUGUUGGUUUCUUGUUGCACAAUAUCAUAAAUAACUCUUUGGUGUUACCCAAAUAAUAACCUAGCCCAGCUUCGAUAUGAGAAGUUAUGUAAAUUACUUCUAUUUUACUUAUUUUGCAUGGCUAGUACACCAUUUCUGAGUUGUCAUGGCUUUAUUUAUGUGGACCUUUCUACUCGUGAAGCUAUACAAUAUACCAAGAAGUAGAAAAUUUCAGCCACAUGGCUGUUUGUCAAACUACCUGUAAUUCAAACUUGAUGGGCCUGAAAUUGAAAAUGACUGGUUUGGUGGCUUAGGUUUGAUUGAUUUAUUCUGGACACUUCUGGGGACUAAAGUUACUUGGUGUUGGUCAAGUCUAAUUACACAUUCUGUGAGUACAAGAGGACCUUUUCUUGCCCUUUUUAUCCUUGCUCUUUUGGGGAAAGCGGGGGUGUUGUAUCUCUUUCUUCUGAAUAAAUUGAAAUAAAUAAUUACUGACAAUCUUGGGACCGUUUAUUCAAUACCUGGGCAAUGAAAAGUUAAUGCAAUUUUACUGGCUUAUCCAAGUUUUUUCAGGUACCUGUAUGCUUGUUUUUCCAAUUUGUAAAGUUAAGAUGUGCUAUUAAUGUGGUUUGCUUCUGAAUGGUAAUUACUGUGGCUAUAUUGUUUUCCAUGAUGUAAAGAAUUGACGAAUUAUUUCUUAGAUUAGAAGCACUUGACUGUAUGAUGAAAGUAACCUGUGACUUUUCAAAAUAUUUGCACACCUAAGAUGCCUAAUUAUCUGAUUAGGUCACUUGAUAUUGUUAUUUUUCAGUCUCUCUUCACUGAAUAAUUGAAGUAUUUUCCUUGGGCAUGAUAUUACGUUCUUGCUCCAUUUUAAGAAAUGUUCUUAUAAUCUGCUUCGAUAGUUCUGAAUUUUGCUUAUUUUGCUAGACAUAUAUUGUGUGUCAUCAGGACAAGACAAAUCAUGUCUGUAUCCAAAUUUGCACGUCAUUCUUCAUUUUUGUCGAGUGUGAAACAAGAUUUUCCCCUAUAUCUCUGUGCCUUGAAUAAUUUAUGCCUUACUAUUGGUAGUAACAGACACAAUGUGAAAUUUUCAGGUGGAAAAGCAUAAGAUUUUGCAAGGCUGCACUACCAGAUGUUUGGACCCAUUGGAUGCUUCCAAUCAAGAAAACUGUUCCUUGGCAGGGAAAGAGAAUCUAAGUUCACAAUCUACCAGGUCUUGCAUGGGAAUUGCAACAGUUAAGAAGCAGACAAGUGCUAAAAAUAUAUCACUGCAAGUACAGAAUGGACUGUCAAUGGUGCAACCAUUAACUAAAGAAGCCAGCACAUUGGAAACAGCAAGUGGAAAAGUAAGAUUACCUGAAAAGACGAGGAAGCUGUUGAGCUCCUCUAACUUCUUUGACAGGUAUAUUCUUGUUCAUUCAGUCUGUGCCUAGACUUUUAUGAUUUGAUUCUGAAAGCAGUGAGUGAUUUAGACUUAGUUAAUAAAAAAAAUAGAGAAGAGUGAAUUGUCUUGUAUUCUGUGUAGUUGAACUGGUUACAACUGAAAAGUAUAGAUGUUGAAUUUGUUAUUUAAAAGCAUGAAAAAAUUACUAAUUUGAACAGUAGAAAGUUAUGCAAGUCUAAGAGGUUUAGAGCGCCAAAAAUUUUGAGAUUGAAAUUUUGGCAUUACCUUGAAAGCUAUAGAUGCUAUUUCAGUGUUUUGAAAGUAUCAGAAGUCACUUUUGCCUUUUCCCCUUGUUCCGUCUUGAAUACUGUUCAGAGCUUUUAAUUUAACACAUUCCAAUUCUGCUGAUAGAUUUUGUGUUAAAUCAGGUUUAGAAAGGUCAAAAGUGAUGGUUCUGAAAAUGUCAAUCAAAAUGUGGAAGCAUCAGGAACAGCAGAGAGAGAUUUACGUCCUCUAUUAUUCAAAUUUAAUGAGGUAUGUAACUUUUUGUACGUUAUUUUUGCUGUCAUUGCUCUUGUUCUUCAGCACAUUAUCUGUAUAUUUUUUUUUUUGACAAAAAAAAAAAUUCUAGAGUACUGUAUAGGUCCACAAUCAUUUCACUUGUUUCUAAUGCUAGUUCUGUCUUGAAUACUGCUUGCGAAUUAUAUGAAAGCUCAAUUCAUCAUAAAUUGAGAACUUGCUUAGUUGUUUAUGAAAUGCUAGCGAAAACUUAUUAAUUCAAUGGAAGCCUCCUAUUGUUUCAGAGUUGGACAGGCAUCUGUUUUGAUGAUGAAAACACUUGAAUUUAUAGAGUUAUUGGCAUAAAGUGUUUGGGCCCAGGAAACAACAUGUGAUACUUUUGGAUUUAAUAUAUCUGACUAUGAAGUCAAUCUGCACCCCACGAACUUUAAUUUCCUUCAAUCCUCGAAAAUGCGGUUUUCACUGUUUAUUUGAAUUUGAAUCCCAAAUUUCAUUAGACCGAGUAGUCCCCCAGGAAAAUUUCAGGAUGACUCCUAUGACAAAAUUGCGCUUAAUAUACGGUAAUACAUAAUUCUCCCAAACAUUGAAAGUAAUGGGAUUUAUAGGUUCCAUGUUAAUGCAUCAGCUUAUUUGGAAAAACUAGCUACUAUCCUGAGAACCUAGCAAGUGCAACUGACAACUCUAUCAAGCAUUUUUGGUUGGCCAAACGUUGGAUAAACAGAGAAAGAGCUGGGUGGAGGGAAUUGGAAGGACAGAAAUUAUUUAGAAGGUUUUGAUCCAUUAUGGUGUUUUACAAAGGGAUCAUAGAGUUGUGCCAGAUCAUUAUGAUUCUGUCUCUAGUCUCUACCCAUGCCUGACAUCCAUUCAUGAAGUUGUCAUUCUAUGCUGGCAAGGAAAAGAUUUUAUAUCUUUCCUAGUGCAUUUUGGUUUGCUAUUCAUCUGCGAACAUGUUUCUGCCACUAUAAGCUUCCAAAAUAAUUUCACUAAUAGUUCAAAAGUAUAACGUCCCAGAAUUUUUAGGCAAAAAUGGUAGUUUUGACCGACGAAUAUCUUCAACUGGUGCCAUGAUGCUUUUGUUAGUUAAUUAAACUCCAUAAAGGCAUAUCCCAAGCUUCACUUCAAGGAAGUGUCUUUCUGUACUUCACUUGGAAUUUGAACUGUGUCAGAAAAGGGUCUUAAGAUUUUCCUUCUCACAAAAUCUAAUGGUACAAGUUUAAUAAAUUAUGACUUAAGAGCCAUUCUAAUGGGAAAAUUGAAGUACAUUAUCAUAACUACUGUGCGAUUGUGCAGGGUUUCACAAAUGCAGUAAAGAGACCAGUUCGAAUUCGUGAUUUUUUUCUGUAAUGGAAAGCAUUUCCUGGGAGCGUGUACUGCCUUAAAUCUAAAGUAAGCAGCUAAAAUUUUGCAGCUUCUUCAUUUAUGGAGACCACAGUUGUGAUUUUGACCACGCUGUUUAGUUACUUUGACGCUGGGGUACUCUGAAAUUUUAAGUGCUGAGCAAUUUAUAGCUCUGCUUAUGGUAUCUGUGAUAUCUGUCUUACAACUUUAACAUGUAAAUUUCCUGUUUAUAUCACCAAUUACCGUCAUAAUGUAAGGUUUUAUUGCAAAUCUAGGAGCAAAGAAUACCUCAAUUGACAUGGAAACCUUCCACAGACAGAAAUUCAAAUAAUUGCAUAUAUCUAACCUGGGAAUAAAAUUUUUAAUAGUGCAGUGAAAAGUAAUUUAAUGUUGAAGUCUUAAUUUGAUUAGAUUCAUAAAAUACCGUCCGAUGUGCAUAGCACUUGUAAAGCUAGUUAAGAUGACGAAGCAACAGGCUAUAUGCAUCUAGGAUGCUUGUAUAAUUCUCUGAAGAGAACUAAUACUUGAUUAAUAGCAUCUAGAAGUGGUCCAACUAAAAACAACAAAAGAAAGAAAAAUCAGGGCACACUGCACAAUUAAGAAGACAGAAUUUCUCUAAGAUAUGUACGCCUUACAACUGGACUGGUUAGGGUUACAAAAAUCUUUAAGAGGAGACUGGAGGCAUUGCAGGAGAGAUCAACGAACCAGAGAGCAAGAUAAGUGAAAUUUGCUUAGGUUAAAGGGGAUAUAAUAAAGCACUAGAACAGAUCAAAACUUUUAGGUCAAAAGAAAUCAAGGUUCAGAUCUCUAGGGCCACUUGCAGUAGCACCCUGAGGAGGACUGAUGGUAAUCCAAAGCAAUGAGAUAGUGAUGGAAAGAAGUCCUGUCCAGACAUAAACUAUGGUGGGCAAUCUUCCUCUUCUUCCCAUCAAUCCUUUGGCAAAAGGAUACAUGUGGGCCAACACCCAGAAGCUGAAGAAAGCUCCACCAAACAGCUUACCCCACUGUGGAAUUACACUAUAAACUGUUCUUGAAAUUCCAAGUACUAGAGCAAUGAGAUUGACCACUAUGAUUGUUAGGGGCAUUAUAAAUAGACUUGUCCACUUGACAACAUACAGAUCGGCAUAGAUGUCAUCUUCAUCUUCUGCAGUAGCUUUUGCUGUCAAUUUGAAUGAAAUUUCAACACCAGCUAUUGCCUUGAGGAGUCCCUGUAGCACCGCUGCAAGGUGCGCACUAGUACCACCAAUGGCCCAGAAUUGCUCAUUACGCCACAACUCCUCGAGGCCAAUACCUGACCACUUCACUUCAAGGAGUGAAAUGAGAGUGAGUGUGACAGUGAUGACAAGGAGGUAGCAGAGGAAUGCAAUAUUUAGGCUUUGAACAAUGAAUUGCCCAGUGAAGAGGGACAAAGCUGGGAGGAAACAGUAGACCACAAGGAAUAUGGAGGUAAAAGGGUAGACUCCAACAUUGAAGUAUGCCACACGUUGGAGGAAUUUGAGGCGCGGACUUGCUAGAGCGGGAUUGUUCCUGGAGAAGAAGAUUUCAACUGAACCUGUUGCCCAUCGAAGUACCUGAUGUAGACGAUCUGUGAGAUUGAUAGGUGCAGUGCCACGAAAAGCGUCUCUUUUUGUGAUACAAUAGACAGACCUCCAUCCACGAUUAUGCAUACGAUAACCUGUGACCACAUCUUCUGUCACUGAUCCAUAGAUCCACCCUACUCUGUCUCCCCACUCUGUCUUGUCCUCAUACCUGCAUUCACAUACAGUGUACAUAUACACUUGAAACUAGUUCUUUUUAUGCGCUUUGAUCUGCUGAAGAAAAGUUCUAUUUGCUAAUUGUCCAUUGUCCACGAGUAAGAAUCUAUUUGCAGCAAGAGUAAAUAGAGGCUGCUAAGUGUUGUUAAAAAUGAUAGUCUAACAGGCAAAACUGAGUAUAUAAUUACCAACAAGAGAUAACGGCAAUAGCCUCAGCUACAGUUGGAGCAUCAAGAGGGGGACGUGCAAUGAUCAGUGCACCUGGAGGCCGUCCGUUCUUUACAGAAAUGUGAUCAGCAAGUGGUCUUCCUUGAUACUCAGCCACUGCUAUAGAGUCAACAAACAGAGUGGAAUUCCCAAACUUCUCUGGCACGGCCAAGUCAGGAUGUGCUGUCAGGGGCUGCGACUCAUCCUCCUCAGCUUGUGACCUAACCUUUUUAGAUGGAGCCUUGUUUUGUCCAAACACGCCCGAGUAUUCAUUUGCCCGUGGUGGGUGGAAUCCAUAGAGUGCAUACCGACGAAACAUGCAACCAGUUCCAACAUACACUGGACCUUGAAGACCAUCCAAUGCCCGCAUGUUCCCUGAUGCAUGCAGAGUUACAGUUUUUGAUAUUUUGUUUGCUUAUAUAGAAUUUUACGAGUUUAAGACAUCAUGAAAAAUGAAGCCUCCACUGGGAUAAAGCUUCUACAGGUUGGUUCUUAUCAUGGUUAUUUCUGUGUUGCUUUUCAAUUCAUCUAUGAGGUUUUAACUCUCAUGCCUUUCCUUUUUUAUCAAGAAGUUCAUCAUCAUAAUAGAAUUAUGAGCUGGAUCUCUGCCUUCUUACAUUAAAGCUUUCUUAUGGGGGACAUAAUUUUACCUUUUGGAGAAAUGCCUCUUUAUCUUUGGAUUCAUCGUAAGGUAACACUUGUUGGAAGAAAACCAUUGCAUGCAUCACAAGUAUCUUAAGCACAUAAAGCUGAUUUAAUAUACUUACAAAUCAUAUAUUGAUUACAAAAGCCAUAUUGUUUUUCUAUUUUCUUAGUUUUUGACUUAGAGGAACUGAAUCCAAAUGCAUACAGUUACAGAACUUUAUUGCAUAAAGAUAGUACUUGUUACUUUUGAUGUGUAUUUGCCAUCAAGUUUGUUUAGUGUUAAUUGAUAUACAUUUACUUGGUCUAGUUCAGGUUUCACGUAAGUCUCAAGACAGAAUUGUAAACCUACAGAUGUUUCCUCUUCUUGUUUUUAUGCAGUUUUUGUUAACUUGGAUUGAAUGCUUAACUCGAAAGGACAUGGAAGGGAUACUAGACGGUUAUACUGGAAGAGUAUCAGGAUAGAAAACGUGUUUGAGCUAAAAUGAACUCUAGUUAUGUCCUUACAAACUUAUCCAGUGGAAAGUCAGUUGAAAUAAUCUUACCAUCAAAAAAGACAGUGUUGUGAUUUGCGUAUCUAUCUGAGGGAUCAAUUCCUUCAAAUCUUUGUGGGAACUGUACAUAGCAGACACGGUCACCACCACGGUCCAUCAUGUAGCAUAUGCCUUCCCUCAUUGCCAUAGAGUUAUAGAUGUAAUGGUCACAGUCCAAGUUAAGAAUAAAUGGUCCAUUGGAAAGUAUUGCAGAAGCUCUGACCAAGGCAUUCAUGGCUCCAGCCUUCUUAUUAUGAUCAUAGCCUGGUCGUUUCUCUCGAGAGACAUAGGCAAACAUGGGAAGUCGUAUAUCAACACCACUAAAGUCCAACCUCUUUUCAUCUGGAUGACCCAUUACAGGAUCAUGUUCUGGCACCUUGCUCAUUAUCUGUAGGAAGGAAGAUUAUGUGAAUUAUAUGUGACUUGACUUUAAUAGGCAGUGUAUAGAUCAGGAUUUCCUCUUAGAAUAAAAGAUAGCUAUCAAAUCGGGAGUUUGAGAACAAAGAAACCACCGAAAUGGUUAGAACUUCAUGUCAUGUGUGACAUAUUACUGUCUCUGCAUUCUAAUUGAAAACAGUUUGAUUGCAUAUGAAACUUCCUCUUUAAUCUCUUUUGUACACUCUGUCUCUCUAUUUGCUUAUCAAUAGAUGUAUUGAAACUGAACGUGCAAAAUGUGUUCUAUGGUUGAUUUACUGUAAGAUAACUACGUAGAAAAGUUUUACAUGGCCACCUGCAGAAUUCCGGCAUGAUCACCCUUUGAGUGAUCGGCUGUUGGUGUGAGCCAUGUUCCUGGCCAAUGAGUUCCAUCUGCCAUCCAUGUGGCCUUGGCAACAUUGGCCUUAUCUGUAGCACCAUUUGUCUCUGCAUUUAGCUUCUUCUCCUUUGAAUUGUACAAUUCACACCUUUUCCGUAUAACUUCAGGCAGACCAUUGAUCCUGACCUUGAAUUCAUCGUACUCCCUCUUGAUCCACCGGCGGUCCUUGACAAAAUCAGGGCGCUUCUUGUUUUUGGUAGGAUCAGUUGUCUGACUGAAGUAACUCUCUGGAUUCCUUGGUUCAAUAUUGUGCUUCCUGCAGAACGGUACCCAAACCUGUCGAAUUUAAAAACUCUUCAGGACGAUACAAAAUGUAUCUGGACAUGCAUAUCCAUAGUGCAUGUUCAUUACUAGAUUCAUUAAUCUUCGAAUGAAGAGAAUGAGAGAGAAAAAUGUUUCAUCCUUUAGCAAGUUCUCUAUAUUUUUGGAUAUGUGCUUGUGUAUUGUGCACAUGCAAAGGAAAUAAGUACAAGAAAAUCAUGCAUUUCUUUAAAUUGACAACAAUGUUUAUCUAGCAUGUUUCGUACAAGUAUAUUUGGCUCUACGUGUAUUCAGAGGCUUUAGGCAAUAGUAUCUGCAAUCUUACAUGCUCAUGUAUCCCAGAAAGCAAGUAGAUGCAAUGCUCAAUUUCAUACAGACCUCAGCAAAGUUGACAGUCUCAGCCAUGGCCUCAAAUGUGAGUAUGGCACCACCGUCAUCUGAAAUGUAGAUUGAGACUUUCUCAACAGGAUAUUCAACUGCAAGGAUGGAAAGGAUGGUAUUUGCAGUAAACAGAGGAGGCUCUUUUUCAGGAUCAGCUGUUGAGAUGAACACAUCAAUGCCAGGGAGGUCAGAUCGGCCAUGGGGAUUGGAGGGAGAAGAUGACUCAAACUUCUCUUUUAGGGCUGCAAGGUCAGCUGUUCGGUUGAUAGGAUUGAACUUGGGAAGUAUAUCAAGCACCCACGAGAACGCAAACCAUAUCUCACAUACAAUGGAUAUACCCCAUAGCCACAUUGCUUCUCGAUUAGGAUUUCGUACUCGCCAUCCAAGGAAGAGGAAGAGUGUUAUUAGACGGACCACUAUCAAUAACCUGUAUUUACAAAAUUUUGGUUAGACUUGAGCCAACAGCUUUUUCUUUGUCGAGUUGUUUUAUAAAGCAGUGUGGUAGGAUGACCACGAGAAAGGAGUGGAAGGAAAAUGGUACAAGCUUCUCACACAAAAAAUUUUACCAGGAAGUGUUUCUCAAUCCCUCUAGACCUGCAAUUUUUGCUGUUAUAUUAUCGCAAUUGGGGUCAUGAUCCCCAUUAAAACCUGACCAUUCUUGAAUCCCUUUUGGAAUCUAAGUCCUUCCAGAUUGUAUGUUCCAUCUCACUCCAGACUUUACCAUCGUGGGCUUUCUUCAAUAAUGGAAACUUUGCUCAUUUCUACUGGUUUGGAGGUGUCAAAACUAUUUCACUCUUUUUCAAUACCUUGGAGUGAUUAGGCAAAGGCGAUAAUGAUUCCCAACCAUGAGCAAAAUUUACUAGGUGAGUUAAAGACUUGCCAAAGUCAUUUUUCAUCUGAUCAAGACUUGCAGUGAGUUUCAGCUCAUUUUACUACCAAGUCUCAUCCCUUUGUGGAUGAUUUACUGGCAGGUUGAACCAUGAUUUCAAGGCAUAACUAGUUCAAAAAGGACACCUUGAAAUAACAAGGCAACCCUGCAAUUUGUACCCGAAACCAUUUACCACGCAAUAAAAAAAAAACCUCCAUGUGUCCCCUCAUAAAAAAAGAAAAGGAAAAGAAUGAAGAAAGUAAAUUAAAAGUUUUUCAUGCCAUUUUAGUGCAGCUACUCUUGACUCGAGACUUAAACAAAACAUUUUAAACAUCAUAAUCAAGCCAUCAAUUCUCCAGAAGAAAGGGGUAGAAGAAAGGAAGAGGGGUGCACCUGUAAGGACUGAGAAUCCCAGGAGGAACCUUGAUUUUUCUGGUAAGCGGCUUCCAAGGCUUGUCCAAAAAAUCAGACAUGCCUAAACCAGUAUCUUGAUCAUAUGAAUCCUCUUGCCAGAAAGCAUUUCCUAUCCCAUACUUUCCUUUUGUUUCAAACAACCAGCGAUUGUGAUCAAAGUCACCAGUUUGGCUCCUCAACAGCAUUGAUUUGUUAUUACUAGAGUUCAUCAAUGACAUCCUCCUCUCCAACUUUCCACUCGCAUUCCCCAUACCACCGCCACCAAUUCCACCAUAAUUCCCUUCGUCCUCGCUCCCGAUACUGCUCAUUCGUACACGUUGCGACUCAUUGCGAAACCUAGACGCCGUGCCAUAGGGGCUAGGCCCGUCAGGCUUGUCGCCCGAGGCACCGGCAUUUGAUGAUCCUCCAGGUUGGUUGUCCGGCGUUGGUGGCAUGAGUACUGUAUAAUUCAUAAAGUCACUUGAACCUGAAAAUUCUUCUGCCAUAUUUAUCUCAUCGUCCCGGGAGAGGCUCACAACACGGCCACUUGACGUCCUACGUGCAAAUUUUACGGCCUGCGGUGGCCGACUAGCGUCCGACGAGGAUUUUUUUGGGCCUGAUGAAGUCGCCAUUAUGAUAUGAUCUUCUAAGCUCUACUCAAACAUCUACGUACAUGGCUUUUUUUUAAGGUGCCAUGAAAUGAUCAAAGGCAUGUGAGGCAAUUAGGCACCUGCAUGGAUUUCCCCAUGUAUAUUGGAACAAAAUUUACGACAUUAUUGGGUUUAACUGAAACAUAAUCCCAGAUUAAGUUAUGAAAAAUCAAAGGAUCCUAGCUUCACGAAAACAAGAAAAGAUGUUUAACAAAAAAAAUGAAAAAGAAAAAGAAAAAGGCAAUGCUCAAUGGCCUAGAAAACCAAAUUGCUAAAAUUGUGCUUUGGUGUUGUCAAUGGUUCUUAUUUUUCGUGACAAAAUUUUCCUACACAGCCAACAUCCCCCUUCUUUUACGCUAGGCCUCAAAUGUAAAAUUCACAAACAAAAAAAACCAUAAGAAUAGAUUCAAAAGUUUUCAACUAGAGUACCUCGUGCUUACUUGAUUCUGAAAGUCCAUCUAAUUGUAUGAGGAUCUAUACCAAACCAAAGCUAUCAUAUUAGUUUGACUGCAUAUUAGUUCAAGCUACAAUUCUCAAGAAACUUUACUUUGCCUUUUUCUGCUAACAUAUAGUACAUUUUCUUUAAGCUGACAGCCAUUUCAUUAAGGGUUUUUUUUUUAAAUGUUGAAUUAACAAAAGAUUUUGACGGUUGAUGUCUCAUUCACAAAGUUGAAUGCAAAUCUGGAAUUUUAAUCAAAUUCAAGUGAAAAAAAAGAAAUUUGACACAUAUCUGCCCAAGUUAAAGAUUAGCAUGUCUUGCUUCAAUCCUCCUCCACUGUUGUUCCCUUUGCUUUGAUCAUAGCAAGUUUGAGAGCCACUGCAUUGUCCAUCAGACUAUUCCCAACACUGAAUUCCUACAGUGCCCACUGAAAUGAAAAUUCUUUGGGAUAUACUUUCCUGUAUAGAACUCUUUCCAACCCCCUGUACUCCAAACCUUUCAGUUCUCUAGCUGCACUUUUAAUAAUCCAUUUGGUAAUCAAAAGAUUAACUGGAGAAUUAAUAUGACGAUCCCACAUAAAAGCCAUUUUGUAUCAUAUUAUGUGUUUUUGGUAAUCAAAAGAUUGUAGCAACCAAUUUUAACCGAUCUUCCCAAAUGGAAAAUACAUUUCCACUUCUAACAAAAUCUACAAGAAAGAGGAAUAGAUAUGUUGUCAAUGAACGAAGCCCAAAGAUUAAUCUAUAAAAGAGAUUAUAGACCAUUGAUAAAAGGGUGAGAGGUUCUCAGAUACAAGUGUUACAUAAUUCACAAUACAUAAUAAUUUGUAUCAUGAUCUGCAGUGAGUACACUUUUCCCUUCCCGACUUCCUGGAAUUCAACUUAAAUGCUUGUGAUAUGAUCUUAAGUAAGCCAGAAUUACAUAUGAAUUUUCUAUGCAACCAAUCAAAUGCUAAACAUAUGUAAUUUUGACAAACAUUUGAUAUCAGAGUAUCACAGAUCAACCCAAGGACGAAUCUCA
rnacentral:lncRNA from 1 species